rnacentral:lncRNA from 1 species
GGCUUCGCACUGCGGGCCAACUCGCUUGGCCAUCUGGAGCAGAUCGAAAGCUACGCCCCUGGCCAUCAGGUCAGAUUUGGGAGCUUGAAUUACGUCGCGGACAUCCGCGGAGACUUGAUCUUUGACGGAUUCGAGACCGCUGCAGCCGCUCCCCGCUCAAGAUGGGAAUGGGCUGGGUCGACCCGCUGGGUCACUGACCCGACCCAAAAAGUCAGAGCCAAUGGGUCAAGCGGGUUGGCCCUAGAUGAUAUACGGGCCAGUGGAGCCGGCACUGUGCGACCCGAUGGGUCACACGGGUCGACCCAUUCAUAUACUGGCAGUACAUACUAUAGAGACGUACUGUGAAGUUAUUUGUGCGUUCAUCGACAAAGCUGUGUUGGGGUAAAUGUGUGCCUGUGGCCCACCCUGCCUAAAGCAACUUUUUUACACAUGCAUAGUCCAAUCCGUGAGCAUCCAGCUGAAUGGACGACAUUUUUCUUUAUGAAAUGCACGAGAGAUUAUUCCUAUGUUUAGCUUGCAUGAAUGCACUAGAGAUUUACUGUUUGCAGUCUGAAUGCCCAGCCUACUGCAGCCUACUCCACAGGAAGAUAAGACAGGACCUACACACCUCACAUCCAACACUGUAUAUCUAUUCAAAACAACUUUGUAUUGAUUAAUGCCUGGUAGUAUUGGAGUACUAUGGUUCAAAAAACAUUUUUGGUCAUCCAUUAGGCUGGCCUGCCCAGCUAUUUAUUUGUAAAAACAGAGUUGUAAGUGUUAAUUCGCUGGAUUUUGGGUCGGCCUCAUGUACCCAACGGGCGAGUGAGGCCACAAAUUUCUGAUAAAAUGGGCUGACCCAUGGCCUCACAUAUUGGCCUUGGGGCCACAGGGCCAGGUCCAAGGCCAGGUCUAGGUCGGGCCAUUCCCAUCUUGACACCCCGCCACCAUGAUGAACAUGACGUAAAUCUGUCAUCGGACCGCACCCAGGAGAUAGCACCUGUAAGUGCUCUGGCCUUAGAUCCGGGGCAGAUCGUGCCGUCCGACGACGGGAAGCUCAACCCCGCCACGGAUGUCACAGUCCCAGCGGCGUCAGAGCCGCACACAGACCCAACCUCGAGUGGAGUAUGUGUCAUCGGAGCCCCGGACUCAUCUCCGGCUACAGAUUCCGAAUUAUGCGCGUCCACAUGCGUCGAGCUCGAUCGGUCAUCAAUCGUCGAAUUCAGCUCCGCGUACAUCUUCCGGCACUCGCCCUUGGGCGAUGUGCUAAAAUCAUUAAAAAAUCUAUACUUAGCGGGACUCACAACCGAAUUAUAUCCGGUUCGAACUGGAGGUUGACGAUGGAGAGUUUCCCACCCACUGCCCACUUCACAGCCACUAUCGUGGACUUAACCGACACACUCGAUUACUGCUCCGAAGACAUUGACGACAUGGAUGACGAUGCAGGAGAAGAAGAGGCCCAAAAUCCUUUGUUUACCGGACAUUGGACGGCCACUUCCUUGUACGACGUAUAUAUGGUGGAUACACCAAAAGGGCAUAGUGGCGAUGACAAGGAAGAUCCAGUUGAGGAUAAACCUCCUGGGACACAACCAAAGCGCCGGCGUCAGCGGUGCCGCUCUAAAUCACGCCGCAGCAAAGACAGCAACACCGCCACAGGAGAAGAUAACACUCCAGACUGUCUCGAAGAUAAUGAAGACCCUGUUGCAGCAACCUCCGAACAGGACGAACGGGAGGACGGGAAAGUUAGCAACGACGAACAGGCCAUAAACGAACACUCGGAGGACAGUAACUAUUCUCCGCUCUUCGAGGAGGAGGUGAGCCUCGACAACAAGGAUUUUAUCGUGCCGGAGGAACCCCUCGAACAGGAGCGCUUUAAGCGCCAGCUAAUAGCCACUGCAAGGAGCCUGAAAAAGAAGCAGCAGCUUCAAGCUGAUCAAGAUCUGCUAAACUAUAGAUGGACUGAUGUCCUGGCAGCCGAGGAAUACGUCCUCAAGCACCCAGCCAAAAGUUACCCACAGCGUAAAUUGCUACCUCAGUUCGAUGAUGAGGCGUUGGAGCCCAUACCAUCAUCGCGCAAUGCGGCUGACCGACCACCGAGUGGUCAGGACAAGGCGGCAACUCAAGCCGAACACCAGCCCACUCCACCUAACCGUAAAGGCAGAGAUAAAACGGCUCGGGGACAUACCUACGACCUGCGGCAAAAACUCGACAAUAAUACAGGACAUACUAGAUCGAUCUACGGAUCGCGAGGACGUGCCCCGACACAUGACGACGGCUACCUAUUCGGACGUAACAAGCGUAGUCACGCCUGGGCCGAAAACCGCAGAUAGACCCCAUCGGAGCUACGUCGCGAUGUGGCCCGAUAUAGAGGCGCCGCACACCCUCUUUGCUUCACUAACGAAGUAAUGGACCACGAAUUCCCAGAAGGGUUCAAACCCGUAAACAUCAAAUCAUAUGAUGGGACAACAGACCCUGCGGUAUGGAUCGAGGAUUUUCUCCUCCAUAUUCAUCUGGCCCGUGGUGAUGAUCUCCAUGCCAUCAAAUAUCUCCCACUAAAACUCAAAGGACCAGCUCGGUACUAGUUGAACAGUCUGCCCGAAAACUCCAUCGGCAGCUGGGAAGACUUGGAAGAAGCCUUCCUAGACAACUUCCAAGGAACAUACGUCCGGCCUCCGGAUGCAGAUGACUUAAGUCAUAUAGUCCAACAGCCCGGAGAGUCAGCCAGGAAAUUCUAGACUAGGUUCUUAACUAAAAAGAACCAGAUCAUAGACUGUCCAGAUGCCGAAGCCCUAGCGGCCUUUAAGCAUAGCAUCCACGACGAAUGGCUCGUCCGACAUCUCGGGCAGGAAAAUCCGAAGUCCAUGGCGGCCCUUACGACACUUAUGACCCGCUUUUGCGCGGGCAAAGAUAGUUGGCUAGCCCGUUGCAAUAAUAAUGCAAGCAAACCUGGCACCUCUGAAGCCAAGGAUAGCAAUGGCAAGCCCCGACGCAACAGACACAAGCGUCGAAAAAAUGGCAACCAUACUGAUGACACAUCGGUCAACGCCGGAUUCAGUGGCUCCAAGUCCGGUCAGCGUAAGAAGCCGUACAAUAAGAACAAUUCGGGCUCAUCCAGCCUGGACCGCAUACUCGAUCGUCCGUGCCAGAUACAUGGCACCCCGAAAAAACCAGCCAACCACACCAACAGAGAUUGUUGGGUUUUCAAAUAGGCCGGCAAGUUAAAUGCCGAGAAUAAGGAGAAGGGGUCGCAAAGCAAGGACGAUGACGAGGAUACUCGGCCACCGAACACAGGGGGACAGCAGAAGUUUCCCCUCAGGUGAAAAUAGUGAACAUGAUAUACGCUACCCUCAUCCCCAAGAGGGAACGCAAGCGCGCACUCAGGGUCGUCUACGCGAUGGAGCCAGUCGCCCCAAAAUUCAAUCCAUGGUCUUCCUGCCCGAUCACCUUUGAUCGCCGAGACCAUCCGACCAGUAUCCGUCACGGCGGGUCGGCCGCACUGGUCCUCGAUCCAAUCAUCGAUGGAUUCCACCUCACGCGGGUCCUGAUGGACGGUGGCAGCAGCCUCAACCUGCUUUAUCAGGAUACAGUGCGCAAAAUGGGCAUUAAUCCAUCACGGAUCAAGCCCACAAAGACUACCUUUAAAGGAGUCAUACCAGGUGUAGAGGCCCGCUGCACGGGCUCUAUCACGCUAGAGGUUGUCUUCGAAUCUUCGGACAACUUCUGAAGCGAAGAGGUAAUCUUCGAUAUCGUCCCCUUUCGCAACGGCUAUCACGCACUGCUUGGACGAACCGCAUUUGCUCGAUUCAACGCGCUGCCACACUAUGCUUAUCUCAAGCUCAAGAUGUCCGGACCACGCGGCAUCAUAACAAUUAAUGGAAACACGAAACGCUCCCUUCGUACUGAUGUCUACUGCACAACCUUCUUCUUGUAGACGUUGUUGGGCCUCCAAGUGCAGAGGUUUGUAGGACAGUAGCAAAUUUCCCUCAAGUGGAUGACCUAAGGUUUAUCAAUCCGUGGGAGGUAUAGGAUGAAGAUGGUCUCUCUCAAACAACCCUGCAACCAAAUAACAAAGAGUCUCUUGUGUCCCCAACACACCCAAUACAAUGGUAAAUUGUAUAGGUGCACUAGUUCGGCGAAGAGAUGGUGAUACAAGUGCAAUAUGGAUGGUAGAUAUAGGUUUUUGUAAUCUGAAAAUAUAAAAACAGCAAGGUAACUAAUGAUAAAAGUGAGCGUAAACGGUAUUGCAAUGCUAGAAAACAAGGCCUAGGGUUCAUACUUUCACUAGUGCAGGUUCUCUCAACAAUAAUAACAUAAUUGGAUCAUAUAACUAUCCCUCAACAUGCAACAAAGAGUCCCUCCAAAGUCACUAAUAGCGGAGAACAACCGAAGAUAUUAUUGUAGGGUACGAAACCACCUCAAAGUUAUUCUUUCUGAUCAAUCUAUUCAAGAGUCCGUAUUAAAAUAACAUGAAGCUAUUCUUUCCGUUCGAUCUAUCAUAGAGUUCGUACUAGAAUAACACCUUAAGACACAAAUCAAACAAAACCCUAAUGUCACCUAGAUACUCCAAUGUCACCUCAAGUAUCCGUGGGUAUGAUUAUACGAUAUGCAUCACACAAUCUCAGAUUCAUCUAUUCAACCAACACAAAGAACUUCAAAGAGGGCCCCAAAGUUUCUACCGGAGAGUCAAGACGAAAACGUGUGCCAACCCCUAUGCAUAAGUUUACAAGGUCACUGAACCCGCAAGUUGAUCACCAAAACAUACAUCAAGUAGAUCACGUGAUAUCCCAUUGUCACCACAGAUAAGCACAUGCAAGAUAUACAUCAAGUGUUCUCAAAUCCUUAAAGACUCAAUCCGAUAAGAUAACUUCAAAGGGAAAACUCAAUCCAUUACAAGAGAGUAAAGGGGGAGAAACAUCAUAAGGUCCAACUAUAAUAGCAAAGCUCGCGAUACAUCAAGACCGUACCACCUCAAGAACACGAGAGAGAGAGAGAGAUCAAACACAUAGCUACUGGUACAUACCCUCAACCCCGAGGGUGAACUACUCCCUCCUCGUCAUGGAGAGCGCCGGGAUGAUGAAGAUGGCCACCGGUGAUGGAUCCCCCCUCCGGCAGGGUGCCGGAACGGGGUCCCGAUUGGUUUUUCGUUGCUCUGGAGGCUUGCGGCGGCGGAACUCCCGAUCUAUUGUGUUCCUCGAUGUUUUUAGGAUAUAUGGACAUAUAUAGGCGAAAGAAGUCAGUCAGGGGAGCCACGAGGGGCCCACGAGGGUGGGGGCACACCCAGGGGGGUAGGGCGCGCCUCCCUGCCUCGUGGCUUCCUCGAAGCUUCCCUGACAUCUACUCCAAGUCUCCUGGAUUGCUUCCGUUCCAAAAAUAACUCUCCCGAAGGUUUCAUUCCGUUUGGACUCUGUUUGAUAUUCCUUUUCUUCGAAACACUGAAAUAGGCAGGAAAACAUCAAUUUGGGUUGGGCCUCCGGUUAAUAGGUUAGUCCCAAAAAAUCAUAUAAAAGAGUAUAUUAAAGCCCAUUAAACAUCCAAAACAGAUAAUAUAAUAGCAUGGAACAAUCAAAAAUUAUAGAUACAUUGGAGACGUAUCACGUACCAAGGAGCACACUGUUGCCUUAGCAGCAGAAGUACAGAGCGGCCUUUUCAAGCAGAACCUUAAUUCAGCGGCCGAGCUCCCGGACACUGUCAAGAGAGUCCGGAAAAUUCUGCAGCAGGACAGCUCAGCUCGUGAAGAGCUCGACUAGCAAUUCGGCCUCCGUCCCAGCCCCAAUCAAGUGGCGGCAUUCAUGCCACGCGUACAUAACUACGCACUUAAAGUACCAUGGGCAUAGACGGAGGCAUAACUAGCUUGUAGUCCACAAUAUGGCUCGACCGCCUCCGGACACACAUACCUUCACUGUUUCCUUUUUGUCUUUUUUUCUUUUUCACAGGCCUUCCUUGACGGCCUGAUCACAGGUCCUUUCGAAGGAUAAAUAUACCAAGACGGCAGUAAGCAUGGACGUAUAGCGGAAUUUCCAGGUGGUCUCUUUAACGAUCACUCUACCUGUUUUCAGGACCCACACGCAGCUCUCCCUUGGUUGUGGCAUGUUAAAUAGCCUUUUGCUCAUUGCACUAUUUGUAUGAAUGCGCUUUGACGUAUUACCAAAUUAUAAUGGAAACAGUUUGCGGCCCAAAUUUCACGGCUCUAGCUUACUACCCUUUAUUCUUUUCCUUUUUGACAACUUUAUCAAAUAGCACCCGUUUUUUAGUACGUUUCAAUUUUCCAGGGGCUUCAUAGCGCCCCGCAAUACGGUAACAAAGUUCGAACACUUUUUAUAGUAUAGUUCGGCACCCCAAAUUUAGCACUAAAUGCAUUGGCUCUGAAUCAUGUCUUUGGUCAUUAGUUGGGUUGCCCGGCUCCUGUGCUUACUACCUUACAUUCCGCUAUAUCGGCUAGGGUAGUAAAGGGAGAACUACUGCGAUUGUGUCCUGGUUUAUCCGGAUGAGCACCUCAGUAGAGAAAGCCGAAAACUGACUGUCAUGAUGCAGCGAGAGCCGGUCAGCUCUUCGGAGGUUUCAAAUCGCUAGAGGUUUUUUCCGCAUUACGCGAAGGAUCGGUACUUACCCAAUCAGGUGUUUACAACACCCUAGUUUGGAUGCUAGGGGUUGCGCCUACAUUUUUAUUGUCAAAAUCCUAUGGCUAAGUGAGGGUGCUAAAGCCGCAUAGUCCGAUUGCCUGGUUUGUUGUGCUAAACACCUCCUUCAAGGACCAAACAAUUGGAUCAAGAGUGUUUAGAUUACAUCCCGAACACCCCCGUACUACCUAUGUGGGGGCAGAAGCCGACGACUGGCCAACUCUCAGAUUUCACACAAAACGGCCACACAGGAGGUGAUUUUUUUUAAAAACAAAUAUUAUAUUACAUAACGACUUUGUUUCAUCAUACAAGGCAGAGACAGCAUGAAUGUAUUCAUUCGAAGAUAAUGUCUUGCGCACAUUGCGUUGCCACAAUACGAGACCCCUCCAGGACGUCUUCGAAAUACCGCUCGGGCGUGCGGUGCUCCUUGCCCUUAGGCGGCCCCUCGGUCACAAGCUUGACGACGUCCAUCUUCACCCACCAGACCUUGACGCGGGCAAAGUCCAUGCGCGCGCCCUCGAUGCAGACCGACCGCUUGACGACAUCCAGCCGAGGAAAGGCAUUCACCAGCCGCUUCACGAGGCCGAAGUAGCUGCUGGGUAUAGCUUCGGCAGGCCACAGCCGGAUUAUCAAAUCCUUCAUGGCCAGUUAGGCCACCCUAUGCAGCUCGACCAGCUGUUUCGGCUGAUCGUUAAAGGGCACUGGAUGUUCUGGCGCAAGAUAUUGCGACCAGAACAGCUUCUCCGUUGAGCUCCCUUCUUCGGCUCGGAAGAACUCCGCAGCGUCGGACACACUGCAUGGCAGAUCCGCAAAAGCCCCUAGAGAACUCCGAACCCGGGUUAGUAAAAGAUACUUCUUCUUCACAUACUGGCUUUGCAUACUAAACGCCUUACCCGCCGCAGUCUUCUUGGCCUCCUCGAUCUCCUGGCGGGCGCCCUAGGCUUCAAUCCGGGCCUCUUCCGCGCUUUGGCGAGCCUUGGCGAGUUCGGUCUCUCGAGCCGAAACAUCGCACUCCAAGGUCUCGCAUUUUUUCACGGCAUCCUGGAGCUCCUGCUGAACCUCAUUAAGCCUGGCCUUGAGCUUCUUAUGGGCGGCUUGUUCCUUGGCAGCUUUCUCCUCGGCUUCGGCCAGGGCCUUUUUAAGGGCCUCGACCUCGGUCGUCGCCCCUACAAAUAUCAUAACACUAUGGUCAAUACACAUCAUUUAUUCUUUCCGAAUAUAUAGCGAGUCAUUGCAUACCUUGCUUGUCUUCCAGCUGCUUUCUCGCUUGGCCGAGCUCCUCCUCAGCCCGCUCCAGUCUCUGCUUUAGUACGGAGACUUCGGCAGUGUGUGAGGUCGCGGCCAGCAACGACGCCUGCUUAUUCACACAAGACAUAUUUAGUUAGUUUCCUGCGAAGUUUAAUUGAUCCUCUGUCUAGCUUUUUCUUUCCGAACACCGGACAGUGUCUCAGGGGCUACUGUCUAUAUUGGGACUUUUUCUUUUGCGUCGCUUACCUCAAAGCCGGUCAGCAGGCUGCUGCAGGCUUCGGUCAGUCCUCUCUUGACGGACUGAACCCUCUGAAUUACCGUACCCAUAAGGAUACAGUGUUCAUCCACAAUGGAAGCGCCUCGUAGCACUUCCAGCAGAUUAUCCGGUGCCUCUGGUGUGACAGAGGUCACCGGCGGGAUAGGCACACCUCCUUCUCUCGAAGGAGGCUGCUCGCCGGAUUCCGGAGCCGUAUAAGUCUCCGGAACCGUCUCCGGCUAGGGGUCGAACUGAACAUGGCCCCCAUCGCCAGUUUCCAUGGAUUUGCUUCCCCAUGUGUCCGGCGGCCGAGGUUUCGCCUUCUGGCGCCACCCUGACAGCCUCCUGAACCUCCCCUGGCCUGAGAAGGUCCUUUGGGACAUCACCUCGUUGUCGCCCUUGGCCUUGGGAGAGUGAGAGGCUAGCGGUGACUCACUCGCCAUCGCCUUUGGAUCCAACGAACCUCCUGAUGAGGAUCGCUGGGAGCUGUCGUGGGCCGGACUACAAUAGCAUAACUAAACAUGUUAAUACCAUGAAGAGGAGAGGUCGGAUACAUGGACGUAUAUAGGUCUUUAGUGCUUACGAUNNNNNNNNNNNNNNNNNNNNNNNNNNNNNNNNNNNNNNNNNNNNNNNNNNNNNNNNNNNNNNNNNNNNNNNNNNNNNNNNNNNNNNNNNNNNNNNNNNNNNNNNNNNNNNNNNNNNNNNNNNNNNNNNNNNNNNNNNNNNNNNNNNNNNNNNNNNNNNNNNNNNNNNNNNNNNNNNNNNNNNNNNNNNNNNNNNNNNNNNNNNNNNNNNNNNNNNNNNNNNNNNNNNNNNNNNNNNNNNNNNNNNNNNNNNNNNNNNNNNNNNNNNNNNNNNNNNNUGCUGUCGACGUCCCACGCGGGGUUAUCCGCAAGGGGGCCCUUCCCCCUCUUGGGCGCCUCCGCCUCCAGAUUGGUGGAGGCCGCCCUCUUCUUCCUUCCCCCAUCAGGGGGAGAGUUGCUUUGUUCCUCCUCCUCCUUGUCGUCUUCGGCGGCGGAGGAGUGAUCCUCGUCAUCCUCGGACGUCACGUCCAAAGCACCCUUGCGGCGAGGGCCACCUUUGGUCCCCUUGGCCUUCUUCUUGGCCUUCUUCUCUGGCGCCUUGUAGGGCGCCGGGACCAGCAUCUUGAUACGUCUCCAACGUAUCUAUAAUUUUUGAUUGCUCCAUGCUAUAUUAUCUACUGUUUUGGACAUUAUUGGGCUUUAUUAUUCACUUUUAUAUUAUUUUUGGGACUAACCUAUUAACCGGAGGCCCAGCCCAGAAUUCCUGUUUUUUUGCCUAUUUCAGAGUUUCGUAGAAAAGGAAUAUCAAACGGAGUCCAAACAGAAUGAAACCUUCGGGAACGUGAUUUUUAGGAAGAUUAUGAUCCAGGAGACUUGGACCCUACGUCAAGAAACAAAAGACGAGGCCACGAGNNNNNNNNNNNNNNNNNNNNNNNNNNNNNNNNNNNNNNNNNNNNNNNNNNNNNNNNNNNNNNNNNNNNNNNNNNNNNNNNNNNNNNNNNNNNNNNNNNNNNNNNNNNNNNNNNNNNNNNNNNNNNNNNNNNNNNNNNNNNNNNNNNNNNNNNNNNNNNNNNNNNNNNNNNNNNNNNNNNNNNNNNNNNNNNNNNNNNNNNNNNNNNNNNNNNNNNNNNNNNNNNNNNNNNNNNNNNNNNNNNNNNNNNNNNNNNNUAUAUAUACCUACGUACCCCCAAACGAUCAGAUACGGAGCCAAAAACCUAAUUCCACCGCCGCAACCUUCUGUACCCACGAGAUCCCAUCUUGGGGCCUGUUCCGGAGCUCCGCCGGAGGGGGCAUCCAUCACGGAGGGCUUCUACAUCAUCACCAUAGCCUCUCCGAUGAAGUGUGAGUAGUUUACCUCAGACCUUCGGGUCCAUAGUUAGUAGCUAGAUGGCUUCUUCUCUCUUUUUGAAUCUCAAUAAAAUGUUCUCCCCCUCUCUCGUGGAGAUCUAUUCGAUGUAAUCUUCUUUUUGCGGUGUGUUUGUUGAGACCGAUGAAUUGUGGGUUUAUGAUCAAGAUUAUCUAUGAACAAUAUUUGAAUCUUCUCUAAAUUCUUUUAUGUAUGAUUGGUUAUCUUUGCAAGUCUCUUCGAAUUAUCAGUUUGGUUUGGCCUACUAGAUUGAUCUUUCUUGCAAUGGGAGAAGUGCUUAGCUUUGGGUUCAAUCUUGCGGUGUCCUUUCCCAGUGACAGUAGGGGCAGCAAGGCACGUAUUGUAUUGUUGCCAUCGAGGAUAACAAGAUGGGGUUUCUAUCAUAUUGCAUGAAUUUAUCCCUCUACAUCAUGUCAUCUUGCUUAAGGCGUUACUCUGUUUUCAUGAACUUAAUACUCUAGAUGCAUGUUGGAUAGCGGUCGAUGAGUGGAGUAAUAGUAGUAGAUGCAGGCAGGAGUCGGUCUACUUGUCUCGGACGUGAUGCCUAUAUACAUGAUCAUACCUAGAUAUUCUCAUAACUAUGCUCAAUUCUGUCAAUUGCUCAACAGUAAUUUGUUCACCCACCGUAGAAUACUUAUGCUCUUGAGAGAAGCCACUAGUGAAACCUAUGGCCCCCGGGUCUAUCUUCAUCAUAUUAAUCUUCCAACAUUUAGUUAUUUCCUUUGCUUUUUUACUUUGCUUUUAUUUUACUUUGCAUCUUUAUCACAAAAAUACCAAAAAUAUUAUCCUAUCAUAUCUAUCAGAUCUCACUCUCGUAAGUGACCGUGAAGGGAUUGACGACCCCUUAUCGCGUUGGUUGCGAGGAGUUAUUUGUUCUGUGUAGGUACGAGGGACUCGCGCGUAGCCUCCUACUGGAUUGAUACCUUGGUUCUCAAAAACUGAGGGAAAUACUCACGCUACUUUGCUGCAUCACCCUUUCCUCUUCAAGGGAAAACCAACGCAAUGCUCAAGAGGUAGCAAAUCUUCACCAGGAGCGGGAUGACUGGCUCUUCGGGCAGCGGAGCCGAACACUGAAUCCGCUCCGCUUUCUCUGUCCAUACCUGAAAAAAUAAAAUAGUAAAGUUUUGAUAUCCUCCUUGAACAAGCAAGUAGAGGAUGCGCCUUGAGACGUGAAAGUCUUACCGCACUAGCAGGGUGGGCAAGAUCGUGCCUGCGGUCCGAGUCUAUGACCGGCGGCUUCUCAUUGCCCUUAAAGAGCAACUUCCAGGCAUCUUCGUAAGUAGUUCCGAAGAGCCUUUCCAGAGUUUGGUGCUUCGUCGGAUCGAAUUCCCAUAAAGGGCAGGCUCGGCUUUGGCAGGGGAGGAUCCGGCGAACCAGCAUCACCUGGAUCACGUCGACGAGCUUGAUGUUUUUAUCCACCAUGCUUUGGAUGCGCGUUUGCAGCGCUAUCAGCUUGUCCGACGAAGACCAAUUUGGGCCCUUCUCCAUGCAGGAGGUAAGCCGCAUUGGAGCUCCGGACUUGAAUUUGGGAGCCGCGGCCCAGGUGGCGUCGCGGGGCUCUGUGAUAUAGAACCACCUCCUUGACAGUCUCCACAAACGUGCCUUUGGGCCAUGUGACGUUGGGCAUCUUGCUCACCAUGGCCCCUCCGCACUCCGCGUGUUGGCCCUCCACCACCUUUAGCUUCACGUUGAAGAUCUUGAGCCAUAACCCGAAGUGGGGCUGGAUGCGGAGGAAAGCCUCACACACGACAAUGAAUGCCGAGAUGUUGAGGAAGGAGUUCGGGGCUAGAUCAUGGAAAUCUAGCCCAUAAUAGAACAUAAGUCCGCGGACAAACGGGUGGAGAGGAAACCCUAACCCGCGGACGAAAUGGGGGAUGAACACCACCCUCUCAUUGGGCUUCGGGGUGGGGACGAUUUGCCCCUUGGCCGGAAGCCGGUGGGUGAUUUCUUUCGCCAGGUACCCGGCCGCCCGAAGCCCAGCGAUGUAUUUCUCCUUGACGGAGGAGGCCAUCCACUUGCCUUGCGCUCCAGAUCCGGACAUGGUCGAGUGCUUUCUUGAGGCGGAAAAGACUAGGACUUGGGCGCUGGAGCUCGAGAAUGGAAGGGCAGAGAAAGAGAGAAGGCGUGGGUGAAAGAGAGGAAUCAUUAUCCCCUUAUAAAGGCACUGAAUAUCAAGCACGUCCCCACUCGCCUUAAAACUCGCCUGUUCCCAAGGGCUGUAUAAACGGCACGAUUGGAUUACCCACGCCCGUAUUGAUGAGAAUCCCGCAAUAAGGGGACACGAUCUCUGCUUCGACAAGACAUGCCAAUGAAAACCGCGUGGAACGGCAGACGAAAACGGUUCGAAAUAAUGACCGGACAGACAUGAUGUCACCUUAUAAAAAGUUGUCAGCGGAUUGGACUCGUGAAAUAGUAUAUUCUCUACGGUUGUGUGUGGUGCUUGUGUUAUAGGUCCGGAUACAUUCUUUGCAUCCAAAGACUAUUUUGGAGAAGGGAACCCGCCUUGCAAUGCCGAAGACAAUCUGCGCGCCAGACACCUCGUCAUUAGCCUGGUUCAGGGGCUACUGAGGGAGUCCUGGACUAAGGGGUCCUCGGGCGUCCGGCCUGUUGGACAUGGGCCGGACUAAUGGACUGAGAAGAUACAAGACCGAAGACUCUACCCGUGUCCGGAUGGGACUCUCCUUGGCGUGGAAGGCAAGCUUAGCGACCAAAUAUGAAGAUUUCCUUCUCUGUAACCGACUUGAUGUAACCCUAGAUCCCUCCGUGUCUAUAUAAACCGGAGGGCUUAGUUCGGAUCGGGAGAUAUACAAUCAUAGUCAUACAGGCUAGACUUCUAGGGUUUUAGCCAUUACGAUCUCGUGGUAGAUCAACUCUUGUAACACUUGUAUUCAUCAAGAUCAAUCAAGCAGGAAGUAGGGUAUUACCUCCGUAGAGAGGGCCCGAACCUGGGUAAACAUUGUGUCCCCCGUCUCCUGUUACCAUCGAUCCUAGAUGCACAGUUCGGGACCCCCUACCCGAGAUCCGCCGGUUUUGACACCGACACCAUGUGCUGCUCUGGCCUAUCCUGGGUGUUCUGGUCCAUAAAAAUUCUUCAAAAAGUUUCGCUGCAUUUGGACUCCGUUUGAUAUUGAUUUUCUGCGAUGUAAAAAACAAGUAGAAAACAGCAACUGGCACUUGGCACUAUGUCAAUAGGUUAGUCCCAAAAAAUGAUAUAAGAUGAUUGUAAAAUGCUUGUAAAACAUCCAAGAAUGAUAAUAUAACAGCAUGGAACAAUAAAAAAUUAUAGAUACGUUGGAGACGUAUCAUUGCUUCAAGUUUGUAAUUAUAGUCUGGACAGGUGUGUUGGGGUUUGUCCUCAACUGUUGCUCACAUUCAUGUGCCAACCACUUAGCAGUCACUUUUGUGCUCUCUCCUACUACUGGGCAGUUGUGGUGCAAGUUUAGUUUCUUUAUACAGAAUGUCCUCUCAUGUGCUAUCUGAGAAGCUGCAAUGAAAAAAGGACAUUUCUCAAAUUUGCAGACUGCUAUAAUCCUGUCUGGACAGUUUCUGUGGAAUGCAUGUUUCCUAUUCUGUGAGAUGUGAAAAUUAAGAAGUGCCCUCCUGAACUGGUUCACAUCUAGGAAACAAAGUUUCUUCAUAAAUUGCUCUUCUGGGUUCUCCCUUUGCUCAUCAUACCAAAGUCUGGGCUUCUUCUUUUUAGUCCUGCUCUUCCUAUCAGCCGGAAGCUUCACACAUGGUUUUUGAGCCCCAUCAUUGUCCUCCUGACUUAGGUCACCAGGGUUGCUCUCCUCAUCAGAUAAAGGAAACCAAUCUUCCUCAAUAAUCUCAUCCAAACUAGCAUGAGAUCUUGUGGUUGGCCCCUUUGUUUUACUUCCUCUGCUACUUCCUCCUAUGCUGAUCGCUUCCUCCUCCUCCUUUGGUGCCUUCUCCUCCUCCUCCUCAUCUGCUUCAUAGGGCUCAUCCACAUCAGUGUCCCCUUCAAUAUGAAGAAGUGGAUCAUCUCUAUGCUUCUUCAUUGCCUCAAGCCUAGCAAUUAUAUCCUCAUAUGCUAGUAAAUCUGUGUCACUGUCACUAUUAGUGAAAUCUCCAGCCAUUAGAUCUGGAAGUUUUCUUUUAGGUGCCUUGUAUUUCUCUUUUUCUUUCCCUUUUUUCCUGAACUUCUCAAUCUCUUCAUUCCUCUUCUGCUCCAUCAGUUGCUCAAUUUGCUCUUGAUCUUGGUCUUGCUCCAUGAAAUACUCAUGCCUCUCUUCACCAAUCUCCAUUGCAAAUUCUGGUACUGGUGGACACUCUGCUUCAAAAUGAACUCUCAUGUGUGUUAAUGACCUACACUGGCACUGGUUGUGGCUUUGUUGGGCUAGGAAACAAUACUCAUGCUGUAUCUAUCUCAUACACCACUGGCACACCAAUUUCAGACAAUGGAACCUGCUCCUCACAAACUGGUCCAAUGUUCAAAUCACUAGGUCUUGGAGCAUCACUUCUGAUGACUGUUAUGUUCACCACCUUCUGACCUUUGAUAACUAGGUCAUCCAACAUUUCCUCCACCUUAUCAUCAUAUGUCAGUUCUUCCAUACCUGAAACCCCAACAACUGGAUCUCUAACAUAAUACAUAAAGUCUGUCAUCCCAUAUCCUUCAAGCUCUAUUAGUGCAAUCAGAUUGUAAAAUGUUAUAUCAUCCACAUUUAGGCUUCUUUCAAGAUUAUGUCUGCCAUGGAAAUGGAAUCUGACAUCCCACACUUCAUCAUUCAAUCUACAGUUCAAGUAAACAAUUCAGCUAAAGUAAAAAAAUCAGUUAAAAGCUAUAGAUUCAGUUAUAUAUUCAGUUAGAGUAAACAAUUCAGUUCAAGUUUCACUUAAAGAUUUAAUUAAAGUUUCAGUUAAAAAUUAUGUUAAAGUAAACUGUUAACUUCACAAUUCAGUAAAAGCUUCAGUUAGAGUAAACUAUUCAGUUAAAGUUUCACUUAAAGAUUCAAUAAAAGUUUCAGUUAAAGUUUCAGUCAAAAAUUCAGUUACAGAUUCAGUAACAUUUUCAUUUAAAAAUUCAAUUGUAAAUUCAGUAAAACAUUCAGUAAUUCUAGUAAUAGAGUGAGUUGAAAUUGAGUUUAACAUUCAGUAGUUUCAGUUAAAGUUUAGGUGCCUACUACAUACACUUAGAACCCUAGAACUACAUAAACACUUCACUUACAUGUCUGACCACAUAAACAACCUACAACAAUAAUCCUAUAACCCUAGAAGUACAAACACUUAGAACCCUAACCUUAGAACCCUAACCCUAGAAGCCAAAUCGGGGUAAGGAAAGAGAAAACUUAUGAGACACCGCCGAAGGAGGAUGCGUAGUGAUGGCUCCCCUAUGGAUCUUCCUUGACGGCCUUGGCGAAGGCCCUCGCCGCCGCGUACUCAACACAGUAAGUCGGCGACGACGGCUGUGGAAGAGGCGGAGCCUUAGAUGGGUUUGAACUGCCGCAAACCUCUGUUGGAUCUGCAGGAGCACCACUGCCACCAGAUGCAUCGCCAGCACCACCGCCACCGCCAUCGUCACCGCCACGCGAGGUGGCCAUCACCGGCGGCGAGCAGGGGCGAGAGAGAGGAGAGGGGCGCGGGGCGAGAGAGAGGACAUGGGCGCGCGCGGGGGGGGAUGUCUGACCAGGACCGACCGGCGCGGCGUCUUGACCGUUUUGGUCCUAACGGCGCCGUUUGCCUGGCCGUCAUGCCACGUCGGCGUUUUCGGGGCCCACCUGUCGGAAAAGAGAUCAAACGAGGCUAAACGGUUGUUCAGUGUUUUUUGCAACGAGUUAAGAGAUUUUACGGUGUUUUCUGCAACGGAUUAACGAGUUAGUAGUUUAUUGCAAACCUAGCCACAAAUGUGGUGGUUUCCUGCAAUUGACUCCCCACUAGUAAUGUCGGGUAAACCAACGGGGCCUAUAUUGUGCGUCCCCAAAAGGCCAAAACCACAUACAGAUACAGCUCGCGGCUUAACAGUGGAACAAGGACAAAGGAUGGUAUGGACUUUGUGGAUCGUCCUGCUAACAGAAUGAUGGCCUAAUAAUCACCCACCGAUUUGUCCUAACAAAAUGAUAGGCCAACAGUACAGUACAGAGACAGAGAUGAUGCUGGCUCUCCAUGGAUGCUGGAAGGCGUCCUCCCUGCGUUGCUACUCUGCACGCGUACCACUGUAUGUGUAGAUAUCACACCGAAAGUAAUUCCCUGGUUAGCAACGUCGAGUCAAACACUAACUUGCCUGUCAUGGCAACGCCACUAACCAGCUACUGGUAGCACUUAGUUAGCAACUAGUUUAUCCAUGAACAACAUAGCAACUGGUAGCUCUGCUAAUUGCCAGCCGGUCUUUGGUUAGUCUCCUGUGGUCAGUGUGGCACUGCUGAUGUGAUGUAUAUCUACCUAAUUAGCCGGUGGUAAGAUCUUUGCACUAAUUAACCAGUUAACCGUCCACGUUACAAUCGAAUUGUCUCUGCACCCUCGCUGGCUCUCCCUUUUGUUUCGUUGCAGUAUAAAUGCUGGAUCGGUAGGCGCACCGACCGCACAGGCACACGGGGACGGGGACAAGGAAGUGAUCACGGGAGAACUGGCCACCCGGUUACAUACACUUGCUACCCGCCGGGCGCCUCUCAACAUACCACCUCUUGGCUCUUGCACCUAGCUAAGCUAGUUAUGGACUCUGCGGUGCCGGCGCCGCCUCUUAUUCCUACUCGGACCAAGAAGGCGACCGCCCUGCUACUGCGCGCCUCGCUCGCUCCACAUGCUUCCUCCGGUAAGUACUGCUCUCGAUCCUGCAAGCCUAUACUCAAGUACAGGUCGAGCUUACCUUUUUUUUUUGCGAAUAACAGGUUGAGCUUACAUUGAUGCUAUUAUUAAUUUCAUCGACCUUGCAGCUUUUUUUUUAAAAAAAAAGAGAGACCCCCGACCUCUGCAUCUGGACGAUGCAUACAACCACUUUAUUAAUUACUCAUAAAAGACCGUACAAAGUAAUACAGAAAUAAGACUGAAGCCACCGUUUAGGCAACAUCAUCGACCAUGCAGCUGACGGGGUUUGCUAAGCUUUCAUUGACUGAAGUACGGAUGGUGGACUGAAAGUGGGCCAUAAUUUAAUUGCGUUUUUAAAACUCAAAACUUUUUGACUCUGGUACCAUGUAAAACUGCACGUACCAGCCAGUUCAUCCAAAAGCUUAAGCCGAUGGGAAAAGAUGGACUAUGCAUUUAUAUGUCAACACAAUUGAAUAAAUACGGGUGGCAUCUGAUCUGCUACAAAUCCAUCUCAAGUUAUAGUAAAUACAAAAGCUCGUUCGGUACGUAUACAUGCAUGAUAUGAAUCAAUCAUGGCUGGAGACGAAUGGUGAUGUGCUUGGUGUCGUCGCUGCGGGCGAGCGAGAAGGUGCCCUCGGCGGAGGAGUUGAGGUAGGUGACGGACAACUUGUACUCCCCGAGGAAGGCGCUGAAGUUGAACGAGCCGCGGUCGUUGGUGGCGCCGAGCACCUCUCUGGUCUGCCACUCCCCGAGCAGCCGGUCCACGACGUCCCCGGCGGGCAGGUUGGUGAAGUUGCCGUCGGUGAGGCACAUCUGAUAGCAGGCGGCGCUGGCGUCCAUGGCGGUCCAGAGCAUGAUCCCGUCCACGGACGGGUGCGCGAACCCCUCCCGCAGCACCUCCUCCAGGUACGCCGCCUGGGUCUUGGGGUCAAGGGCGUUGCUGAUGUCGACCUCGGUGAGCCAGAUGGGGAGGCGGAGCGUGCCGAGCUUGUCGAGCACGGCGCGAACGUAGGGGAUAUUUGGCUUCCCGAAGUGUGCCUCGAGGCCGAUGCCCUCGAAGGUGACGCCGGCGUCGGCGAGCUGGCGGAGGCGGGAGACGUAGGAGUCGGCGCUGGAGCUGAGGUCGUCGCAGACCUCGACGACGUUGAAGUCGUUGAGGAAGAGGGUGGCGAGCGGGUCGGCGCGCUUGGCGGUGCGGAAGAAGUCGGUGGUGGCGUUGCGGCCGAGGCGGGACUCGUAGAAGUCGAAGUGGAGCAUCUCGUUGCUCACGUCCCAGUGCACGAAGUCGCCCUUGUAGCGCGAGAGGAGGCUCUCGAUGCGGCCCGCCACGGCGGCGCGGAGCUGGUCGGCGGAGGUGAGGUUCUUGACCCACCACGGGGUGUACUUGGGGUCCUCCCAGAAGAUGUUGUGGCCGCGCGCCACCGCGUCGCUGGACUGCACGAACUGCAGCAGCUGGUCGGCGAGCGCGUAGUCCUCCUUCCCCGGCGCCGGCUCCGUCGCGUACCACUUGAGCUCGUUCUCGAACACCGCGGCGUUGAACCGCUUCCGGAACCAGUCCUGCACCAAUGCAACGAUCUUCGUUAGUUAUUCCGACAUUGAUAAAAACGCGGUGAUCAUGGUAUGAUCGAUGGCGUAGGAAUAACUGAUGGGCGUGGCUAUAUCUCAGUCGACCUAGACCUAGUCAAAUCACAGAAUAUAAAAAGAAAAAUGAAAAAGUUUGAUUUCGUUUACGCGGAUCUUCACGUAAGGUCGUACGAAUAAAGCAUCGCCUGAGACCUGAUUAAGUUAAGAUUUAGCAGUCCCGAUACCUGAUAUGGCUUGUUGCCGAGUAUGGUCUUGCUGAUGGCGGAGCCGAAGGGGAAGUCCCUGCUCAUCUGGCGCACGGCGACCUUGGCGCCCACGACACGGCCGCCACUGCUGUCCGACACGUGCACGUUCACAAAGCGUUUGCGGAUCUGCCAUGAAAAUGGCAAAGAAGAGGUGUUAUCAAACCAUGAGUAUUUGUGUGUAUUUGUACAAAUUCAUGUGUGGGAACAAAUUAAAUUCAGUAGCAAACGUAGUGGCAUUCCGUUACCAGCUGGAUGCGGUCCUCCCGGUGCUGGCUCCACUGCUCCGGCGAGAACGGCUGCAGCGAGGCGCUUCUGAUCGACACCAUGGACGCAUUUGCGGUUGCAGCCUGCAGAGAACGAACCGACAGAUAAAAUUGCAUGAGCUGCCAUUCGAUCAGUUCUUCUUUAUCUUAUUAAGUUUACGGGUUCGUUCAAGCGGGCGGGCCUCGCCUGGAAAUAGAGGACGGAGGUCUGCGACGGCGAGUUGAGGGUGAAGCCGCCCUUGAGGAAGGACCAGCAGUCGUUUCGCACCAGAGCCGUGCCCAGGCACUGUGAUCCAGCGUUGUCUAGUGACAGGAUCUUGGCCUUCACGUGGAUAGUUCCUGGCCCGUUGAAUUUCACCCAGCCUAGAAGAUUGAAAAUCAUGGUGAACAAAUGAACUUAUGGCAACUUUAGUUGUAAAAACGUCAGAGCGGUGUUACUUCGAGCCACACGUGUGGCACUUGUUAUUUAGGUAUUUUUUUUCUUUCUGGUUUGAUUCCCUCACAUAGAUGUGUAGACAUGCACUAGACAUACCCAAAAUCUAAAGCAUUGUUAAAAAAAAUCAAUAUAUUCACCAUUAGAUAUAUUUUAAUAAUGCAUUUAUUUAAUGGCUGUUGAUAUUUUCUUUUAAAUAUUCUUGGCCAAACUUAGAAACAGCUGACUUUUAACUGAGUUGAUGCGCUAUCUAUUUUGGGAAUGGAGGGAGUGUGCAAUGCACUAACGUCUGUACUGUACUGCCAUGAUGAUACAGGUAUAAAUAGCUCAUGAUACAACCGAGUAGUACUACUAGUAGUAAAAAAGGUGUGCUCGUGGUGGAAAGAGCAUGAGCACGCAUGCCUUUGCUCAAUCUGGGGCGCCGUCCACCCACCCAAAUAGCCAAUGAGCUCAAUUCCCUCCCGCCACCGCCAUGCAUGCCCCGCCACCCUACACACACAAGGUAACAAAAGCUAGCGCUCAUCUCGCUCGCCUGCUUCUCAGUGCUCUCUCCGCCUGUAUGGAUCUCACUCGAUGCGUGGGCGUGGUCACAAGCACGCACGCACGCGUCCGCCCGCUCCCUACCAUCGGAAUGAAUGAAGGAAACGAUCGAUCGAGCGCUGGUCCACGCGGUGUCGCGGCGCGCGCGCGCCACAUGCACAGCAGCGAUGCGCGUACUGUGCACCCAUCCAUCCUCCACCCACGGCGGCACGCGUGUGCAUGCAUGCGCAGGACGGCGGCUGGUGCGCUGAGCAUACGACGUGCCUCAUCUGCCCAGGCCGCCCGCCGCGCGCCCUCGUCGCCACCCCCACGUCUUGCCUCAAGCUUUGUCCCGCGCGCCCACCCCAUACCUGUACCUGUAUGCGCGCGCGCAUGCGGCCGCGGGAGGAAUCUCCGUCGCCGUCGUCGCCCCCACCACGUACCACUACCAGCACUCGAUCGGUCGUCGCUGGCUAUGGCUCCUUGCCUCGCCCGUCUUUCUCCGCGCCCGCUACCUCCUGCCCGUUCCUGCUGCUCGCAUACCUAGCUGCCGCUUAAUCAUUCUCGAUACAGGUCCAGCGAGAGCCUAGAGCCCAGAUCCUUCUGCCCUCACUCCGUGAUUGGAUUCAUUCCCUUGGAUUGUCCGGUUCUCAGUCUUCCCGGUGUGUGUGGAUGUAUGUAUGUGUGUGUGUGUUGGUAGUAUUGGCCAAAAUGAGGACAAGUCUAGGUGGACUGGACCUCUCAAAUCUGAUGACUAUCUGGAAGUUACCUCCGAACUACAGUUCAGUAAACUGUGGACAGGGUUGGGUGGACUGGACCAAUUGCAGUACAGAUAUUUCCACACUUUGGGUCCUCGCUUCUUUGUGUUUACUAAUUACUAUACAUCUGAAAUCUGACUGUCUGAACAAGCACGCAUUUUUUCCCCUGAGCUGAACCAGACCAGUUCAGUAAAAGCUUUAUGCAUCUUACUGACAUAACUGUAGGACCACGCAAGUGCUGUGCGCAAAUUCUCACCUUCACACACCACACACUCCUUGAAUUUGCAGAAAAAAAUAAAACUGUUUGCAGAGUACGAAAAACACACUGCCGUAACCCUGAAAACUUUCUAGACUACUCAUUGUCGAUUUGGCAAAUCCUAUUGGAUUUCAAGUUGAAAAAAAUGCACGGAUGUACAAAAACUCUGUUUUCCGACAUGCGCAUCUUCCUUCGAGACCAUCCACGACCGGCCCUUGAGCGAUGCGGCGGAUGGGCUUGCAUCCGCACUCAGCAAAGCUUACCGACAGAGUUAUGCUGUGUUUUGUCUCAAAAAAAAAAGUUAUGCUGUGUUUCGCCCAAGCAAGUUGUACAUCUAUUUUGAGGUUUUUUUUUCUUUUUUGAACUUGCGGAUAUGCUUUUCAAAAGGCAUUUUCAGAUUUGAAAUGUCAAGUCUCUUUUCGCGUAGCUCGUCCCUGGAAAUCUUCUACUUAGAUCUCAUCAAACUAAAUUCCUUUCUUUUUUCUAGGACUAGGUGUUUUGACUUUUGACCCUCAAACUAAAGAAAAAGAAUUUAGGGGAAAAGGACAUGUCUGACUGACACGUUUUUCUCAAAAAUUAUUCUCACUCCUUUUCUACACAUUCUCAAUCAAGUUAUUAACCUAUUUAAGUAAGGAUAAUUAGCCAUGCAUAUACAUGGAGUGAGUCGCUCACAAAACAAGCAAUUUCAGCAAUGAAAUUGGGAGCUGGGCUCCUUUUAUCGAGAAAAGAAAAAAAAAACUCACAUGAGAAGCUGUACGCCAUGCCCGCAGACAUGUUGUAGAGCACGAAGGAGGGCGAGUAGUUGCCUUCGUCCGCCGUCCUGAAGUCCUUGAUCUUCUUGGCCCACCGCAGGAUGCCGCCGUUGUACAGCGCAGGCUCAGGGUGGCCUUUGCACUGCAGAGCAAGAAAGAAGCAGCAGAAAAACGCCCGCGGUGAGUCGAGGACAGGGACGGACGAGGCCGAAGCAGAGAUUUAUUCCGAGAGAUGGAUGGAGACGGUGCGGCGUACCUCAGUGUAGGCCUUGUAGUCGUAGCGCAAACCGUCAGCUGCAUGCACGCACGGAGGAUGAGAUUAAGUAGCAUCAGUUUAAGCUCUGCCUCUGCACUUGAGCGUAGGCUUGCGGUGCCCGGAGGCGGUACUCACCGGAGGAGCCAUGCGGAGCGAGCGAGGCGGCGAGCAGCAGCAGUGGCAGGAGGAGGAGCAUGUUGUUGGGCUUGGUCCGAGGAGGAGGAGGAAGAGGCGACGCCGCCGCAGGCUCCAUAACUUGGUGGCUAAGGUGCAAGAACUGCUCUGUUGAGAGCACAGGCAACCGGCCGGCGGGUAGCAAGCGUAACCGGGCGGGCAGUUCUCCCGUGAUCCUUUCCUUGUCCCCGUGUGUGUGUUCGGUCGGUGCGCCUACCAUACCGAUCCAGCAUUUAUACAGCAACGAAACAACGAGCGAGCCAGCGAGGUAGUGGUAGCAGAGACAAUUCGAACGUGGGUGAUACUAAGUGGUUACUUAGUGCAACGAUCUUACUGCUGAUUAAUUAGGUAGGUAGAUGAACAUGAGCAGGGCCGGACUAGCUAGCCAAGCCACACCUGCAUAGCAUAAUUAGGCUGUGGGUUUGACUAGUUGCUGGAGUAUGUUGCUACCUAGCUCAUGGAUAAACUAAUGACUAUCUUACGCUUGAGAGCUGCGACGUUGCUAACUAUUUUACGCAUGACAAGUAUUUUUUGAACGGAGGGAGUAAGUGCUGCCAGUAGCUGGUUAGUGGCAUUGCCAUGACACGAAGUUAGUGUUUGACUCGGCAGUCAUUAAGCUUACUACAUGCACGUGGAGCUCAGCACUGUCCACGGAAUUACUUUCGGUGCGAUAUCUGCACAUACAGUGGUACGCGUGGAGAGUAGCAACGCAGGUGAGAGGCGAUGGGCCGGCUGACCGACACCUCGCCGGAGAGCAUGCAUUAUAUUAUACGGCUACGCACACUCGAGGUCAGUGUAUAAAACCUGUCAUCUAUUCUCUGGGUAUGGUAUGCAUGGAGAACCAGCAUCGUCUCUGUGCUGUACUGUCAGCAUAUCAUUUUGUUAGGACGACCGGUGGGUGAUUAGGCUACCAUUCUGUUAGGAGGACAAAGUCCAUACCAUCAUUUGUCCUACCUCUACUGUUAAGCCGCGAGCUGUAUGUGGUUUUGGCCUUUUGGGGGACGCACAAUAUAUGUCCCGACAUUUCUAGUGGGUGCCAGAAGGUCGGGACCCGGAACAUGGAAUGUUUUGACGGCAAAGUGAUGAACAAUCGUGCUGAAUCAGUCUCCUGUUAUUCGUGCUCUUUCCUACUGUACUGACUCGGUCAGGGACACUGCAGGGCGAGGCCGCAGCUACAAUACAUGGGCCCGUGUUUAGCCGGGAAGCAUGCGUUCGGAAAUUGCUAAUGGAGCUCGAGCACAAGCUUUGGAAAUUUCAAAAAUUAACUGGUUUUACUAUGAAAAAACGAAUUACGAAAGCAUGCACAUAAAGGAUGUACCCCCUCCGUUCCUAAAUAUAAGUCUUUGUAGAGAUUUCACUAUGGACCACGUACGGAUGUAUCUAAAUGCAUUUUAGAGUAUAGAUUCACUCAUUUUGCUCCGUAUGUGGUCCAUAGUGAAAUCUCUUCAAAGACUUAUAUUUACACCGCGAGUAACUUGUCCGGCUCGGUCCGGUCGCAUGGAGCAAGCAGCUGAUCUGGUCCCACGGAGCUCAAGAGAUUUGGGGGCUACACUGCUCGCCUCGCUCCAGUUCAUCAGCGAUCCACGCCUACAAUCCCAAGUAAAUCUCAUUCAUCGCAAAUUAAUCAGUAUUUAUUUCCAUGUCCAUCCAAACCAAUAAUCGUCCUGUUCUCCAUGCAUCUUACCUAGAGUAGUUUUCUUGAUUCCAUCUACGAACCAGGCUUUAACUGGGUCCGAUGAUAUGCGCUUAGUCCCUUUGGAACCCUUCAGUUUACCCCCAAACACGCAUUUGUUUCGCCCAUGCUGAUGGCUGCAAUAAUCCUUCGAAAAGUUCAGGGAUAGAAGAAGAAAUGACACCAAUACAAUGUAUUCAGAGACACAUCCUGCACUCCAAACUGCUCCUGGUAUGUAAGCAAAAAUCCCAGCAUCCCAAUCGUAUGAAGUCCAGCUUUGCAAACUGGCUAGCCAUUCAUCAUGACAGUACCAUAGUUCAGUUAUGCAGAAUUGCACAGAGCUGGUUAAUGUUGACCUCACAUUUUAUUCACAUGUACUACAGUGAUAUAAAGGGAGCAGAGGAAAGUGGCCAGGUAAAUCAAGUGCAAGCCACUUGGAUACCGUUCCUAACUCUCAAGCAUCCUAUCCUUUUUAAGCAUUACAAGUCGCUCAACUACCGCCGCCAUGUCGGGCCGAUCUUCUACAUCUUCUUUUAGGCACUCAAUUGCCAGCUUGCCAAUUUCUUCCAGGCAAUAGAUAUCUUCUUCUUCAGUUGCGAUCUCCUUGUCCAUCAUCGCCCUACCGCUCUUUUCUUUCUCACAAACUUUACGGAACUCCAAAAUGAGGCUACAGUAUUCGUCGUAUACACUUGGCUUCCUGGUAAUGAGUUCUAAGAGAAUCGCCCCAAAGCUGUAGACGUCGCUUUUUUCUGUCAGUUGCCCGGUUUUAAGGAACACUGGGUCAACGUAAGCCAUGUCCCCAGCUACAAUCUUGCCGAAAUAAUAUUCCUCUCUAAGCAGCUUCCAUAACCCGAAAUCUGAGAUUUUCGGUACGAACUUGUCAUCCAGAAGUAUGUUGUCCGGCUUGACAUCACCGUGCCGUAUGGCUUGAUUUCCAUAGGAGUGCAUGUAUGUUAAGCCUUGUGCAGUUCCAAUUGCAAUAUGCAGACGCAGGUCUAAGGGGAGCUUUUGGUUUCUGCUGUUGCCAUGAAGAAUGUCUUGAAGACUUCCUUUGCCAGCAAACUCAUACACCAACAUUGGAACAUCCACCUCCAGGCAGCAACCGAUGAGGUUGAGAAUAUUCACGUGCAUCAUAUGUGUCUGGAUCUCUAUUUGCUCGAUAAACUGCUCCUUUAAAGCUUCAGUUACCUUGACAGAGGACAUAACUGCCACUGCGGUGUUCUCAGGAAGGGUUCCUUUGCAGACUUUACCAAAGCUUCCGACCGAAAGAAACUCUGAGUUGUUGUUGGUGAUUUUUCUUAGUUCGCUUUUUGUGAAAAUGUAUAGUCCCUUGACAUUCUGCAGUACUGGACCUCCAUUCCUUUUGAAAUUUGUGUGCGCAUUCCUACUGAAGAUGCCCAAACUGUUCAAGUUGAAGAACACGGUAGAGUUAGAGCUGGAAAUCCUUUCGCUUUGUGUUGUGUUGUUGUCUUGUUUUCCCCACAAUGUCCAGUGACCUGCCGUUUUUUCUUGACCCUUCUGGCAACGAGCUUUUAUUAGCAUCCGAAGACGUUCUGCAACAUCUUCCAUUCGAGGGCGUUUGCUCAUCUCCAUUCUGAGGCACUCAGCUGCUAGAUUUACAAUCUUGUCAAGAACCUUAAUGUUGCUCGACUGUGCUAUAUCAGCAUCGAACAUCUCUCUUGCCUUCGUUCCUUUUCGAACAGCUUGGACGAAAGUUUCUAUGAGGCCCAUGCUCCCGUUUUCAUAUGCCUUUUUUCUCGUGACUAGUUCUACUAAAACGACCCCAAAACUGUAAACAUCACUCUUCGGAUCGAUGCACCCAGUCUUAGCAAACAACGGAUCAAGGUAACCUAUGCUGCCUAUUACAUUCACUGUGUAUUGAGUGCUGUCCUUGGAAAACAUUCUGGAUAUCCCGAAGUCGUAUAAUUUCGCACCAAAGUUAUCAUCUAAAAGGAUGUUACCAGGCUUGAAAUCACCAUGAAUGGUUGGUGGACACAUGGAAGAAUGCAUGUAGCUUAAUGCCUUUGCACAGUCUAGAGCAAUACCCAACCUUUGAUCUAAAGAAAUGGGAUAGUCUUUGCAACCGAGAACUUCUCUGAGGCUUCCUCCGGAGAUGUACUCGGUGAUCAUCAUUAAAGCAUUUUUCCUCUGAACAGUAGCCCAAGAGCCUAACAACGUUCUUGUGGUUGAUUUGGCAAUGUAUGAUUAUUUCCUUGGCAAAAUGUUCCUUCAUAUCUGUGAGUGGAAUCUUGACUGCAACCUGAGUACAAUCGUCAAGAACGCCAAGGUAAACUUCUCCAAAGCUACCUUUGCCAAUGAGAGUGCUAUAGUUGUCAGUGAUCCUUUUAAUCUCAGCCUCUGUGAACUUGUUUAGACCAUCAAUGUUGAAUGAUCUCCAGUUUACGUUUUCAUCCUCUUGGAUGAGGUCUGCAGGCUUGACCUUCUUGUGACUCUAACAAAGAAGAUUAUACUGUUAUAUUGUAGGGAGAUCAAGAAAAGUGGAAGAGAAGUAUAAUUUACAAAAGGUCUCCAACACGAUGUUAUCUGUUGCACGUGACGUCUAAUAAGUAAACUUCUUUCUUGAGACCAUUCAGUAAACCAACCUGCUCAGCUGAUGAACUGUUGAUACCAAUUUUGUCUGAAUAGUCCACAAUUCCUGUUUUAUCAAGCCUAUCGCUUAUGUCCCCUGUAUUUGGUCUCUUCUUCGGGUCCAAGUCCAAACAUUCUGUCCCUAUUUUAGUGCAUACUCUUACUUGUUCCAACUGUGUAUCUCCCUCUAAUGACUCCAGUCGAUCCAUCCAACUUGCAGCUACCUGAUUCAUCCAACUUGCAACUACCUACACAGUUGCAAUCAUGAGUUAAUUAGUAUUUAAUAACUAACACCGUUCCCCAAACAACAGCGUGGGGAACAACUUUUUUGGGUUUCACGUACAUACUCCCUCUGUCCCGUGAAAAGUGUACGUUUGGCUUUAAAAUUUGUCCACAAAAGAGUGUACAUCUAUCUUCCAGGUUCGGCUCCUCUACAGUUGUGUUGUUACUGUACCGGUACAGUAGGUAGUAGAAUCUGCCGUUCAAAUCAAAUCGGAAGGCUCUUCUUUCUUCCAGCCUUCCGAUUGGUUUCCUUAAUUUUUACAUGGUUUCCUUAAUUUUUACAUGGUUCCUUUAAUCAAAAUAGCAUUCUACACAUGGUUUCCUUAAUUUUUACAUGCACUUAGGUCAUUGGGGGUAGGAUAAUUAAAGAGGAAAGAGAUGGUGGCUUGCACCUUUCCAAUGCUUUUUUACUCCAAUCCAUAAUUUGUCCUAACAUUUCUAUAUGUACAUUUUUCACCGGACGGAGGGAGUAUAUAUUUACAUAUUGUUUGCAAGAAGGCCAUAUUAACAGCCAAACGAGUCAACUGUAUGUAAUUUGAGAUCACAACACAUAAUUAAAGGUCAGAUCAAAAGCGAUACAAUUAAUGUUUUGUUAUUUACAAAUAAUUAAUUAUCUCACUUUUGAUCUUACAUACUUAUACAACAUCAAGGCUCCAACUUCCAGCUGGGUUAUUUUUUCAAUUAUUUGUGAUGAAAAAAAGGGUCAUCUGCGAUGUUUCCUGACAAAAUUAUAUGAUGAAUAUUUCGUGUCAUGGUAGAUGAAACUAUGAUAAGGGGAAAAUUUCUCGAUGUACUUUUGCGAGUCAUGUUACAUGAAGAAAAUUCUGAUGCAAAAAUUUCGUCACAAAAUAUAUCUAGUGAUACAGAGAUUUUGUUUCGUGAUGAUUCACUAUGCAUAGUUUCUUGUAGUGGGUGUCUAGAAAACGGGAUCAAUUUACUUCCACCAAAAAUAUGCAUACCUAUAGUGCUAUAUGAUGGAGUCCUAGACUAGGGGGUACUCAUCACGUCGUCUCCCGACCAGGUGGGUCUAGCCGAGGACCACCAUGGCGGUUCACCAAUGGGCCACUUUGGGCAGCCCAUGAUGCAUAGAAGGAAGAUUCCACAAGACUUGGCGCACAAGAAGAGGACUCUUCUAAACCCUAGGCCUCCGGUGCAUUAUAUAAACCGAGGCCAGGCUAGUCAAUAGAGGAUUACAAAGUAGAUCAACAAUCUCAUGGUAGAUACCUGUACUCUGUACUAUACCUCAUAUCUAUACAAUCAAAAGCAGGACGUAGGGUACAUUAUCUCUUCGAGAGAGCCCAAAUAUGGGUAAAAUCCUGUGUCCAUGUUACCAUCGCUCUAAGACGCCUAGCUUAGGGCCCCUACCUCGAGAUAUGUUGGAUUUAGCACCUAUACUAUACUACUUACAAGAAGAAUGAUUUUUGUGAAAACCAACCAAUGUUAAACGUCCAUAAUAUCAAAUCUGAUGGGGGCAAGAAAGAAAACCUGGAACCUUAGCCUCUAAUGACUUCACUAAAGGGUUAAUCACAUACUUCUUUAUCCUAUUUAUGUAUUCUAAGAAAAACGUUGUGUUAGUUUAUUUAUUUAGCAAGGUGGAGUUAAUAUUGUGAAUGUGCUAAGUUCAUAAUAAACCAAAUAAAAUGCAAGGAUGAUUUUUGAAUUGGUGAAAGUACAUUUUGGGUGGAGUAGUCAAUAUAUCAAAACCGUGCAUCACAUGUAUAGUUGUAUAUGUUUGGUAGUAGUAGGAAAUCAAAAUCACAUAGCUUGGUAACAAUGAGUAUUUAAAGUAAAGUGUCAAAAUGUUGUUAUUUGAAGCAUCUUAAGAAUGUACAUUUUCAAGGAAGUGUACAUGUGCAAUGCACAAUCCAAGAGAAUGUACCAAUAUAUGUAGAAGAUCACAUCUAAAUUGAAUUUAACUUCGUAAAAGGUAUUUCUUCUCUCACUAACCACACAGAUGAUUUCACAAGCAUGAGAUUAAGAUAUAAUUAUAGCAAACUUAAAUCGUGAGUGGUUGCUGAAAGUAUAUAUGGAUGGGUCGGAUCAAAAUGCCCUACCACCUUGUAUUUGUAUUAGUGCUAAUGGGGGAGAUAUAUUUGCUAAACUAGAGUGUAAAACAUUGAUUUAACAAUAUUUCCUUCGACUAACUUGGAGGAUAGCAUAACUUGUUGUUACCUUCUCAUCUUCUUGAUAACUCUUCUCUCCUGUCAGUAUCUCCAUGAUUAUGACGCCUAGGCUAUAUAUAUCUAACUUGUAUGUGAUUUGUCCACUCAGGAGUUCCGGAGCAAAAUAUCCUCUGUUGCAAGAUUUAUGAAGUCUGAUUGAUGAAUGUGCAAAUAAAUUGUAUAAUAGUUUUUGCCACCAAAGAGAAGAAUAACUUUUAAGAGGCUUGCUUACCGUGAUAGAAAUAUUUGUUCAGUGAAUGCACUUGUUUGCCCUUCCUCGAAACACCUUGAUAGACCAAAAUCAGUAAUUUUAGGUACCAUGUGAUCAUCUAAAAGUAUAUUAGCGGGCUUGAGGUCCAAAUGAAGAAUGCACUUCUGAUGAAGAUAAUGUAGCCCCUCGCAUAUUCCCCUGAUUAUUCGAUAGCGCUCUCUCCAUUCAAGUCCAGUAGAUACAUCUGAAGAGGAGGUGGCAGGUUUUUUCAAAUAGUCAUAUUUAAUUUUUAUCGAUAUUGAUAUUGUAAUGUAAAUCUAGGAAUGCAAAGUACAGAACAUGCUAAGUAGUCAAAUAACCUACAAUAGAGUAAAUAAAUAUUGACAGAAAUACAAAUUGAGCAUCGAUCCUACCGGUAAUAUGCUUAUCAAGACUCCCUUUGGGCACAUGCUCAGAGCAAAGCAGCCAGUUUCGUCGAUCUGACAUGACAAGCUUUCCCUUGUAGUCUUCCAUUUCCCCUUGUGUCUCAGCGCAAUACCCCAAGAAACGUACUAUGUUCUCAUGCUUAGCCUUCAUCAAGCAUUUAACCUCUUGGUGGAAUUUAUUCUCGCGGAUAUUGUAUGUGUUGGAUAGCUUCUUGACAGCGACCAUGUAUUUUCCAACCAUCCCCUGUGGUGACAAUAUGCAUUGUCAGCUUCGUGUGUGUCUGGCCCUGCACAUACCAAAAUGCUAUUUACCUUAUAAACCACUGCAAACCCUCCGAUGCCGAUUUGGUUAUCAGGAGAGAAACGGUUCGUGAUGUCCUCCAAUAGUGAUACUGGCAGUUUCACGGGCUCUGCAUUUUUAUCAACCAGCAAGCGCUCCAGGAUGGCGUGUUUACUGUUGCCUUCGGGAUCCAUUCGCAAUCUCCUGAAUCGAGAGCAAUGCCGUUAUUUAGGCUUAUAGUACAUCUUAGUACAUUAUUGACGCCGACUGUUGAGGAAAUUAAACUGCACGUGAACAGCAUGCACCAUGUAAUUGUACUUUGUCAUUCCGAUGACCAAACACCCUUAAAUGGCAGUAUUGCUCUGCUUGAAGACUGAAAGUUUCAGUCCAACUUCACUACUUACUGUAUUUCAGCAAAAAUGAUAGACUUACAAAUCUCCGGCGCCGAGAUGAAUGAGCCGGACAGUUUACCGUUGACCAAGAGACUAGCUGAUUACCGUGGGCUAAGAACACCGGCAGAUCAGAUCUAGCGCAUCCGGCGCAACAGAAAGAGAGAGAGACAGAGAGCGGCCAGCGAGAUCGAUGUAGCUAUGGAAACUGAUUAAGGAAUAGCUACCUCGGCAAGCAAGUUGAUUGCCCGAUCUUCGCCGGCGCAAGAGCGGCCGCCGUCGACCGUCGUCCUCAACGCCCAGCUAAUAAUUAAUCAUGGGACCAAAUAGUAAGAGUGAGUAAUACAUCAUACUGGAGGAGCAUACCUUGGCUAGACGACGGGGCGGCCAAUCAAGCAAUCCUUGAGAUGAUUAGACGACCGAGCUUGUAACUGCGGCUGCUCUCCCUUCCUCCGGUUCGACGACCUUCCUUCCCCGGCAACGCCUCCAGGCUCCAGCUAAUUCGACUAAUUCGUACUGCACUACUGCUACAUGUAUUUUCUAUGUUCUACUUGCAGCUAGUAUAAUACUCUUGCCAGUGGCGCGAGACUAGUUUAAUGACCCACAAUAAUUGAGCAACCAAAACACAUGGUAUGCUGGGGCGGCGGGUGUAAUCCAUAUAUAUAACUAGAUGACACCCCGCACGUUUCAAGAUCUCAUGGCAAAAUAUCAUAACACGAGCUCGUCGGAGAAAAACAAUAACAUGAUCUCUCGGCUUAUCCUAACGAUUCUACAACACUCCACAAAUUUCGGAUCAGAUCUUGGAGUGACACUGAAGAAAAAGUGAAAAACCAAAAUCUCAUCUAUUUUCUCACCUUUUCUUUGGCUGACCUCGGUUACAGACUUACAGUUGGCGCAACUUCUCACCAUUGAAUCCGACGAUGUGUAGGUCGUCGUAGCUCCUCCCCAUAAAAUCCGGCGGUGGUGGGAGUUAGAGAAGUUAGAUGAUGCGUCGUUACCAAGGAGCAGCAAAGAGGUGAACAUGUGUGUGGAGCUCGGUCGCAAACCAUAUGGAAUGCUGCAGUGGCACAUGUCAUCACAGCUCCUCGCCGUUGAAUCCAGCGGUGGCAGGGCUUGGUGAGGUUGGAUCCAGCCGUCACCGGGAUAGCGGAGAGGUGAAGGUAACUGCACAACAGAUGGCUCGGGAAAGGGACAUGGGAGAGAAAUAAAAGAUGGAGAGAGCAACCAGAUCGUCGAAGAAGAUUAGACUUAAACCUUGGUGGGCUAGGGAUACCACUGUCCUUUUAACCAUCCAACCACAGGUUGGUUUGCUCUCGUCUUCCCUUUUCUACGGACAAACAAAACCUGAAAAAGCAUGUGGACGAGUUUCUUCACAUCUUGUGCAGUCAACGUAAGAUAACUUGCUUUGUUAAUAGAGGAAAUUCUAAACAAAAAUUAUGUGAGGUGUAUUCUAUUUAGAAGCCUUUCCAAGGAAAAAUUAGUACAAAAGAUUAAAAGAUGAAUGCAGAGUCAGAAUUAGGCUGGGAUGCACACAUGGUAAGAACACUAGCUAUGCGUAUUGUGACAUUAGCAAUUUAUAUCAUAGUGGAAGCAAGAUUAAUAAAAGGGAGCAUUCUUCGUCAUUCACAUUGUUGUUAUAAUAAGUCAUAAAUUGUUGUGUUCUGUAAACAUCUUCUACAGUCAUCUUAUUUCUAGAUAAUGUCAAAGUCAUGAACAACUAUGUCUAGAACAUUGGGUAAACAUGACGAACAUUUGUUUAUUCAAAAAAAUACAUGGUGAACUGUUUGUUAAUAUUGUGCACACUUCUUAAUUAUGCGAUGAAAACUAUUAAAAACAUACAUGAUAAUUUAUUUUUAAAUACACGAUGAACAUUUUUAAAUAAGUGAUGACCUAUUUUGAAUCCACAAAGAAUUUUUCUAAAACACAUGAUGGACAUUUUUAUAACACAUGACGAACAUAUUUCGAUACAUGACGAACAUGUUUUGCACAAAUGAUGAGCAUUUUAUAAAAAAAAGUUUCACCUAGCUACAAAAUGUUUCUCCACUUUCAAAAAAUAUUCCAGAAAAUGUAAAAACAUUAUUUAUGUAAUAUUAUCACUUUCUUAAAGAAAGAUUCGUACUUUUAUAGAUAAAAAACAUAGAUAAAACCUCAGUGAACUAUAACGAACGGAGAGAAAAAAUUCACAAAACCCCACAUGCGCGCGUGUUUUGUUGACUAAGCGUCAAAUAGAGGGAACGCCUAUGUCUGGCUUGACGCAAGACGUAGGACAGCCUCGCCUAAAGGCGACCGCGGGAUGAGCCGGCCCAGGCAUGCGAGGCCACAGCCUACUUUUUUUCAUUUGUUUUUCCUUUACUUUUUACAUUACAAACUAUUCAAUAUACAUAUAGUAAAAAAGACUUUAAUAAAACAUUAAAAAAAUAGUAAUCAAGCAUUUGAAAAAUGUUAAAUAUGUAUAGAAAAAUGUUUCUCAUGUAUACGAAAAAAGUGUACACACAAUAUACAGUGUUUAUAAAAAAUUUGAUAAUGUAUUUAAUAAAUUCUAAUCAAGCAUUUGAAAAAGUGGUAAUCAUAUAUUUUAAAAAUAUUAAUCUACAAUUUCAGAAAUGUUAAAUGUGUAUAGAAAGAAUGUUUCCAACGAAAAAAUAUAUAAUGUAUAUGAAAAAUGUCACGUAUUUAAAAAAUUAAUCAAGCAUUUAAGAAAUGUUAAUCAAGUAUUUGAAAAAUCUUAAUGAAGUAUUUGAAAAUGUUAAAUGUGUAUAGAAAAAAUGUUUCCGAUGUAUACAAAAAAUAUACAAUGUGUAUGAAAAGAAUGUUUAUCAUGUAUUUAAAAAUGUUAAGGUGUAUAAAAACAUAGAUUAUGUACUUAAAAAAUUCUAAGCAUUUAUUAACAUAUUCAUCAUCUGUUUAUUAUUUUGUUAAUGGCAAUAUUCCUUUUUUUCACACACAAUCUAUAUUUUUCAUAUACAUCAGAAACACUUUUAUAUACAUGUUUAAAUUUUUUAAAUAUAGAAUUAACUUUUGUAAAAAUAUAUGUUUUCUGGUGUCUACAUUUAUUUAAUGUACGUUAGACAAUGUUUUUCUAUACAUCAGAACUAUUUUUUUAUUCACGUUUAACAUUUUGAAAAUACAUGAUCAACCUUUUUUUAUUCAUGUUUAACAUUUCAAAAGUAAAUUUUUCGGCUUUCUUCUUGUCCUUUUUCUUUGGUUGCUUUUCGGUUUUCCAUUCCUGUUCAUUUUGUUUUCCCCUAAAAGAAAAAACUAGGACCGGCAGUAUGAAUGCAUGCUUUCUAGUAGCUGCCAUUUGUUUAUGACGUGAGUGCCGUCAGUUGUUUAUGAAAAAUCCAAUUGCACAAUUGCCUCAAUUUAUCUUCAAUUUCAGUUCACAGAUCUGAAAAUGGAGUGGAAGUAAUGGCAAAAUCACAUUGUCCUUAUCAUGUCAAUCGUCUCGAAAGCUGGAGUGUACUUCGGUUGAUAAAUCGACUUGUUUAAAUAAAUUACUUGAUUCAUAAGAAGUGGUUAGGCUUCUGCAGGUCGGCGGAGGCGGAGGCGGCGACCGCGGCAACGGGGUGAUCGAGCGUGCGGUCGGGGCGGCGUAGCUUAGUCUGGAGAGAAAGCUUGUUCAGUUCAUCUGCUCGUCUUUGAGGGUGCUUGCUGCCGUCAAAAUUCAGUCUGCGUUCCGUGGUUUUUUGGUAAUACAUCUUGUUCUUGCGACAAUUUAUGUUCGCCAGCUUAACCCUUGUCCUGUCUUGAUUGUGUGCUGAUUGUGCAGGCCAAGAAGGCACACCGGGGCUUAAAAUCAGUGGUGAGGUUACAACAAUGCGGAAUUCGUUCGUACAUGUAUAAAUUUGUCGUUGUAACAAAAAUGAUGUACUAAUCACAGACUUCGUUUGUACUAUUAUUUUAUAGACAAUCCUGAGAAUAGAAAUUGAGUCUAAUUAAAUUAAAUAUUUAUAUUUUACACAUGUUUAUAAGUCAUUAUUAACUGCCAAUGAUUACUUACUUUUAUAUUUACUUACGAUAAUUAUGCUUAAUAUAAAUCAUAGUAUUUUCUGCUAAGUUAUAAUGUGUGUCAUUAAAAUAUGUGCACGCCCUACACUAAAUUUGAUUAGUUUCUUUCUAUUCAAUAGAUUGCACCAUAAAAUAAUACUUAAACUCAACCCCUCUAACCAUAAGAAAAUAGAAUACAUAAAAUUGCAUGUUUCAUGGAUUAAGUUGUGACACUCACAUGACCAUAGUAUAUACGUAUAUCUCUCUCGGUGUGUCUUUAAAAAUCAGAAAUAUCCUAAUAGCGGCUUCUAGUAAACUAUUAGGUAUACAUAGAGAGAGAAAAAAAAUAUCUCGUAGAUAUGUUUACAACAUCCCAAAUCCUUGGCCACAUCUCACAUCUUCGUCGCAUCUCGCAUGUGGAUCGUGCAUGGAUGUACCUACCGGGAUCGUGGAACCUGGAGGCAACAUCAUAUUAUGACUUUGAUUUGGUGGUAGAAAUUGGAUAAGUCGUUCUAAGUUUCUGGCUGCGGUUCGAUUGGAAACAUUAGUAUCCUAGUAUGCAUUGUGACCAACUGCUCAAGUGAGAUUCUUGUGUCAUCUAUGUGGAGAUAAAAUCGAUCUAAUCUUGUCUAUUUACAUACCGGUAAUGGUUGAACUUGAAACUAUGUGAGGAAUUGUGGAGAAUUAUUGCGUAAACGUGAAUUAAAAGCUCUGACUGUUAGCUGUUGUGCAAGAAAAUCGAAGCCCUGCUUUGUCCCUAGUAGUGAUAUUUUGCUCGUAUGAAGAAUUUGUGAUGAGUUAGUGAGUUGUGAGUGACACAAGUGUAUCUUAGUUUUUUUCUUGUUUUAUUAACAACAUUUAUGUUCCUUGUUCAUGUGCUCUAUGCUUCUUAUUGCAGUUGUUCGAUCUUUUGCUGAUACAAAUAUUUGAGCUGAUAUUUUGCAUUCUUUACGGUGCCAACCAAAGCCUGGAUCAAACAACAGUUCACCUUUGAAGCUCUCAGUGUCUUUGAUGGGUCACAUUAAAGCAGUCAAUUGUGUGGACUGGUCACCGGGCCAUGGUAUGUAGGUAUUUUCUGUACUUUGAUUUGCUUUUUUUUUUGCUUGGACUUAUGUUUACCAAAUUAUAAGUAAACACACUUAGAAAUGACAUGUGUAAGGCGCUCUCUAGGAUUAUGUGUUACAUUUUCUUUGCAGGAUUCUUGCUUUCUGGUUUUUGAUUCACAAUAAAUGUUAUAUUAUGAGCAAUCGGUCGUCUAACAUGAUAUGAGUAUGGAUAUUAACUAGUGAACAAAGGACAUCCAAUACAUGUCGUGAUAAUGACAUCAUUUCUAAAUUUAAUGAUAUAAACCUCGCAAAGUAUGUGUAGAUAUCAAUUGCUAUACUCACUCUAUUAUUCCAUUCUCUUCUCUCACUAGGAAAAAGUCUAAUAAUGUUCACUAUACACAAGAACAAAGCUGUAAAGAUUCUAACAGAUCUGCAAAUGUUUUAUCCGAUUCAUGAUCAUAUAUAAAAAUCACGCACGAUUUCUCAAAUUCACGAGCAAUUUUCGAAUCCAUGGACUUUCAAAUACAUGAAUAAUUUUUGAACUAGGGGAACAAUUUUACAAUUCAUGAACAUUUUCUGAAAUUCAAGAAAAUUUUCAAUUUAUGAACAAUUUAAAUCAUAUAAUAUUUUGAAAUUUUGAAGCACUUUCAGAAAUGCGCAAACAUAUGAUUAUUUUGUGAACAUUUUAUGAACCGAUGACUAUUUUUGAAUUGAAAAUUAUUAUUAUUAUUUUGGGAACUCUUUUUGGAAUUCGUGAACAUUUUUGGAUAUUCGGAUUGUUUUAUUAUAUUUCAUGAACAAUAAUUUGAAUUCAGAAACAUGGGUUUUUGAACAGAAUAUUUUUAAGUUCUUGAAGUUUUGUGAAAUUCAGAAUAUUUUUUAAAUCCCAAUUUUUUUUGUAGAAUUACCAGUUCAUGAACAUUUUUUGCAAUUGAGAAAGAACAAAAGUACAAAAGCAAAAAAAAAAAAACGUGGCUCACCCUGCAUAUGGGCCGGCCCAAAAGCACGCGUUGGGGGUGGGGGAGCACUUAAACCUGAUUAUAUGGCGGGCUGGGCCGGGUUUCGGGUUGGGCUUGAAAAAGCCAGAAACCCAAACUUCAAGCCCCAAGCAGGUCCAAAGCCCGAAAGUACACACUUUCUCAAGUUCGAGCCUCGCCCAAAUAUAGGCCCGAAGCCCGAAAGUCUAGCCCAAAUGUUGUUUCUCAAUGUUUUACGUGUAAGCCCGACCUGAAUUCUGAAAGCCCAACCAAAUACUAUUUCUCAGUAUUGUUACGAAAGCCUAAGCCUAGCCGAAAUGUACUUUGGGUUGCAAAACAAGGCCCGAGCUCAGCCUGUAUUUUUCAGGCCAAGCUCGGGCCGGGCUACCCACAGGUUUAGGUGCAUGUUUCCUCACUUUUCCCCGCGUAGGUCAGGGAAUAGGAGGUCUCCGGCAAAUACGCACACACGUCAAAUGGAUGCGAAGACAGUCACAAGCAAGGUGACUUGGGCAGGCCAGCUAGGGGUGUUGUUUCGUUUGCUGGUUCCUGCUGUGUUGUUUUGCCUGGUUUUUGUGUUUGGCUUCUGAACUGUUUGUUUUUUUCUUGNNNNNNNNNNNNNNNNNNNNNNNNNNNNNNNNNNNNNNNNNNNNNNNNNNNNNNNNNNNNNNNNNNNNNNNNNNNNNNNNNNNNNNNNNNNNNNNNNNNNNNNNNNNNNNNNNNNNNNNNNNNNNNNNNNNNNNNNNNNNNNNNNNNNNNNNNNNNNNNNNNNNNNNNNNNNNNNNNNNNNNNNNNNNNNNNNNNNNNNNNNNNNNNNNNNNNNNNNNNNNNNNNNNNNNNNNNNNNNNNNNNNNNNNNNNNUUGUGUUUGAGCGUUUUUGAAUAAUACAAGGUGAUUUUUUUGACAAUUCAUGGUGAAUAUUUUUCUAAUACACAAUGAAUAUUUUUAGUUCAUUUUUAAAAUAUGUUUAUAUUUUUUAAAUACAUAAUGAGAUUUUUUUACUUUUAAAAGUACACGGUUAAGCUUAUUAAUACAUGAUGAACAUUUCUGAAACAUGGUGAAAAUUUUCAUUUAUGCACAAUUAACAUUUUUUUAAUUACGCGAUGACAACUUUUAAAUACAUGAUAAUUCAUUGUUAAAUACAGGAUGAACUUUUUAAAAUUAAUGGCAAACCUUUUAAAUUCACGAUCAACAUUUAUAAGAUACAUGGCGAACAAUUUUGCAAUACGCAAGAAACAAUUUAAAUUCACGGUUAUCAUGUUUUGAAGACAUGAUGAACAUUUUUUAAAAGCCUCACUUAUCUAGAAAAAAUGUUCAUAAAUCAACUUGUUCAUCCUAAGAGAAAAAACUACGACCAGCGGUAUGAAUGCAUUGCACACGCCUGAAUUUCUCUUCAGUUUCAGUUCACGGAUCUGAAAAUUGACUUGAAGUAAUGGCAAAAUCACAGUGUCCUUAUCAUGUCCAUUGCCUCGAACAGCUGCAGUUGUUCGGUUGACAAAUCGACUUGUUUAAAUUAGUUGAUUCAUAAUAACUUGUUAUACAAAAUACACACUGAAAUUACAAAAUCUUGAUAAAGCAAGCAACACACAAACCACCCCCUCAUACUCGCCUGAUACACUCGUAGUACAUGACUGUUAUUCUGAACCCUCAAUUCUGUAAUGCACAUAGUAAAACGGAGCAGCGAAUGGCGGAGCACCAAACAAUUCCCACGCAUGCAACGCAUCAUAAAUAGCAACGACGUCGAUCACUCACUGACCAUGAACCGGCCGGUGAUAGAUUUCAGUGCCGGGCUGGACGUACGGUGGCUGAUCUGAGACUCUGAGUCAGUGGUGUCCGUGGUAUCCACCGUCGCCGCCGCCGGCGUAGGCGGGCGUGGGAGGGACAGGGUGGUAGUCCGGGUGGGGCUGCGGCUUGGGCUCCGGCUUGGGCACGGGGCCGUAGUCCGGGUGGGGCUGGGGCUUGGGCUCCGGCUUGGGCGGCACGGGCUUCUUAUGGUGGAAGUGCUCAAUGAUGUGCUUCUUGAUCGGCCCGCACAGGGUCAUGGACGCGCACUCGGGCGACGCCGCGGACGACGUGGCGGUGUUCUCGCCGGCGACGACGCCGUAGGUUGUGCCGUCAGACACCGGCACGAUCUUGGACGGCUCCUGGCCGGGGCACGGCGCGUUGGAGGCGGCGCUGUGGAGCUGAGCGACGCAGUCGGCGCCAUGAAGGUCAGAAGCGAGGGGCACGCUGAAGGCGCCGGUGCCGUCGAGGGCGCCCACGGCCUUGCUCUCGUACUCGCCGGCGCUGUUCUUGCACUUGAUCGCCACCUGCAGAGCCUUGAAGGCUUCCUCGGCCUUCAUGUUCUUCCUGGUGCAGUCGGCGCAUUUGGCCAGGCCGACGACCACGGACGCCGCCUCCGCAUUGGCGACGGCGAUGGCCAGCAGGACGCAGAGGGCGAGUGCUCUCGGAGCCGCCAUGCUUGAACCUCUGGAUCGAACUACUGCCACUUGCUGGUGUGAAGUGGCUGCUCGAUCGAUGGAUGGACGAGUGGAUGGAACAGGCGACGCAUGGCUUUUAUAGGCCUCUGUAUUGAUCGACACAGCUCGAAUGCUCAACUGGCCGAUCUGUCUGCAAGCGCAGAAGAAGAAGGGUGGCCGGCGGGCGCAGUGAAGCGAGACAACGAGAGAUGAGCUAAUUCGCUUUCGGCGCGCCGAAGUUCCCGAUGGCGAAUUAAUACCGAUCGUCGUUUAGAUCCACGUCAUUGUUCAGCUGGUGAUUUAUUUAAAAUAUACAAACAGGUCACGAAUAUAAAAAUACAUUAAUAUUGCAAAGAUAGCAGUUGCAUCCAGCCUCUGCAACAACGUCAUGACGUAAAGACAUUACGGAUGCAUACAACCUAAAGAUAAAAAGAAGAAGAAGGAAAAAAGAAAGAUCCUGCUAAAGUGAUUAAUUCUUUGUAGCUGCAGCACUGAUCAUCACCUAGACAACAUCUGAAGUCCAAAUUCUUCAAAAGCGACGCCUCCAAGAAGAAAAUACUGCACAAACACCGUCAUCGCUCGAUCCUAGAUUUUAGGUUUUCACCCUGGAGAAGAUCUGCGCUGUCAAAACAAUGCCUUCAACAAAGUUAUUGGAAGGCACAACCAAUUAAGUUCAGGCCUUGGAUUUUCACCAGCAGAAUGCCAUCUUAGAGAAAAGAAGAAUGAAGGACCGCACCACCGUUCGGUUCCCUACAGUAGGCCGGAGAUCUCGAUGGGCACCGCCGCCACUACCCGCACCAUGUGAAGAUGAGUAGCUGUGCCGCGCCGAGCCCCCGAACCAGUCACCGUGCCGACCUCGCGGUCACAGCAACAGCCAAGGUUGCUGAUGAAAUUCGGCCAUUGUUGGGAACCUCGACCACCUGCUCAUGCCGUUGCUGUAUCCGUCACGAAUGUAUCCUAGCUAGCAAACAUCUUUGUCGUGGAUGCUUCAAUCGCAUCCAAGAUUCUUUUUUCCACAUAUCUCAAUAUAUAUAAGCUCUCACGAACAGGAAUACAACUAUCAUCUGAACUGCAGAACAAAAUACGUACGGUUGCAACCGCAUUAUUAUAUUCAAGGUUUGAGAGGUUUUUAUGUUAUUAUGCCACCUAGCUCUGGUGCUCAAAUCCUUCUAGCUCUGAUUUGGUUGUAAGGGCAUCACCAACGCGAAUCCCGCCUGCAUAAGUCCGGACCAUAUUGUGGCAGCCAACGCUGUUCUGUAUCUAUUCGCUCCACGGUUCAGACGCACUUUUUCUCGUUAACUGGAGACAAAGUGUGGUGGCUUUGAGGGUGUCCGAAUCGCUGUCACGUCCGCUUCUGACCGCCAUGGCCCACCCAAAUCCCUCCCCUUGCGCACGCGUGCGCUUCUCGCCCGAAAUAGUCAGCGCUGCUCCAGAGCGUCAGUACCGCAUUCAUGCCCGGUUAGAGCGGACACAACCUCUCACUAGCGCCGUCAUUGAAGCGACACCGGCUGAGAGAGCGCCGCUGAUACGUCUCCGUCGUAUCUACUUUUCCAAACACUUUUGCCCUUGUUUUGGACUCUAACUUGCAUAAUUUGAAUGGAACUAACCCGGACUGACGCUGUUUUCAGCAGACUUUCCAUGGUGUUUUUUAUGUGCAGAAACAAAAGUUCUCGGAAUGACCUGAAACUCCACGGAACAUCUAUUUGGAAAAUAAGAAAAAUACUGGAAGAAAAAUCCACGUCAGGGGCCCCACACCCUGUCCACGAGGGUGGAGGGCGCGCCCCCUGCCUCGUGGGCCCCCUGACGCUCCACCGACCUCAACUCCAACUCCAUAUAUUCACUUUCGGGGAGAGAAAAAUCAGAGAGAAGGAUUCAUCGCGUUUUACGAUACGGAGCCGCCGCCAAGCCCUAAAACCUCUCGGGAGGGCUGAUCUGGAGGCCGUUCGGGGCUCCGGAGAGGGGGAUUCGUCGCCGUCGUCAUCAUCAACCAUCCCCCAUCACCAAUUUCAUGAUGCUCACCGCCAUGUGUGAGUAAUUCCAUCGUAGGCUUGCUGGACGGUGAUGGGUUGGAUGAGAUCUAUCAUGUAAUCGAGUUAGUUUUGUUAGGGUUUGAUCCCUAGUAUCCACUAUGUUCUGAGAUUGAUGUUGCUAUGACUUUGCUAUGCUUAAUGCUUGUCACUAGGGCCCGAGUGCCAUGAUUUCAGAUCUGAACCUAUUAUGUUUUCAUGAAUAUAUGUGAGUUCUUUAUCCUAUCUUGCAAGUCUAUAGUCACCUACUAUGUGUUAUGAUCCGGCAACCCCGAAGUGACAAUAAUCGGGACCACUCCCGGUGAUGACCGUAGUUUGAGGAGUUCAUGUAUUCACUAUGUGCUAAUGCUUUGUUCCGGUACUCUAUUAAAAGGAGGCCUUAAUAUCCCUUAGUUUCCAUUAGGACCCCGCUGCCACGGGAGGGUAGGACAAAAGAUGUCAUGCAAGUUCUUUUCCAUAAGCACGUAUGACUAUAUUCGGAAUACAUGCCUACAUACAUUGAUGAAUUGGAGUUAGUUCUGUGUCACCCUAUGUUAUGAUUGUUACAUGAUGAACCGCAUCCGGCAUAAUUCUCCAUCACCGAUCCAAUGCCUACGAGCUUUUCACGUACUGUUCUUUGCUUAUUUACUUUGCUACUAAAUACUUUGCUGCAGAUAUUAAGUUAUCCAGGUGUGGCUGAAUUGACAACUCAGUUGCUAAUACUUGAGAAUAUUCUUUGGCUCCCCUUGUGUCGAAUCAAUAAAUUUGGGAUGAAUACUCUACCCUCGAAAACUAUUGCGAUCCCCUAUACUUGUGGGUUAUCAAGACUAUUUUCUGGCGCCGUUGCUGGGGAGCAUAGCUCUAUUCUUUGAGUCACUUGGGAUUUAUAUCUGCUGGUCACUAUGAAGAAUUUGAAAGACGCUAAGACAACAAUUUAUCCCUCAACUACGAGGGGAGGUAAGGAACUGCCAUCUAGCUCUGCACUUGAUUCACCUUCUGUUUUGAGUAAGCUUGCGACACCUAAACCUGCUUCUGCUAUUCGUUCUGAUAUGUCACAUGUUAUUGAUGAUGCCACUUCUGCUAUGCAUGAUACUUAUGAUGAAACUACUUCUAUGCUUGAUACUACUGUGCCACUUGGUGAAUUUCUGGAUGAACAACUUGCUAGGGCUAGAGAGACUGAAAUUAUUGAUAAUAUUUAUGAAAGUGAUGAUGAAGACUCUUCCCCUAAUAAGUAUGAAUUACCUGUUGUGCCUGAGGGCUAUGUUAUGGAUGAAGCAAUUGCUAACGAAAUUUUUGCCUGCAAAGAUAGAUAUGAUGUUAAGAAAUUAUUAGCUAAAUGGAAGCAGCAAUCUCUUAAUGCUAGAAUGAAACCUGACCCUGAUUUUGCUACUUCACCUAUCUGUGUUACUGAUAAGGAUUAUGAAUUCUCUGUUGAUCCUGAUAUAGUUACUUUGGUUGAAUCUGAUCCUUUUUAUGGCUAUGAAUCUGAAACUGUUGUGGCACAUCUUGCUAAAUUAAAUGAUAUAGCCACCCUGUUCACUAAUGAUGAGAGAACCCGCUACCUUUAUAUCCUUAAAAUAUUUCCGUUCUCAUUAAAGGGUGAUGCUAAGAUAUGGUUUAAUUCUCUUGAUCCUGGUUGUGUGCGUAGUCCCCAGGAUAUGAUUUAUUACUUCUCUGCUAAAUAUUUCCCUGCUCAUAAGAAACAAGCUGCUUUAAGGAAAAUAUAUAAUUUUGUGCAAAUUGAAGAAGAGAGUCUCCCACAAGCUUGGGGGAGGCUUCUCCAAUUACUUAAUGCUUUGCCUAAUCAUCCUCUUAAGAAAAAUGAAAUACUUGAUAUCUUUUAUAAUGGAUUAACCGAUGCUUCCAGAGAUUACCUGGAUAGUUGUGCUGGUUCUGUUUUCAGGGAAAGAACACCAGAUGAAGCUGAAAUUCUAUUGAAUAAUAUGUUGACAAAUGAAAAUAAUUGGACACUUCCUGAGCCAGUUUCUGAGCCUAUUCCUAAACCAACUCCGAAGAAGAGAGGUGUUCUAUUUCUCAGUCCUGAAGAUAUGCAAGAGGCAAAGAAAUCUAUGAAAGAAAAGGGUAUUAAAGCUGAAGAUGUUAAGAAUUUACCUCCUAUUGAAAAAAAUACAUGGUCUUAAUUUACCGCCUGUUGAAGAAACAUAUGAUCCUAAUCCAUUACCUAUUGAAGAAGCUCAUGGUCUUGAUAACCCGACACGGGUAGUAAAGGUGAAUUCUCUCUAUAGAUAUGAUAAAGCUGAAAUCCCUCCUACUAAGUUUGCUAGCCAAUAUUUGGAUGAGUUUGAUAACUUUAUGGUUAGGCAAGAAGAUUUUAAUGCUUAUUUUGGUAGACAAUUAAAAAAAAAAUGCUUAUAUGAUUGAACACUUGGGUGAUCAUAUGUCUAGAGUUAAAGGUGAACUUAAACUCAUUAGUAAACAUGCUUCUAUGGUUACCACUCAAGUAGAACAAGUACUUAAAGCUCAAAAUGAUUUGCUCAAUGAAUUGAAUAGUAAGAAUAAUGAUUAUGCUGUUAGAGUGGCUACUAGAACUGGUAAAAUGACUCAGGAACCUUUGUAUCCUGAAGGCCACCUUAAGAGAAUUGAGCAAGAUUCUCAGAGAAAUAAUAUUGAUGCACCUAGCCCUUCUAAAAGGAAGAAAAAGAAAAAUGAUAGGACUUUGCAUGCUUCUAGUAAACCUAUUCCUGAACCACCUGAGAAUCCAAAUGAUAUUUCUAUUUCUGAUGCUGAAACACAAUCUGGUAAUGAACAUGAAACUAGUGAUAAUGUUAAUAAUGAUGUUCAUGUUGAUGCUCAACCUAGCAAUGACAAUGAUAUAGAAAUUGAACCUGCUGUUGAUCUUGAUAACCCACAAUCAAGGAAUCAACGUUAUGAUAAGAGAGAUUUUGUUGCUAGGAAGCACGGUAAAGAAAGAGAACCAUGGGUUCAGAAACCCAUGCCUUUUCCUCCCAAACCAUCCAAGAAAAAGGAUGAAGAGGAUUUUGAGCGCUUUGCUAAAAUGAUUAGACCUAUCUUUCUACGUAUGCGAUUAACUGAUAUGCUCAAAAUGAAUCCUUACGCUAAGUAUAUGAAAGAAAUUGUCACUAAUAAAAGAAAGAUACCGGAAGCUGAAAUUUCCACCAUGCUUGCUAAUUAUACUUUUAAGGGUGGAAUACCUAAGAAACUUGGAGAUUCAGGAGUUCCUACUAUAUCAUGCUCCAUUAAAAGAAACUAUGUUAAAACUGCUUUAUGUGAUCUUGGAGCCGGUGUUAGUGUCAUGCCUCUCUCUUUAUAUCGUAGACUUGACUUGAAUAAGUUGACACCUACUGAAAUAUCUUUGCAAAUGGCUAAUUGUGACACCCAAGUUUUUAUUUGGAUUUUUCAAAAGAUUUUUAUUUGACUUGAGGGGAGUGAUUUAAUUUUUUUUUCUUCAAGAGAACUCCCCCUCUCAUAUAUUUUUCUUUAUGGCAGAAGUUUUAUUUGGAUUCAACCAAGAUCUGUUUUUGGUCUUGGAGGCUCUUGCCUUUCAUUUGGACUCAAGGCAAAAUGUUUAAUGUCUUUCAUUUGGGAAAAUAACUUUUGAAAAUCUUUUUGGGAAAUGCACUAUGGCUUUUGGAAAACUCCUUUGCCACUUUCCACAAUUCCUUCUUGCCAUAGCCUUAGUGCAAAUGCUCUCUCCUAACUCCUCCCUCACCUUUGGAUCAGGUUUUGCAUCUAAUCCAGCAAGUUGAACCUCCCCAUGUGAUCAUUUCCAUUUAAAUUCUAUUCAAAUAAUUUUCUGCCUCCUUUUCUAGCACUUGGGGAUUUACAAAGGAACUCCACUUUCUGUCUUGAUUUUUGCCACCAAACCUUUUUCCCUCCUAGUCCUUUGAACCCUCAACCUAGAACCAUGAAGAUCCACUGGUCUCCAGUUUAAAAUUUUCAAACUACACCUGCUGCAAGUUUGGACCAGAUUUGCCAAAUUUGGCAAAAUUCAUUCAAAACUCUCCCCAAAAAUUCCAAGUAAAAUCAUGCAGCCUCUGGGUGCAUUGAGUGGUCAUCUCACCAAGUUACAGCUCCAGAAAAAUUCAUCUCAUUGCAAAAUCCUUCUGUCGAACACCUGCAGUGCACUGUCUAUGUCAAGUUCAGAAAGUUCAGACAACACUGCAGUGGCUGCUGUCGUUUUCUUCAGAGGAGGACGUCGAUCUCGCCAGUGCCACCGCGUCGCCUUGCUCCUCGUCCCCGCCCUCUUGUUCCUGCACCGCACGAACGCCUGGCACCUUGCGGGCGUCGGCGACGAGCAGCAGAAGGUGCGCCGCCCUGUGACCGACGCCGGCGGCGGCUUUGCGGACGCCAGCGGGAGACACGGCACCGACGACGCCACCCAGCGCCGCCCAAACCACCGGAGCCCGCCGAGUGGCCUUCCACUCCCCCAAAUGCGCUGCCGCUCUCGUCGUGAACCGCAGGGCGUGGAGCGCGCUCUCUGCCGCCGUUGAGCCCGUGCGGUCACCUCACCGUGGACCGACGCCAUUACGCCGAGACCAGCCCCGUUUAGCUGUGGAACGACUCCAGUAACCUCCACUGAUGCUGCCUGGCCGCUCAAACCACCUGCCAAUCCACUGCUCCGCCGUAAUCGCUCGCCGGAGAUUCUCCGUUCACGGCCACCCCGUCGAUCUGCCUAUAAAUAGAGGCCCCGAGCUUCAACUCGAGCACCCACCAUCCCUGCACUUCCCCUAGAGCACGCCUAGCCACUGGAAGAACCCCGAGGAGGUCUCCUUCCUCGACUCCGGCCGCCGCGACCCGCCACGGGAUCCAGCCCGAUUCGCCCCCGUGUGUGCUCCUCCGCCUCCAUUCUCUUGCCAGUAGCUUCACCUGGCACCCCUCAUUCUGACCCGCGCCUCAAUUCGUAAUUUGCAGCCCUACACCGGAGUUCCCCAUCCUCACCCGAGCCGCCGUCCGCCGGAGAUAGUGUCGCCGUCGACGUGGUGCUCCCCGUUGGACGAGUCCACCACCCACCGACGCGGAAGAAGACGCUGAAGCUCUUGGUACCCUCCGUUUCUCCUAACUCGCCGUGGUUCGACGCCGGCGUCCACCGCAGUCUUCGGGCGCCGGCGAGCUUUUUAAACCUGACAGGUGGACCCCGCCUGUCAGCCUCUAUUCUUUUCUCCUCCGAACCGUUUUCUGUUGACGCCUUCGGGCAAAUACGCUUUCUCCCUUGCGCUUGCGCAUUCCCAGCCGAAGCGUUUUUUGUUUUCUCAGUUAAAACCCUGGAACUUUUCUGUUUCAUUACAAAAAGAUCCCUAGACAGAAACCUUUAUAACUUUUUAAUAAAAAGGUAUUUUUGGGUGAUUCUUUUUCUGACAAUCUUCAAAUUUUGUCUAGUUUUUUAUGGGAUUUAUCUGAAAAAUAUUUGGCAAAGUUUCUGUGCAUGUGUUGGUUUUCACGUUAGUAUCCGUUUGGUGAUUGCCGUAGGUUCCGGGAGAGGUGACGGAGCCGCGAACUUCGCCGAGCUAGACUUCGACUUCUCCGAACCAGGAAAGCAUGUUUUGAAAAUUUGAGAUGACAGGUGUUUUGCAUGUUUGCGUGAAAGUUGGUGCGUGGCAUAUGAGUGUCGGUAAAUACCUCGUUGCUUGUAAGGCAACUACCCGGUUGUUCCAAAGUCGUGAUGAUCUCUGAUGAGAGAUGGCCUAAUCAUGUGGUGACAUGAAGGGCAGCAAGGGGGUACUGUUGUAGCAUGCCAGCCUUGCGUCAUCCGACUUUCUCCGACGUUAACGUGGUUGGAGCCACGUUAUCGUUCUUCCUUUUUUUUUGCAUGUUCCAAAGUUGCGAUGAUCUCUGAUGAGAGAUGGCCAAAUCAUGUGGUGACAUGAAGGGCAGCAAGGUGGUACUGUUGUAGCAUGCCAGCCUUGCGUCAUCCGACUUUCUCCGACGUUAAUGUGGUUGGAGCCGCGUUACCGUUCCUUCCCCCUUCCGUGCUACCACAUGUCUCAUUGCCAGGGAUGCGGUUUAGUAAGUUGGUAACCUCUUUCCGUGUACACACCAAACAAAGAGGCCGGGAUGAUGGUACCUUGGCCCAGGAUUAAUGCCAGUCAUCCGGUCAGGGGGCAUGGGUGUUUCCGGUUGGGACCGAGAGGGGGGGCACCCCCUUAAAGCGCGCGUAUAGAAAUUUGAUCCCAUGCUACGCGAGGUUGUAGCCUCCCCGUCUCAAGGUUUUUCUUGAACGAUGCUUAGGGUGAUCCCUGGCUUCGGAUGGUUGAAUUGGGUGUGUACUGGUUAGACGUGUUUCUUCCAAAACACCGUAGACGGAACUAGUCCCCGUGACUACUGAAAUCCAUUGGCUGUGGUUAAGUACAAACUCUGCAGAGUCAAUUCUUUCCAAAUCAUCGUAUCCCUGAUCAAGUAAUUGAAAACAUUAUAUCCAUAUCUAUCCGCGUGGAAAACUUGUUCCCGGCGAGCAAGCUCAGGUGGUAAUCCAGUUUUAUUGUUAUUCCUGUGGAUGGACUAACCCUAUAUUUGUUUCAUGCUCGUGAUAAAUUAUGUUCCCUAACUGUUGUAUUAUUGAGCUGUGAUAUAAGCCCUUUAUGUGACGUCGCGCAGACGUCCGACUGUGGCGUGUUUUUGUUUCUUACAUUAAAUAUAAGCCCUUUAUGUGACGUCGUUCAGACGUCCGACUGUGGCAUGCACCGUCCUUAUUUUCUAUUAUAAGCCCUUUAUGUGGUGUCGCCUCGACGCCCGACUGUGGCAUUAUUAUUUCGCAUUUUCCGCUCGAGGAGUCUUUCAGACACUCGUUUGGCACCAGUAUUAUUAUUCCGCAUUUUCCGCUCGAGGAGUCUUUCAGACACUCGUUUGGCACCAGUAUUAUUAUUCCGCAUUUUCCGCUCGAGGAGUCUUUCAGACACUCGCUUGGCACCAGUAUUACUAUUCUGCAGUUUCCGCUCGAGGCGUCAUUCAGACCCUCGCUUGGCACCCAGCAUUUAUUACCUCUAUGCCUGAAUCGUACUGGUUAACUUAUUCAUGUACUUCAUGUUCGCAUUUGUUAUAUCUUAUGUCCGAACUGUCUUGCGAGUACUUUCAUAGUACUCACCUGGCUUGUUGAUUUGGCCAGAUGUUGAUGAAGGCGAUCUCUUGGAUGAAGAGUUUGAUAGCGCGUCCGAUGCCUAGAGGAGUCCCAGUCAGUCCUGCGCGAUCCCGGUUUUUGGUCACUUGUUUUGUAUACGCUUCCGCCACCCGCAAUAAGUCUUCUCGAGCCUCACUCCGACGCUCGAAGAGCUGUAGUCUUCUGGAAUCAUAUCAGUCGCUUCGCGGUGAUAUCUCCACCACCGUUAUUAUCGUGAGUUAGUAGUUUGCCACCCUAUCCGCCGUAUUGUUUAUCGGCGGGCAUGUAAUAAAUUGUUGGGCAGUCUCUGCUCAACCUUGUAUUAUAUUUAGUACUCCUGGUAUUUUUCUUCUGUGACCAAGAUAAUGUCUACCAGUGAGAAGGAAUUCUUCCUCGCUGGUCCGUAAAAGGGAUUGGUCUCUCAAUAAUUAUUUUAUUGAAAAACCGGUCGUGACACUAAUAAAUCAACUGCUAUACCUGUCGGUAUUUGUGAGGAUGUGCCUGUUGUGGUUGCAAACGUUACUAUUUUAACGGACUUUGUUAUUCUUGAUAUUCCCGAGGACGAUAGUAUGUCUAUUAUUCUUGGAAGACCUUUUUUGAAUACUGCAGGGGCUGUUAUUGAUUGCAACAAAUGCAAUGUCACUUUUCAUGUUAAUGGUAAUGAGCAUACGGUACACUUUCCGAGGAAACAACCUCAAGUUCAUAGUAUCAAUUCUAUUGGAAAAAUUCCAUCAAUUAUUUUUGGAGGUUUCGAAUUUCCUCUUCCGACUGUCAAGAAGAAAUAUGAUAUCCUUAUUAUUGGGGAUGUGCAUAUCCCCGUUGAGGUAACAUAGUGUCAUUCGAAAUUUCUCCGGUUCCAUGUUAUUCGGAAUGAGUUUGUUAACAAGACUUGAUCAACCUUGUUAGUGGAUUCCUUUCGAUGAGCAUGAGAUGGAUGAAACUAGAAGGCACAACCUUCUGUACCCUCCUUUUAUUUUCUGUUAUUUAGUUGAAAUAAAGUAAAAAUAGUAUUUUCUGUCUGUUUUCUGAUUUAUCCGUAAAAUAUAAAAAUACCCCGAAAAUAAAAGUUCUCCAAAUGCCCUGAAAAUGGAAUAUGAUUUUUCUGGAAUAUUUGAGAAUAUCUGGCACUGAGAACACAGCAGGAGGGGCAAGAACCUGGCCACGAGGGUGGAAGGCGCGCCCUACCCCCCUGGGCGCGCCCCCUGCCUCAUGGGCCCACGGUGGCUCCCCUCCACUUAUUCCUGCACCCGCACACUUCUUCUUCCUCCCAAAAAAAUCACUAUCCAGCUCAAGCACGAGUUCUAGCUCACUUUCCUGUGAUUUUUGAUCUCCUUGCUCAAAGCACCUCUCACAAAACUGCUUGGGGAGAUUGUUCCUUGGUAUGUGACUCCUCCAUUGGUCCAAUUAGUUUUUGUUCUGGUGCUUUAUUCAUUGCAAAUUUGUGCUGCCUAGGUGACCAUGUUCUUGAGCUUGCAUGUCAAAUUUAUAUGGUUCCAAGUAGUUCUAAUGCUUGAUAUAGGCUCUAGGCACUUGAAGGAGUAGUUGCUAUCAAUCUUGUUGAGCUUGGUUCACUUUUAUUGAAAGUUACUAAAAAUUUCAGAAUUUUUCAGAAAAUAAUGAAGAGAUUUUUGAGGGGCUCAUCGAGCCGAAGCUCGAAGGAAAAGCAAAGUGAAGAAGCACAGAGGCCCAAAUAUAAUUUGCCUCGCAUCGCGGAGAUCCAGCCGUGUGAAUGGCCUUCCAAUGAUUUCUUGAGAGAAGCCGGGAUUUAUGAUGAUUUUUAUGAAUUGGCUGAGAAUGCAGGCCUCACCGACUUCCUCCGCGACCAACGCAAUCAGUAUCUCUUACUCACCAAUACUUUUGUGCAAAACUUCUACUAUUUUCCUAAGGAAUCACCUCCUUCAGUAGAGUUUCAUUUAUAUGAUGCGGUUAAGAAGAUGCCACUAGAUGAAUUUUGCAAUAUUUGCAAAAUACCUUUUGAGGGUAGUUUAGAUGAACCACAUCGUAAAGAUGUGGAUGGGUUUAUUGACACUAUCACUGUGGGGGAAACCAGGAAGGUUUUCGAUGCAAGAAUCACUAGCAUACAUUUUCCUGUUUUACGCUACUUUGCCAUAUUUGCUAGUCGUUGCUUAAUUAGUCGCGGAAACUGUGGAAACCUUAGUGUUCCUGAUAUUAUUAUUCUGUUCCAUGGUUUAUUCUGCGAUAACACUGUUAGUAUGGGCGGUAUUAUUGCCAAACGGUUAAGUCUGAACCAUACAAAGGGCCCCAUCUUUGGAGGUAUUUAUGCUUCACGCCUUGCUGCACACUAUAACAUACCUAUUAGACACUAUGAAAAAGAAGAAAAAUUGCUGCCCACUGCUUAUUUAGAUUAUAAGAGUAUGGUAGCGCAUGACUUUAUUGUUAAGAAUAGGGAAGGAGCGCUUAAAUACAAAUUGUUCUUUGAUAAACAUCACCCUGAGACUAUUACCUUGCCUGCUCCCUCCUUGUUUAAUUUAUCUGAAGGUCCGUAUCUCGUUCCGUUGGCGGCCAUUCACGCCUACCGGAACCGUACACCAGCCACGGAGCCGGAACCACAAUCUGAACCUCCACGACAGUCUAACAAUUAUUGGGAUCCGGAGAUGAUUUCUAACCAGUGGCAAUCAGAGUCUUCUUCAUCUCAGUACGACCCCGGCUACAACUAUGGAUAUCCGCCAGGCCAUCCGUGGCAAUGAACCAACUUAGGCCAAAAGCCUAAGCUUGGGGGAGUACGUAUUUCUCACCGACAUUACAUUUAUGUUCACACACUCAUUGCUAGAUGUCGGUGCUCAUAAUCUUUCACUGUAAUAUUCAUGCUAGUUUAUUUUCUUUUUCUUGCUUCCUUCUUGUGUGUUUUUUAAACCUUAAGAAAAACAAAACAAAAAUUAGUUAUAGCUUUAAGCUAGUUUACUUUCUUGCUGUAGUAGUAAUAAUUAAAAAGAAAACCCAAAAAAGAUUUCCUUUUCUUCUUUUGCUUGUUGGGAGCUUUCCCGUGUAAAUAGUUUUUUUUCUUUUCUUUUCUUUGGGGGUCGAUAGGAGAAGACCAUAAUUAAAUUGUUGAAGUGGCUCUUAUAUGCAUUAUUGUUGAUUUAACCAAGAGCCCAUAUUGCCUUGUCUUCUCCUGUUUAUUGAAUGCUCGCAGAUUCCAGCUUAGUCCAAUGCACGUGCACUCUUAUUAUUCACGUCAUUCGGUCGUGCAAGUGAAAUGCAAUUAUGAUGAUAUAUGAUGGACUGGCUGAGAUGAGAGAAGCUGGUAUGAACUCGACCUCUCUUGUUUUUGUAAAUAUGAUUAGUUCAUCGUUCCUGAUUCAGCCUAUUAUGAAUAAACAUGUUUGCAAUGACAAUUAGAGAUCAUAGUUGCUUAUGCCAUGCUUGAUUAGCUAUGAGUUAUAAUGGUUUACCUUGCGUGCCAACAUGCUAUUAAAAUGGUUGUGAUGUGGUAUAGUGGGGUGGUAUCCUCCUUUGAAUGAUUUGAGUGACUCGACUUGGCACAUGUUCACACAUGUAGUUGAAACAAAUCAACAUAGUCUUCACGAUAUUUAUGUUCAUGGUGGAUUAUAUCCUACUCAUGCUCGUACUCAAUGUUUAUUAAUUUUAAUGCAUGUUCAUGACUGUUGUCGCUCUGUAGUUGGUCGCUUCCCAAUCUUUUGCUAGCCUUCACUUGUACUAAGCGGGAAUACUGCUUGUGCAUCCAAUCCCUUAAACCCCAAAGUUAUUCCAUAUGAGUCCACUAUACCUUCCUAUAUGCGGUAUUUACCUGCCGUUCCAAGUAAAUUUGUAUGCGCCAAACUCUAAACCUUCAAAUGAAAUUCUGUUUUGUAUGCUCGAAUAGCUCAUGUAUCAACUAGGGCUGUCCGUAUCUUCCAUGCUAGGCGGGUUAUUCUCAAGAGGAGUGGACUCCGCUCCUCACUCACGAGAAAAUGGCUGGUCACCGGGAUGCCCAGUCCCAUGCUUUAUGCAAACUAAAUCAAAAUAAUUGCAAACAAAACUCCCCCUGGGACUGUUGCUAGUUGGAGGCACUCGUUGUUUCGAGCAAGCCAUGGAUUGAUGCUUGUUGGUGAAGGGGGAGUAUAAACUUUACCAUUCUGUUUGGGAACCGCCUAUAAUGUGUGUAGCAUGGAAGAUAUCGCCAUCUCUUGGUUGUUAUGUUGACAAUGAAAGUAUGCCGCUCAAAAUAUUAUUUAUCUCUGCUUUAAAAUCGAGCUCUGGCACCUCUACAAAUCCCUGCUUCCCUCUGCGAAGGGCCUAUCUAUUUACUUUCAUGUUGAGUCAUCACCCACUUAUUAAAAAGCACCAGCUGGAGAGCACCGCUGUCAUUUGCAUUCAUUAUUAUUAAUUUAUAUUGGGUAUGACUAUGACUGGAUCUCUUUUACCAUGAAUUACAAUGUCUAGUCAGUACUUGAUCUUUAAAGGUGCUCUGCAUUUAUGUUUUGAGGUCUCAGAAAGGGCUAGCGAGACACCAUCUUGUUAUAUCAUAUCAUGUUUGUUUUGAGAAAGUGUUGUCAUCCGAGAUUUAUUAUUAUCGCUCGCUAGUUGAUUAUGCCAUUGACAUGAGUAAACAUGAGACCUAAAAGUUAUUGUGAAUGUGGUUAGUCAUAAUCUUUGCUGAAAACUUGAAUGCUGGCUUUACAUAUUUACAACAACAAGAGCAAACAGAGUUUGUAAUUUUUUUUCUUUAUCACUUUCAGUUAAUUAACUGAAUUGCUUGAGGACAAGCAAAGGUUUAAGCUUGGGGGAGUUGAUACGUCUCCGUCGUAUCUAAUUUUCCAAACACUUUUGCCCUUGUUUUGGACUCUAACUUGCAUGAUUUGAAUGGAACUAACCCGGACUGACGCUGUUUUCAGCAGACUUUCCAUGGUGUUAUUUAUGUGCAGAAACAAAAGUUCUCGGAAUGACCUGAAACUCCACGGAACAUCUAUUUAGAAAAUAAGAAAAAUACUGGAAGAAAAAUCCACGUCAGGGGGCCCACACCCUGUCCACGAGGGUGGAGGGCGCGCCCCCCUGCCUCGUGGGCCCCCUGACGCUCCACUGACCUCAACUCCAACUCCAUAUAUUCACUUUCGGGGAGAAAAAAAAUCAGAGAGAAGGAUUCAUCGCGUUUUACGAUACGGAGCCGCCGCCAAGCCCUAAAACCUCUCGGGAGGGCUGAUCUAGAGUCCAUUCGGGGCUCCGGAGAGGGGGAUUCGUCGCCGUCGUCAUCAUCAACCAUCCUCCAUCACCAAUUUCAUGAUGCUCACCGCCGUGCGUGAGUAAUUCCAUCGUAGGCUUGCUGGACGGUGAUGGGUUGGAUGAGAUCUAUCAUGUAAUCGAGUUAGUUUUGUUAGGGUUUGAUCCCUAGUAUCCACUAUGUUCUGAGAUUGAUGUUGCUAUGACUUUGCUAUGCUUAAUGCUUGUCACUAGGGCCCGAGUGCCAUGAUUUCAGAUCUGAACCUAUUAUGUUUUCAUGAAUAUAUGUGAGUUCUUGAUAAUAUCUUGCAAGUCUAUAGUCACCUACUAUGUGUUAUGAUCCGGCAACCCCGAAGUGACAAUAAUCGGGACCACUCCCGGUGAUGACCGUAGUUUGAGGAGUUCAUGUAUUCACUAUGUGCUAAUGCUUUGUUCCGGUACUCUAUUAAAAGGAGGCCUUAAUAUCCCUUAGUUUCCAUUAGGACCCCGCUGCCACGGGAGGGUAGGACAAAAGAUGUCAUGCAAGUUCUUUUCCAUAAGCACGUAUGACUAUAUUCGGAAUACAUGCCUACAUUACAUUGAUGAAUUGGAGCUAGUUCUGUGUCACCCUAUGUUAUGAUUGUUACAUGAUGAACCGCAUCCGGCAUAAUUCUCCAUCACCGAUCCAAUGCCUACGAGCUUUUCACAUACUGUUCUUCGCUUAUUUAUUGUUUCGUUGCUACUGUUACAAUCACUACAAAACACCAAAAAUAUUACUUUUGCUACCGUUACUUCUGUUACCGUUACCACUACUAUCAUACUACUUUGCUACUAAAUACUUUGCCGCAGAUAUUAAGUUAUCCAGGUGUGGCUGAAUUGACAACUCAGUUGCUAAUACUUGAGAAUAUUCUUUGGCUCCCCUUGUGUCGAAUCAAUAAAAUUUGGUUGAAUACUCUACCCUCGAAAACUGUUGCGAUCCCCUAUACUUGUGGGUUAUCAGCCGCCCGCGCUGCUUCCCAGUGCGCGUGACUGCUCUGCGUUCAAAUGACUCCACGGCCGUCCGUCGCCCUACAUUACUGACACGCGAUUGCUGAGGAACCUACUCCGACGUGACCCAUCCGCCUAUCUGCCGCCCACCAUUGCCAUUCUCACGCUAUAUGAACUCCAGUCCCGGCCAUCGCCGUGGUCAUCGUCCUCCGGUCCCUUUCUCCUCUCCGGACCAAUCCCAUCAUGGCCUCCUCGUGCUCCCAAGCUCUCUGGGACGGGCUAUCGCCGGAGCAGAAGAAGGAGAUGGCCGCCAUUGCUGUCGGCUGGCAGGCCACAGGCAGCCCGACACUGAUGACAUCCCAAUGGAGGAUGCCGCCGAGGGUGAGCUGGCGCCACCCUUCUCGCGGUGCAUGUCAGCAUGACCAUCGGCGAGGCCCGUGUCCACUAUAUGGACACGGUGUGGGAGGAGAACGAGGAGCAGUUCUGGGAGGGGCAGGCCGACCAGGCCGACAACCUCCAGCUCCUUAAGGAGCACGGGCAGGCGGAGGAGCAGCUCGCCGCCGGGUGGGCCAUCGCUUCGGACGCGGAUGUGGCGGAGCAGGCGGCGCUGCUCGAGUCCCACUGCUCCGCCUACGAGAUCCACCUCGACCAUUGGCGGUAUCGCAAGCAUCGGGCAGAACCAGAGGCCACCAACAAGGAGAUGGACGAAGUGGCAGACGAGGUGUGGGGGCAAGAGUGACAACGAGGACGACAUCGCCGGCUCCUCCAAGGCCGCGCCCCGCUGGCACGUCAGCGGGUGCCGCCGGCAGCGAGAAAGAGUAGUGCAUAUGGUAGGUCGCUGCCGCUCGGGUCCCAGGAAGGCCACCGCUCUUCCUGUCCGCCUGAAGCCAAGCUUGGCGAGCUUUAAAUUGUCGGCUGAUUAGCCGCUUAAGUUGAGGGGUCGGAGGCUGCGGAGGCAGAGCUGGAGAGCGCCGAGGCGAAAUUGGAGAAGGCGAAGGCAAGUGUCGGAGCUUCAGUUCUCAGGGCUCAUGGUCAGACAUGGGGAACGGGUGCCUGUGAUUAUUUUGAUUACGUUUAGACAAGAUGAUUAGUUGAAGUAUGUCCGGAAUUAUACCUCCGGAGUUGAAUGAGUUCCGCUUUUAGUUGAAGUAUAUCCGAAAUGUAAUGAAUUUCGUCUAGUUUAUAUGAAAUCCACUGUGUUUGCAUGAACCUCUUUCGGUUUAUAUGAGAAUCCGUCAGGUUUGAAUGAAUUUCAUCCGAUUAGUUUGAACCGUGGUUGAAAUGUAUGCGGACAACGUUGGAUUGCGCCCUUCGGUAUCAACAUCCGUGGACUGGUUCUCCGGUUCGCAGAUGGAUGUCGGAGCAAAUUUAGGGAUCAACUUUGAAGAUGCCCUAAGAUUGCUUUCAAAUUAAGCCUGUAACCAGCCAAUCCACGCCGCUAGCUCCUUUGCCAUAUAAAUGCACGGAGGUGCACCGCACGGAGAAAGGGAUCAACAGAUAAUUAACACUACGUACGCUCUGACGACUUUUAUGUAGGCUCCAGGUGAUAAAGAGUACGUACGCACUUAGGCUGAUUCAUGCGUGGCCAUGUGCGGGAGCAGGGAGUGUUUGAGAAAUGGCCAGAAUUUUCGGUAGAAGGCCGGGCCAAAGCUGUCCGGCCCUGGGCUAGCAUUGGUGUUCAUCUGCAUGAAAGAAUCUUUUAUCUCCUGUUCAGAGAAAGGCUCGUCUAAGGAAAGAAGUUGAGGAAUUUGAAGCGGAUAGAAAAGAUUGAUCCCGCCAUCUGAACAGUAUUUAAAGAUCAACAUAGAUGGGGCUCUGAACCUUGAGGCCUUGUUUGGUACUAGUGUAUUUUAGGGAAUUGGUGGGGAUUAUUCCGGUAAACCCCUAAAUCCCCACAUAUCCCAAAACACCGUUUGGUUCUAGUGUAUUUGACAUGUUUCAUCCUCACAUUUCCCCAAAAUCCUCAAACUCUAGUGCAUUUUCUCAGUGCCCAAUACACUACCCCUACUUAAUGGAUUGGGGGUAAAUGGGGAUUUGAAGGGAUCGGGUGAAGGUUGGGGAUUCUCCCAAUCCCUGUGGGGAUUAUCCCCAUCAAUUCCCUCAAAAACCCUAGUACCAAACAAGGCCUGAGGAGCUCAAAACUGAUUUAGGUCGGGUGGCGCGAUCUUCUUCGUCGCUGCUCGGAGCCUGGAGCAAACUUCACCCUGGAGUUUCUGAUCCGUUCAUUGCUGAGUCAAUGGCGCUGCAAGGAGUGCUUUUUGCGAAGCUCCGUGGGUACCAACAUGUGAUUAUGGAGACAUAUUGCCAAGAGUUGGUCAAUCAAUGUACUUGUCGCCGCACCUUGCUUUCGGUUGUGGCACCGAUUUUCUUAGAGAUUGGAGGGCUAGCUUCAUCUUUUUCUUCUUUUGUAUUUCAACAUGUAAUAAGAUCAGACAAUCAGUCGGCUCAUCUUUGCACGAAACAAGCCUGUGCGCUGAUGGUUACCGGAAGUUGGAUGAACUCAGCACCCCCAUUCCUGGCCACUAGCCUCUUGGCUGACGGUCCGGCAAGUUUCUUUGUUGAAUAAAGCUCUCUAAAUUUCCCUAAAGAAAGAAAAGUUUGAUGUUGAAGCGCCAAGAGGUAGCUUUAGAAGAGCCACUAAGAUUGCUGUAGAAGUCUUUGAGGACCAAGGCUUUCUGGUCUUGAGAGAAGAGGUCGACGACGUUGUGCUCAAGAAUGGGAUUUUUUUUUACGAUAGCUCUGGGAAGCACAAACGUGGAAGUAUUUAGUGUUUUCGUCGCUUGCCAUUUUUGACUUGCUUCUAAGUUUCUAAAAAAGGAUUUUUUUUUGUUGAUAGCCCGUUGGAGGGUAGUGAUGACGAUCGAGCGAAGCUUUCUUUCGGCCGGGGCAAGAGUUCGAGAUCUUCGAGGAGGACCAAGAGGUUAAUAACAAUUUUGCAGUCAAUCUCGCGUUGGUGGACAAGCUUAAGCUCUUUUUACCCAAGACUCGCAUAGACAGAGUGCCACCGGCAGUGCCGACGACUGGUAAAGCUACCGUUUGAUUGAGGAACCAUGGGAGGAAAGAGAUUAACUUUUGCACAGGAUAAUAUCAAGUUUAGUUUCUCGGAUUAUGACUAAGUCUGCUUUGAGGUUUAAGAGUUCAGAGAGGACACUCGCGCACUUGUUGUCAUCAUCGAGAUCGCGAACGUUCCAAGUGCAGAUGGAAAGGGAAACACGAUUCAUGGUUUACAAAGCGGACACUGCUUGCAGUGAGAUGUGAGGCCGACGGGUGCCACAUGCGCAGGAAGGGAAACUAGGCAAGCUAAUCAUGCGUGGAAGGGAAAUAUAGGAAAAUAAAAGCAACCUAUGACUAAUGGGGCCGAACAUCCAAAAGCUCCCAACAGUGGCACUUAGCAGAGAGGUGCAUUAUUCAUACGGCAACCAAGAGGUUAGAGUAAUAAUUUGUAACGAGAUCAUGAAAAGGUUAGAGAUAAUGUGGAGCUUCAUUGGGCUAAUGGGGGCCAAUGCCCCCCACCCCCCAACACGUGCGCACACAUGGACACAGCUUCAUUGACUUUGUGAAGUGAAUUAACGCAUCGCCUUAGCCUCAUACACCAGCACCUCGGUCUACAUCCAACGGAUAGGAUUCACUCAAGGCAAAAAGACCCAGCCUUGGUAGUUUUUCAGCUCUCCAGUGACAUGAAUAAAGCAGCAAUGCACUUGACACUCUCCAGCCUAAAAUUGUUUUUAUACGAUAAAUAGAAAGGCAAAGCAGCUUGAGAUGUGAUUUAAAAUCUCGCAAAGCAGCUUUUCCAUCUAUCAUCAACACACCAUUGAUCUUUUCUUUUACUCAACCUUGCUUAUGUUCUCAUCAUCUGCCAAUACGCAAGAGUUAAAAUGAGAAAUAAAGAAACACAAGAGACAACCGGUAAUAAAAAAGUUUAACUAGCACUUAUUUUGUUGUUUAAUCGCACUUUGGCCUUCCCUCAACUGAUUGACUUAGCCGACCUAUAACUUAUGCUGUGUAUAGAUUGACUAAUUAUCGGGUCUACCCUCAGGGCGCCCUAUAACUUAUGUUGGGUGCCAGGGAAGAAAAGAAAGGGAAAGCGGUCUUCUUCAAGCCAAAGGGGAGCCUGGAUAAUUGAAUGAAGGUUCGGACAGAACUCCAAAAUAACAGAUAUCUUCCUACUAGUUUGUUGUUCCGGUUGGGAAAGCAAGAAUUGGGAUAAUCAUUUCAAGUCAAUUUCUCCUAGAUUUCCUUCUUGACUUCCAGUUAGAAAAUCAAUGAAAUAGGAUUUGGAUCCGAGUUUAAUCGCAAAAUUACUUGGCCAAGCCCAUACAUAGCUCACAUUUGAUAGUAAAAUAAACUAGGAAUAUCAGUUUUUUUUGUUCAUUUAACAAAUUUAAUUCUGAAUAUACCAGUAGAAACUCAUACAAGGCUUUCAGGAGUCACUCUUGUAUAUACCAGUAUAAACUCAUACAAGGCUUUAAUAAGAUGAGAAUAUUUAAUGGAACCGAAAUGACAAAAUCUUGACAAAGGAACACACCAAGCACAACCUCACACUCGCCUGACAUAAUGACACACACCCACACAGCUGUUAUUCUGAACUCUCAACUCUGCAAUGCAGAUACUAAAACGGGGCAGCGAAUGACAGAACACCAAACAAUGCGCCCACGCAUGCAAACUGAUCAUGAACCAAGUGAUGAGAUUUCCGUGCUGCGCCAGACGGUGGCAGAUCGGAGUCAGUGGUGUCCGUGGUAUCCACCGCCGCCGCCGCCGCCGUAGGUGGGCGUGGGAGGGACGGGGUGGUAGUCCGGGUGUGGCUGCGGCUUCGGCUCCGGCUUGGGCACGGGGCCGUAGUCCGGGUGGGGCUGGGGCUUGGGCUCCGGCUUGGGCGGCACGGACUUCUUGUGAUGGAAGUGCUCGAUGAUGUGCUUCUUGAUCGGCCCGCACAGGGUCAUGGAUGCGCACUCGGGCGACGCCGCGGACGACAUGGCGGUGUUCUCGCCAGCGACGACGCCGUAGGUUGUGCCGUCAGACACCGGCACGAUCGUGGACGGCUCCUGGCUGGGGCACGGCACGUUGGAGGCGGCGCUGUGGAGCUGAGCGACGCAGUCGGCGCCAUGGAGGUCAGAAGCGAGGGGCACGCUGAAGGCGCCGGUGCCGUCGAGGGCGCCCACGGCCUUGCUCUCGUACUCGCCGGUGCUGUUCUUGCACUUGAUCGCCACCUGCAGAGCCUUGAAGGCUUCCUCAGCCUUCAUGUUCUUCCUGGUGCAGUCAGCGCAUUUGGCCAGGCCGACGACCACGGACGCCGCCUUCGCAUUGGCGACGGCGAUGGCCAGCAGGACGCAGAGGGCGAGUGCUCUCGGAGCCGCCAUGCCUGAACCUCUGGAUCGAACUACUGCCACUUGCUGGUGUGAAGUGGCUGCUCGAUGGAUGAAUGGAUGUAACAGGCGACGCAUGGCUUAUAUAGGCCUCGGCGUUGAUAGGCAGAGCUCGAAUGCUCAACCGGCCGAUCUGUCUGCAAGCGCAGAAGAAGAAGGGUGGCCGGCGCAGUGAAGCGAGACAACGAGAGAUGAGCCAAUUCGCUUUCGGCGCGCCGAAGUUUCCGAUGGCGAAUUAAUAUCGAUCGUCGUUUUGAUCCACGUCAUUGUUCAGUUGGUGUCUUGGUGAUCGAUUUUUUAUUUAACAUAUACAAACAGGUCACGAAUGGUAUCCUAGCUGGCAAACAUAUUGGUUCUUUUCUUUUUUAUUGUACAUAUUGGUUCUGUAUUGAAGUUAAACUUUGUAAAAUUUUAUCAACCGUAUGUUGAAAAUAUCAAUAUCUAUAAUAUCAAAUGAUAUGAAAAAUAUAUUUUAUGAUUGAUGUGACAUCGAUUUGGUAUUGUAAAUGUUGGUAAGUUUCUUUCUUUCUAAAAUCUUGGUCAAAUUUUGAAAGUUUGACUUAGGACCAAUCUGACAUGCGAAAUAAAAAGAUUGACGCAUCAAAAUAUAUGACACUGCUGUCUUCUAUGUUCAUUUGAUCAAAUAGAUAUACUCACUCCAUUUCAAAAUAAAAGGCGUAUUCUUUUUUUAAAAGCCGAACUUCUCUAACUUUGACCAAGUUUAAAAAAAAUAUUCAAUGUCUACAAUACAAAAUCAUUUUCUUAAGAAUCAGCAUUAAAUAUAUUUUCAUAUUUUUUUAGUAUUGUAGAUGUUGAUAUAUUUAGCUCUAAACCUGAUCAAAUAUCGAAAUGUUUGACUUUUUAAAAAACUAAUAUACCUUAUAUUUUGAAACUGAUGGAGUAUGACAAAAACAUGUGACUCAUGACAUUGUACAAACUAAUGCGACCUUUUAGUUUAAGAGUCUGGAAUACACACCAAGAACAGACGCCGUAAAAACUUGAUGUUUCUCAAAUUGGUGGAAGCAAUAAGAGAAUUCAUAUAUGAGUGGACAUAAUAAAGCUUCAUCUCAUUUUCAAUGAAAGCUCUACCGAGGUUGGCAAAUCCAAGGACAACGGUGUAUCCCGGACGAUACCGUAAAAAAAUCCAGGGUCGUAUCCUAUUUCGCGAUGCAUCCAAUGGUUAUGCGGUUCAUAUACUCUACGUGAAUCAUUGCUGCGUGAGCUUGUUGUGUCCCAGUGGAAAAGAUCUACACAUAUACAACAUCGUUUUUCCAAGUAUCAUGGUCGUAUGGAUGUUAUUAUUUUUACACUUAAGGUCUCCUUGUAUUCAAUGAGUAGCAUUACAUUGUUGACAAGAAUUUCGAUUAGCUCCCAAGGCGCGUCAUCCAUCCAAGUACCAUGUGUAGAAGAUCUAGCUAAUAUAGUUAAAUCAUGUGCGGUUGCAUUAGUCUCUCUAGGACAGUGAUCAUGGAUUACAUGAGUAAAAUCAAGAGACAUAUUGUACGUAACAAUCGUCAAAUAAAGCACUCGUGACGCCUGGUGAUGAAGCCCUUUCCAGCAUUGUCGUAAUCACCUCCAGAUUAUCCGAAUUCACUUCAAGCUUGUUGCACCCAACUAUGUGUGUGCAAGAUUCACCCCAUAUCUCAGUGUUGUGGCUUCGGCCGUGAAAGUGUCAGAACAAACACAACUCUUUCAUUAGCAGCAACGACGAAUUUUCCUAUACAAUCUCGAAGGACAAGUGCUACAGAUGCCUAGAGUAUCAAGGUCAAACGAUGUGUCCGCAUUGAGCUUUAAAUAACCAUGGAUCGGCUAGGUCCAUCCUCCAUGCUUCAUAAUUGGUUUGAGGUAGCUUGCUAAUUUGAAGUUUGCUGCCAAUGCUCUCACUGCAAGAUGAAUUUGACUCGGUGUUUGCAUCGACUGGCCAUGCAAGAGUUUCCUCUACUCCCACCAGACAAACCAAGAUGCAAUAGCAAUAAUUUAUCGGGAUGCCUAUCCUAAAAUCAUUGCUUCUUGAUCAAGGAAGUUCAAUAAAUAUUCCAGCGUCUCCUCCCAGGACAAGCCAGAGACACAUGAUUUAUGGAUAAUAUCACCAAGUCCUGGGGGAUUCCACACUUCACUAGCCAAAGAGUAUUCAAAUAGAAGAUGUUUAACGUCCUCAGACCAUGAUCUGCAAAUGGGACAAUGAGGAGACACCUUUAUAUGUCUAUCAACAAGAUUUGCACGACAUGGAAUCACCUCUUUCAAUUGCCCUCCACAAGAAAAAAAUUACCUUGGCCGGACACUGCAGGUUCCAAACUAAUUCCCACGUACCUUUAUGCCUCGAUGUUUCAAUAGUGUUCUCAUUAGAUAUUUUAUCCAAUGUACCAUCCAUCUUCACCAAUUCUCUUAUUUUUGUUGGAUGCAAACUUUCUUAGGCAAUCAAAACAUUGUCAGUAAUUAACCGUCCCGGAACAAGGGCACUCUUGCCGACCCAUGUGUUGUUGGUUGCUGUAAAAAAGAGUAUAGCAAAGCUUUUCGAUCAGAAAAGUAUGUUCUUCUAUGGUGGCACGGCCAAUCACAAACAUAAGUUUUCUAUAUCUUGAGAGAAUCCUAGAGAAUCUAAAUAGCUAGCCCCACUAUGUAAGCAAGCCAUCUCAGCGUGUCAAAGACCCAUCUUUAAUAUGCAACAAUGCGUAUGAAAAGCCUUACCUCGAUAUGCAAAUAUGAAUUGAAUUUCCAUUGUAGUAUUAUGCUAUUUACAUUUAAUAAAUAUUUUACAACCAUACAAUAAUCAAACACAAUAAACCAUAUAUAUAUUUUCAGUUUUAUUUGUUAUAAUAUUAAUCUAACUAUUCAUAUUCCACACAACCAAAUAAAUUAAAAUAUAAUGCGAAACAUUCCCCCAACAAUGUGCGAGAUAUCAUCUAGUUAUAAUAAACAUCUAAUCACUUGGUUUCUGAUGUUUGCCAUUCAUCAUUUAUCAAGAUCACCCAACUUGUCAUACAUGAGUAUUAGCUCCGACCUCGAUUUAGUUAUGGAAACUACUUAUCAAUAUAUUGUGGCACCAAUUAAUAGAAAUCCCACAUUCGAUGAACCGGUAGUCAUAGAGCAACUUUCAAGUAAAAUGGAAUACAACUAUCUUCUGAACAACAGAACAAAAUACCGGCGUUAUUAUAUUCUAAGUUUGAGAAGUGUUUAUGUUAGAGCAUGGUUAAUAAUAUAGCCAGCUGCUGGCUAUAUAGAUAUGCCAUGUCAUCAAGAGUUAGCAAUAUUAAUUACUCAUACAAUACAGUUGGCUAUAAGGAUGGCUAUAAGCCCACAACUUUUUUUCACUUUCUCUCUACCUCUUUCAUCUCAUUAAAUGUUUUUACCUAGGAGCACACAUAGAGUUUGGCUCUUGCAUGAGAGCCCACUUCUUUACUUUUUCCUUGUCUUUCUUCUUCACAUAGGCAUAAAUGUCAUGUAAGCGCGCUUAUAGCCCACUAUUUUACUUGCUCUAGUAUGCCAAUUGUGCUGCUCUGGUGCUGAAAUCCUCCUAGCUCUGAGUGGUUGUAAGAUUGCUUUCAAAUUAAGCUUCUAACCAGCCAAUCCACGCUGCUAGCUCAAGUCUUGUUGCUUUCGUAGAUAUAAAUGCUCCGGAGGCGCGCCGCACGUAGAAAGGGAUCAAUAGAAAAUUAGGUACGUAGGCUCUAACUUAUGUAGGCUCUAGAUGAUAAAGUGUACUGUUAGAAGGGAGAGAGAGAGGGAUUGUUGCGGAAUAUGAUGGAUGUAUUAUUGAGCCUCGAGGGCGAGUAUAUAUUGAGUACAAGGCUUGGAGGGCAAGACGCCUCUCCUAGAGAUAAGGUAGGAGACGGAUUACAAAUCCUAAACUACCAAACACGUGUAACCCAAAUAUAUCUCUAACACCCCCCCGCAGUCGUAGCGGUAGCAUUGCGAACAACAUGAGCGUCGCGGACGGUCAGACUGGAGAGAAUAGCAGCCGAUGGGCUGACAUCCCCCCCGCAGUCGUAGCGGGAGCGUCAUGUACGGUGUCGCGUCGCGGACGCGUUGACUGUAGAGGAAGCCGACGAGUUGCUCAAGCGGAUGAUAACCCUUUGUGCCGAUGUCGAUGUAGCCGAGAGCGUGGUGUAGCCGUGCGAAGAACGCCGUGGUCAAUGUCGAGUCGGGGUAGCCGGUGUCGAGGGAGUCGCCGUGGAGCCGCGGGCGCAAGGGGGCGCCUAGUUAGCAUGAGCGCAGUGGUGUCGAAGUAGGGGUGUGCCGGAAAAAAAAUGUUGUUGACGACGCGUCGCGACGGGUUUGCCAAGCCCGGGGACACAUCGUGGACGAAGGCACGCACCGGUGUUGCCAGCACCGGGCAUGCGUAGACGGACGAAGACGAAGUUGACGAUGCGCCGACCAGGCUUGCCAGGCCUGGGGACACGUCGUGAAUGAAGGCACGCAUCGGUGUUGCCAGCACCGGGCAUGCGUAGCCGAGGGACCUGCACGAGCUGUACGCCAUGUCGAAGAAGUUGGAGGGGCCAGCAGAGAAGAACUCGACGACGAUCGCGGCGUCCAUCGGCGCGGGGCCGAUGUCACAAACGGUGGUCGGAGUAGACGAAGUGGUCGGGGUAGAUGACGGCGACGCUGGCGACGGGCUGGUGCUUGGAAGAAGACGAAGGGGGUGGACGGGCGUCGGCGGCGGCUACAGGGGUAGCGGCGGCGGCAGCCGAAGAAGAGCGGCGACGGCGGCCUGACGACGGCAGCGGCGGCUAGAUUAGGAGUGCGGCGGCGGUGCUCGAAGUAGGCGAAGAACCCUGAUAGCGUGACGAAGACCGGCACGGACGGUGGUGUUCCCGCGCCAAGGGAGACGGCGCGACGCAUAUCACAGGAGGUCGACGCGCGGUGACGGCGAAGUGGACCGCAUGCCGUGACGCUACGGCCCGAAGGGACGACGUAGUGGCAGCGGGCAGGUCGGGGCGACGACGGGAAGACCUCGGGGCGGCGGCGGGGACCGCGGGCCGUGGAGCUGCGGCCCGAAGGGGCGACGCAACGGCGGCGGGCGAGUCGGUGCAGCCGCGGGGACGGCCUCGGGGCGGCGGCUGGGACCGCGUAUCGCGGCAGUACGGCCCGUAGGGGCGACGCACAAGUCGAUGUAGCCACGAGGAGAACCAUGUGGCGGCGCCGCUGCGGCCCGACGGGGCGACGCAGCGGCAGCCCGUUGCUUGAUCGGUGGAGGGGCGCGCUGAACUCAAGGGACGAUCUUCACGGGACCUGCGGAGGCGCGCGUAACCAACGGGACAGGUCGGUCGCGCGGCGUAGAUGAGGCGGAUCGCGGCGGCGAGCGGGUGAUCAAGCCGAUCGCGCGCGAGGUCGGGGACGCCGCUCGAUGGAGACGGGGUGGCGGCGGAGUCCGAGAUGAAGCCGGCGACGGCGGGCAGCAGGGCGGCUAUGAUUGGCCGCCGCAUGACGCGAGGCCGCCGGGUCGGGGUCAUGCAGGAGUCCCGGUCGAAGCAGGGCGGUGACGGCCGGCGUAGAUCGACGGGCGGGCCGGGGCGCGAACGGCGGCGGUGAGGGCCGCCGCAUGACGCGAGGCCGCCGGGUCAGGGCGACCGGCGGGCGGUCGCGCGAGGCCGCCGGGUCGAUGAAGACGCCGGUGUAGUCGAUGCCGAAGUCGGAUUAGAGGCGCGCGGGGGUCGAUGGCUGCGGCGGGCGACGGGCAGACCGACGCGUGGACGGCGGCUGGCCCUGACGGGCCGCCUCGACGCGCGUGGCUGCCAGGUCGGAGGAGAGGUCGGCUGGUCGCGGCGGGGUCGGAGUAGAGGCGCUCGGGGUCGUCGGCGGCGGUGGGCGACGCAAACCGAUCAAGAAUAGAUCGGAAAACCAAAAAGAAACCGCGCGAUCAAGAUGACCGGCGGGAGAGAGAAAACCCCGAAGCAAGGCUCGGGGAAAAGACUCUUUAGGGCAGCCGGUCAACACGACUGGCGGACGAACCCUAGGUACGGGCAGCGCGGCCCCGGUGGCGGUCAUGGAGGCCGACCGCCCGGGGGCGGCGCGCGGGUGCGGAAGCGGCGGCGGCUAGGGUUUAGGAUCGACUUGCGAUAGAUACCAUGUUAGAAGGGAGAGAGAGGGAUUGUUACGAAAUAUGAUGAAUGUAUUAUUGAGCCUCGAGAACGAGUAUAUAUUGAGUAUUAGGCUUGGAGGGCAAGACGCCUCUUGUAGAGAUAAGAUAGAAGACGAAUUACAAAUCCUAAACUAUCAAACACGUGUAAUUCAAAUAUAUCUCUAACAUGUACGUACUUACGCUGCAUGCAUGCAUGCGUGCAUGCGUGGCGCGUGGAACCUACGAACGAGAAUCAGCCACCAGCCAAUGCAAAGUCGAUCACCAACCGAGCAAUGACUAACGACGUGCGUGGACCAAAUCGAUCGAUGAUCGAUGCGUGCAGAAUAAAUCGAGUUUUAAUUCGGCAUCUGAAAUUUCGGCGAGUUAGCCGGUCUCUCCUUGUCAGACAUCACUUCGCCACCUGAGGUGUACAGGGCGUUCAGCUACCGUGAGUUCCGGGAGCAAGUGCAGGCGGACGUGAAGACCACCGGCUCCAAGGUCGGCCUCGCCCGAUUCCGCGUCGCCGUCGGCCAAUCAUUGGACGAAGCCUGAUCGAUCCAUGGAUGGAUGUGGAGGGAGCAGAGCAGAGUAGACCGUCUCAUGUUUUUCUUCUUCUCAUUUUGUAGUAUAUGUUUGUAGCGGGCCGAGAAAGCUUUAGUAUUACAUCCGUGCUCUCGUGCGUGCCCACGAUGCUCUUUGUUUGGAUGGAUCAUCAGAGUCCUUUUAUCUGGGUUCCGUACGCCCGAGUUGGUUGCGGCACAGUCGAGUUGGCGCACGCACGGCACGAUCGGAUCCACAGCGAGCGGAGCGGAGCGGAACGAUGGCCGGCGGCGGCGGGCUUAUGAAUAUGGAGCCAGUGCCAGACGACGGCUGCGGACGGUGUAGUCGGAUUGUGGCGGCGGGUUUGCUGACCCUGCCGAUGGCGGCCUUGUCCAUCUGGGUGCCGGGCCCUGACGCACCGCCACGACCCAUGUUGCUCUUGUUCGCCAAGAUCCUCUGCGUCCUCACCCCAUGCACCAUCUUCAUGAUCCUGGUCACAGUCAUCGUCACGGAGCAGGGCCUGUAAGACUUAGGAUUUGGGAAACAGCACGACAUCUGUUAAGGGUGUGGAUAUCUCAUAUAUACAAGGGUACACAAAGGUGUACGGUACAAUAUACAAGACCUAUACAGAGGCUACAUGUAAAUACAGUCUAACACCCUCCCUUAAUCUUAACUAUGCCCUGAAGUACAAGUACGUUAAGAUUGCGCCUGCAGCCUACAAACUGAGGUUGUGGAAGAGGCUUUGUGAAGAUGUCAGCAAGUUGAUCUUUUGAAGAGAUGAACUUGAUGUGGAGUAGCUUCUGUGCAACACGUUCCCGCGCAAAGUGAUAGUCAACUUCAAAGUGUUUUGUCCGAGCAUGAAACACUGGAUUAGAUGAUAGAUAUGUAGCACCAAUGUUGUCACACCAAAGAACAGGCGGCUGAGUUUGAGAAACUCCCAAUUCUCUCAAUAAGGACUGUACCCAUAUGAUCUCAGCUGUAGCAUUUGCAACUGCUUUGUAUUCAGCUUCAGUGCUACUCCUGGACACUGUAGCUUGUUUACGAGCAGCUCAGGCGAUCAAGUUAGGACCAAAGAAGACAUCAUGUCCCCCUGUAGAUCGCCUGUCAUCUGGAUUACCAGCCCAGUCUGCAUCUGAAAAAGCAGAAAGCGUAGGAAACGGUGCUGGCUGAAGGAGUAAACCAUAUGAGGCAGUAAAGCAAACAUAGCGAAGAAUGCGCUUCACCGCUGUCCAAUGAGAAGUCCGAGGAGCAUGAAGAAACUGACAGACACGAUUGACUGCAUAUGAGAUGUCAGGCCGAGUGAUAGUCAGGUACUGCAGACCACCAACAACGCUACGAUACUCAGUGGCAUCAUCAGAGGUGAGAGGAUCUCCAUCAAAAGCAGACAGACGAGCAGUAGCGGACAUAGGAGUCAUGACAUGUUUGCACUUCAGCAUACCUGCCCGUCACAACAAGUCCAUCGAGUACUUAUGCUGCGUAAGUGUCAAACCGACAGGAGAACGUGAAACUUCCAGGCCAAGGAAGUAAUGCAACGUUCCUAAAUCCUUCACCGCAAAAUCACCACUCAAGGAAGAGAUCAGACGAUCAGCAGCAGCAUCCGAGGAGCUAAUGAGGAUAAUGUCAUCAACAUAUACCAGAAGAUACAUCGUCACCUGAGGCCGAUGUAGAAGGAAGAGCGAGGUGUCAGCAGUGGAGGGAACAAAAUCAAGUGACCGAAGAACAGAGCCCAAUCUGGCAUGCCAAGCACGAGGAGCCUGCUUCAGCCCAUAGAGUGCCUUGACCAGGCGACACAGAUGAUGAGGGCGAGCAGGAUCAACGAACCCCGGGGGCUGACGCAUGUAAACCUCCUCAUCCAGAACACCAUGAAGAAAAGCAUUCUGAACAUCCAGCUGACGAAGAAACCAGCCCCGAGUAACAGCCAAGGACAUCAGAAGCCGUAUAGUCGUCGGUUUGAUCACCGGACUGAACGUAUCCUCGUAGUCAAGACCAUACCUUUGCUUGAACCCUUUCGCCACUAACCGCGCCUUAUAGCGUUCAGUAGAACCAUCGGCAUGCUUCUUAACUUUGAAGACCCACUUGGAAUCAAUAAUAUUGACACCAGAGACCGGGGGAACGAGCUGCCAAGUACCAUUUGUCAACAAUGCCUGAUACUCUUGCUCCAUAGCUUGACGCCAAUGAGGAAUCCCGAGAGCAACCUGGAAGUGACGCGGUUCAACCAAAGGAUCUUCCUUGACGUGAGCAACACAGGCCGCAAGCCAGGCCACCGUCCCAUCUUUGCGUUGCUUGGGACACACAAUACCGGAUCGACUGCGUGUAUGCGGUCGAAGAGCAACAGAAGCAGGUGGUGCAGCAAGUGGCGACGGCACUGGCGAUGAAGAAGCAGCCGGCGAAGCAGCUGGUGACGGAGCAUUUGCGCCAGGCGAGGACGAGGCCGACCCAGGCGAGGCAGAACCAGGCGAGGCAGCAAUCGACCGGGCGGGCGAGCCAGUCGGCUCGAGGCCGACCAAGUCGCGGGAGGCCGGCCCAGGCGAGACCACCGGCUCAGGGGAGGCCGGCCCAGGCGAGAUCGCCGACUCAGGGGAGGCCAGCUCAAGGGAGGCCGGCCCAGGCGAGACCGGCCCAGGCUCAAGGGAGGCCGGCGCAGGGAAGGCCGACACGGGCAAAGCCGGCGCUGAAGAGCCCGGUCCAGACGUGCAUGGUGCAUGCACGAGACCGCUCCCAACGUCAGGUGCAGUCGACAGCUCCGGCUCCUCCAAUAACUCAAGGCGAGCUCCACGACCCGUUCCUGCAGCAUGAUUAGGCAACAACGCAGGAGAGUAUGCAAUAUCAACAAAUUGAGCAGGCAGUGGAGAGGUGGAAUGCGAGGAGGAGACUGGAGGUGCGGGAGUUGUGGACAAAGACGAGAACGGGAAUACACUCUCGUCAAACACAACAUCACGCGAGAUGUAGACAUGGUUGGAUGGAAUAUGAAGACACUUGUACCCUUUGUGAAGAGAGCUAUACCCAAGAAAAACACAAAGUUUUGACCGAAACUCAAGCUUACGCUUAUUGUAAGGACGAAGAUGAGGCUAGCAUGCACAACCAAAAACUUUGAGAAAUGUAUAAUCUGGAACCUCAUUAAGCAACAGUUCUAGUGGUGUUUUCAUCCCAAGGAGUCGUGUAUGAAGCCUAUUUAUGAGAAACAGGCAGUGGAAAACGCAUCACUCCAAAAGCGAAAAGGUGCCGAUGCAUGAGCAAGUAAAGUGAGACCAGUUUCGACAAUGUGACGAUGCUUACGUUCAGCCGUGCCAUUCUGCUGAUGUGUAUGAGGAAAGACACGCGGUGCGAAAUCCCAAGCUUAUUAAAAAAAGAAUCGAGGUUGUGAUAUUCACCCCCCCAAUCUGACUGGACAUGGAUGAUCUUAUGCUUAAGAAGACGCUCAACGUGAGCUUGAAAUUGUAGAAACACAUCGAACACAUCAGAUUUACGCUUGAUAAGAUAAAGCCAAGUAAACCGACUAUAAGCAUCAAUAAAACUGACAUAAUAAUUAUGACAGCUCACAAAAGUUUGGGCAUGCCCCCAUACAUCAGAAAAAAUAAGCUCAAGUGGAGUUUUGACGACACGACUCGAAUCUGAAAACGAAAGCUGAUGACUCUUGCCUUGCUGACAGGCAUCACAGACUGUGGCAGCAUCUUUAUUGGACACAACGGGAAGACUAUGACGAUGAAGAACACUACGAACUAUGGGAGUGGCAGGAUGACCAAGCCGUGCAUGCCAAUGAGUAGGCGACACACGGACACCACUGAGCGCUUGAGGAGCAGAAGGCAGAUCAAGUGCAUAUAGUCCAUCGCGCAGGCGACCUCUAAGCAGAACAUCCCUCGUGGCCCGAUCCUUGAUAAAAAAAUAAAAAGGAUGAAACUCAAUGAAAACAUUGUUAUCACGAGUAAGCUGAGGAACAAACAAUAAGCUACGAGUAGCAGAAGGAACUCUAAGGACAUUACAAAGAUGGAGAGAUUUUUGUUUAUGAGUUAAGAGAGAAGCCUGACCAACAUGUGAUAUGUGCAUACCUGCUCCACUGGCGGUGUGAACCUGAUCAUGUCCACGGUAUGGCUCCUGGACGGAGAGUUUGCCCAUCUUGCCCGUCAGAUGAUUCGUAGCGCCCGUGUCCAUAUACUAAGUUGGAUCGAUGGGAUAUGAUGGAGUGUGGCCUGCUUGACGAGCAGGCUCGUGAGUGGCCAAGGCAGCUUGUUUCUCGUUGCCUUUGCCAUUGUUGCCGACGCCGAGAAAGUCCUGCUUGAAGCGGCGAUGACAGCGGGAAGCAAUGUGACCUGGAAGGCUGCACAACUGGCAGGGAAGCCGGACGUCACAUGAAGGGCAGCAGGCACACGAGCGGCCACCCCCGGUCGUGGGCAAGGAGGCAGCGACAGGCGACCGCUGAGCCUGUGAAGUCAGUGGUACUGAUUUGCCACCUGCAGAUGACUUGAAGGGCUUCCCUUUUCCAUGAGUGGCAGCAUUGGCAGCAAUAAAACUCGGGUUGGUACGGCGGGACUUGACGCGCUGUUCCGUGGCGAGGAGGCGGGCGUAGAGCUCACGAGGUUCAAGCGGAGUAUCACGACCAUUGAUGUUCUCAGCAAGGUUAUCAUAGUCGUCGUCCAGGCCGUUCAUGGCCAAGGUGGUGAAGUCCUCUUUGCGAAGCGGUUGACCAAUGGAGGCCAAGGUGUCUGCGAGAUGCGUCAUCUUGCCGAAGUAGUCGGUAAUGCUGAGGUCAAGAAGCUUGGUCUCCCCCAGCUCCGUACGAAGAGUGUGAGCACGGGCCUGCUGCUGAGAUGCGAAGCUGGUUUGAAGGGCAGACCAUGCCUCCUGGGACGUGGCAGCGAAGAGGACCAAGGAGGACACCGCCUCGGUGAGUGACAACUGGAUCGCAGAAAGGAUGGCCUGAUCCUGAGCCACCCACGCAUGAUACGCCGGGUGAUGUGGUGGAGGACACGACAAGGAACCGUCGACGUAGCCCUCCAGGUAGCGACUGCGGAGAAGUGGCAGCACCUAUGCACGCCACGACGGAUAAUUAUCCGUCGUCAGUUUCACUGGGAUGAGAUGCGCUAAGUAGAACAGCGCACUGGCCACGGCAUGAUCAGCGACAGGAGGCGACGUGUAGUAGCUCAUGUAGGAUGAACCACCAGGUGCACCAGGACCCAGCGCUGUGGAGGAAGUAGCAGCCGGCGUAGGAGCUACAGGAUAGGGCGCAGCCAUUGCCGGCGGGUAGUAGCCGCCGUAGGGCAACGACGAUGGCGGGGUGCCGUAGGGCACGGCCGGCGCCCUGCCCGACCCGGCGGUCGCGGCGCCAAGUGCAGCCGCAUAGGGUUGCGGGGUUGGAGCCGCGUAGGACGCCGCGGGGACGGUGGCAUGUGGUGCAGCCGCAGCGGCCGCGUAAGGCGAGGCGCCAUACGCUGCGUUGUACGCGGAGGCAGGUGCAGGCGUUGCCUCGUAGGAGCCUGACGGCGGAGGAGCAGCCCCGUAAGGCCCGUAGGACACCGAGUCGGCAGGAACAGGCGCCACCCUGUAGGGGCCUGCUGGCGGCGGAGGAGCAGCCCCGUAGGGCCCUAGGGCGCCGAUCCCAUCCAGGGACCAGCGUACGAAGGAUCUCCCAACGCAGGCGGAGGCGCGGCCGGUGAUGACGGCGGCGGCUGAUCUGAGGAGGCGCCCACCAUCGAGGACUGGCCGGUGUAGACCGAGACCAGGGGGCGCGACGAGAGGAACGGCGAUGCAGGCGCCGUGACAGAGACCGGCGCGACGGCGGCGGCGGCGGAAGACAUAGGACCGGUUAGAGUUGAUACCAUGUAAGACUUAGGGUUUGGAAAACUGCACGACAUCCGUUAAGGAUGUGACUAUCUUAUAUAUAUAAGGGGUACACAAAGGUGUAUGAUAUAAUAUACAAUACCUAUAUAGAGGCUACGUGUAAAUACAAAUACAGUCUAACAGGGCCAAAGGCGACCACCUUCCCCGACGGACGGCCCAAAGGCGUCGUCGUCGUCGUCGUGGAUCCAGAGCCAGAGCCAGAGCCAGAGUGGGGGAUGGCCGGCUUUAAAAUCGACUGCGGCCGGUGCAUGGCGAUCUUCUUCCUGGGUCUGGUGACGCUGUCGAUGGUGGCCUUGACCAUCCGCCUGCCGGGCCCUGACCCUCCCACACGGCCCAUGUUGGACUUGGACAUGAGGAUCCAAUGCAUCGCCACCGCCUGCAGCUUCUUCAUGCUCAUGGCCGCACUAGUCGUCACGGAGCAGGGCCAAAGGCGACCACCUUAAUUCCCCUCCACGGACCCACCUUUACCAUGCUUCUUCUUCUUCUUUUUCUUCUUCUUCUUCUUCUUUCAUUUGAUUCACUUUAUUUUUUAUUAUUCAUUUAUAGAUUGAUUUUCUGGCCCCUCCAUACGUGUAUGCACAUGAUGACAUAUUUUGUUCCUCAUGUUUCCUACUCUCCAAACACAGAAUUGAGACAAUGAACACACACCGUGCGGAGAUUUUGGGAAAAGUUUACGAAAAAAAUAACGAAUUUUGAAAAGUUCACAAAUUUUAAAAUAGUUUGUGGAUUCGAAGAAAAUCAUAAGUUUGAUUUUUUUUCUGAAUUUAAGAAAUGUUCAUAAAUUUUAAAUAAUGUUCAAUGAUUGAAAUAACUUGACGAAUUUGGAAACAAUUCAUGGAUUUGAAAAACUUUCACGGACUUCAAAAAAAGUUCAUAGAUUUUGUGGAUUUGAAAAGAAUUUGAGAUAAAAUCACUAAUUCUGUGGAUUUGAGAAACUUUAACAAAGUUGAUUUUUUUAACUAAUUCUGUGGAUUAAAAAAUUUCACGAAAAUGAGAACAUUUCAUUGAUGUAAACUGAAAAUAAAAAGGAAAUGGAAAUAAAUAAAAAAGAAAACCCAAAAAAUAAAAGGAAAAAAACACCAAAAACCACCAAAACCGAACAAAAAAACACGAGUGAACAAAAGAAUGCCCAAAAAAACCCAGCCUAAAACCAGUGGGAGGUGAGAUAUUGGGCCGCAGCCCACUUAGAUGGAUAUCUGGAGGGCAGUUAGUCGGAUGUGGUCCGUCUAAGGGCUGAAGCCCUUUCUAAUCUAUGAGGCCUGGUAUGGGCCCGUCAGCCCUACUGACUUGUGGUCAAGUCCACUCCAGUCCCAUCAAUAUCAACGGUAGAAGCCCAAUGCCAAACAAUGGUUGUUCUCUCAGAUGGAGUCCUUAUCACAUGCGUCCUUUGUGAAGCUAGCAGUAACCUUGUGGGCUUUUUGGUCAGCAAGAAGAAAGGCUAUUCAUGAAGGUAUUUUUCAAAGCCUGCAUUCUGUGCAUUCCUUUGCCACAAGAUACAUUGGGGAGCUAGAGAUGAUCAAGGAAACAAAACCAGCCGUUGAUCCAAUCGCUGAUGUGGCUCGGGCUAGGAUUGUACGGCCGAGAGCACCUCCUGCUGGGCAUGCAAAGAUACACGUAGAUGCGGCAGUCAGACUAGGUAGAAGGGGGACGGCAGCUGUGGUGUGCAGAGACCAGGGAGGCAUUUAUUUGGGCAGCUCCGUUCUGGUAGUACAAGGUGUGGACGACCCAAUUAUUCUGGAAUCAAUAGUAUGCAUGGAAGCUUUAUGUGUUGCAGAAGAUUUGCUCCUGAAUCAGUUGUCAUAGCCUCAGAUGCUAAGCAAGUGGUCAGAGAUAUAAAUCAAGGGAAUCAUGAGAAACAUGGUGCAAUCAUCAGUGAGAUUAAAACACGGUCUACCUCUUUUUUAUGUACUUUUGUUUAUGAGGGUCGAAAUAGUAAAAUCAAGCUCAUAGAUUAGCUAGAUUUGCUCUUAAUCUAGCUCCGGGCGUCAUGUGUGAUUUGGCCGACCACAUGAUGCGAACGUUAUCCCACUCUCUGUGGUUUUUGAUCAAUAAAGAUUAGGCCUUACCCCUCAAAAAAAAGAAGCCCAAACCAUGUAUGACGCCUUAAGCGGCGAUUAUGAAGCAACUAGUUGACGAGCGCUCCUUCGGGAGCCUCACAACGGUCAGCGCCACUUGACGCGCUCUCAGCCGUCCGCCACGUGUCGUGCUCUGGGCCCUCCCCGGGGUUUUUUUCAGACGCGUUUUUGGCUUUCUAAACGGUUUUUUUCAGGGUUUUUUUGAUGUUUCGGUUUUUCACCGGUCUUCCUUGGCUUUUGGAUCAAUUUUUUUUAAAAAAAAUUAAAUGAAAGAGAGCUUCAAAGUGGGAACAUAGUGAACUAAAAGAAUUGAAUGGAAGAGCCCUUGAAAAUUGUUGACUUGGUCAAAAUUGUGCUGAUCCAAUUAUAAAUUGAAGGUUUCAAUUAGUUGCGAAAAAAUAGGAAGCAUGAUGUAUAGUAUAAAGAAAUUGAAUGAGAUAGCUUUGAGAAAUUGUGCCCCCGCAAAAAAAACUUUGAGAAAUUGUCGAUCCGGUCAAAAUCGGGUGACCCAAUCCUAAUUGAAGACCUCAAUUGAAUGUGAGCUCUUUAAAACUAGGGAGCUUAGUGUUAUAGACAAUACCGUUCGUGACGGCACGAUCAGAUCGGAUCCACAGCGAGCGGAGUGGACCGAUGGCUGGCGGCGGUGGCAGCAGUCAGGAGAGCGGAGGCGGUCUUAGACUAGGCACAAUGCCCAUGUUACUAGUCUAUGUUACUACCUCUAUAGUUGGGGGUAACAUAUGUGCGGUAACAUGGAACACUUCAUUUAUUAGGCUAUAGACACAUCUUACCUUAAUAUGUGUGAUGUUAUCCAUACUAGUAGUAAUUAGCUAUGUUAUCACUUUCAUCUCUUUCUUCAUUUAUGGCAUGCCACAUCAUCUAUUUAACCUAGAUAUGUGUAAUGUUACUAGUGGGUAGUCUUAUGGAGCCAGACCACGGCUACGGACGUGCAGGGUGAUCGUCGCGGCGGGUUUGCUGAUCCUGCCGAUCGCGGCCGUGUCCAUCUGGCUGCCGGGCCCUCACGCACCGCCACCGGCACUGCCACGACCCAUGCUGCUCUUGUUCGCCAGGAUCCUCUGCGUCGUCGCCCCCCCUCUUCAUCCUCCUCGCCACACUCAUCAUCACGGAGCGACCACUUUCCCCUCGACGGGCGGAUGGACAGGCCAAAGUCGUCGUCAUCGAGGAUCCAGAGCCAGAGCCAUGGCCGGCGGCAAAGUCGACUGUGGCCGGUGCAUGGCGAUCGUCUUCCUGGGUCUGGUGACGCUGUCCAUCGUGGCCUUGUCCAUCGGCCUGACGGGCCCUGGCCCUCCCACAAGACAGAUGUUGCUCUUGUCCGGCAGGAUCCUAUGCGUUGGCGCCGCCUGCAGCAUCUUCACGCUCGUGGUCGCACUGGUCGUCACGGAGCAGGGCCGUUGACCACCUUCCCCUCCACGGAAGGACAUGUUCCAUGCUUCUUCUUCUUCUUCUUUGAUUUGAUGAUGAUAUAUUUUGUUCUUCUUUGAUUCCUACUAUCCAAAAUAACUAUUUCUAAAUUUCCGGCUAGCUAAAAAUCAUCCCAUCCUAAUUUUGAAAUCAUCAAUGUAAAUUAAAAUUAAUAACCAUCAUUUGAGUAUAUAUAAGUCGAGGGAGUUUUAUGUGGUAUUUUUACAAAGCACAACAAGUCAAUAACUAGAAAACCCAAUCAUCCAUUAUAUUAUCACCAUGGCGCUACAAACGACCCAAAAUACACAAACUCAACUAAUGGUGCCAGAGCGUCACAUUGUACUCUAUCACAUCGCCACUGGGAGGGUUCGUAGAGGUGAGACAGUGAACGCACACCGUCCGGAGCAUGCCGUACCCUUGGGCCAUCCGGAAUGCACCCCGGCCUCCAAUAACGGGGAGCUCCCUGGUUGAUCUCAACGGGUUCCUUGAGAACAAUACAAACGAACUGCCAUUGAAUGGGCCAGUUGUGAUCUCAACAUCGAUGGCCAUCAAAAUCGUGUACCCAUCUUUUGUUGUGCCGACAUACAUGCCCUGUGCAUUCCCAAGCACCUUAGACGUGAUCGAGGGCCCCUCGGUGAUCACAUCGUCAAACACGUAGACAGAGCUAAAGGCCACGAUACCACGAGCAUGGGCCGUGGCAUUGGCGUUUUGUGCGACAAGGACCGAGGAUGAAUCCUUAUCGGCAUGGAUGUUGUGGAGGUAGAAGAGGAUGUUCGUCUCCUUAUCUCUUACAAGCGAGGAGGCAACGGAAGCGUUGCACUGGAGAGAGAGAACAAGGAUGGUGAGGAUCAAGAAUGGAAUUCAUCUUGAGUUCUUGUGGCUUUUGAAAAUUUGUUUGCGAUUGAGAAAGUGUUCGGUGAGAAGGUUUGGUGUGUGUAUUUGUAGCUGAUGAAGAGGAGGAUAUUGUUUGGUAUUCUAUACAUGGAAAUAUAUAACNNNNNNNNNNNNNNNNNNNNNNNNNNNNNNNNNNNNNNNNNNNNNNNNNNNNNNNNNNNNNNNNNNNNNNNNNNNNNNNNNNNNNNNNNNNNNNNNNNNNNNNNNNNNNNNNNNNNNNNNNNNNNNNNNNNNNNNNNNNNNNNNNNNNNNNNNNNNNNNNNNNNNNNNNNNNNNNNNNNNNNNNNNNNNNNNNNNNNNNNNNNNNNNNNNNNNNNNNNNNNNNNNNNNNNNNNNNNNNNNNNNNNNNNNNNNNNNGUAGGUGUAGCAUUUUUGUAUCUUUAGAUACGGAAAUUAGUUUUUUCUAUGCAGAAAAAAAGGAAAUUAGUUUGUUUAGGCUAGGAUACGGAAAUUAGUACGAGCACGUCGGGUUAGUCAGAUGUUGCUCGACCACAAAAAAAAAGAUCGGGCUCUUUUUUCUUUGAGGAAAAAAAAAGAUCUGGCUCGACCACGGCCGAAUCCUGGGAGCAAGUAGUUAACGAGCGCUCCUUCGAAGCGCUUGUAACGAGCGGUUCGGGAGCACUCCGUGCGUGACAAGUGUCGCGCGAGGAGCGCUCCCGUAAGGGAAAACCAGUUGCGUGGUUGGUUCCCGGUUUUCUCUUUCCGGUUUGUGGUUUGGUGCGUUUUGCAGUUUGACCCUCGAACUAUCAGAAUUUUCCGUUUUCCCUUUCCGCGCGAAAACACAAAGAAAAUACCAGUUCGCGCGGUUGGUUUCCUGUUUUCCUUUCUCGUUUCCCUUUUUGUUCCCAUUAUAUUUCCGUGUAAUGGAGAUUUAUGGGGUAGUUACGGGCGGGGACUACCAACACUAUCAAAUGUGACCUUUCAAGUAAAGAAAAAGAGGAAUUUUUUAAUGUAAAACGGCAGUCUCCAGAAUCGUUCAAUCGUGUGACUUCUUUAUAGGCACAGGUGAACACUAGGAGAGGCACGGGUGUAUAACUUUACUAAAUUGAAGAAAAGUGCCUCCGGCGCGAGGGCACCUCCUGCUCGCCUUCAGCUCGUUUAAUUUUCAUAAACAUCUUGAAGGGGGGGGGGCAUAGGUCGAAGUGUGUGUUGGUCGUGCAGCGUGCUGGUUCGUGCGGCGCGUUGUCUCUCGUGGUNNNNNNNNNNUCGUGCAGCGUGCUGGUUCGUGCGGCGCAUUGUCCCUUGUGGUGUGACACGGCGCCUCCGGUGCGAGGGAACCUCCUGCUCGCCUUCGGCUCAUUUAAUUUUCAUAAACAUCUUAAAGGGGGGGGGGGCAUAGGUCGAAGUGUGUGUUGGUCGUGCAGCGUGCUGGUUCGUGCGGCGCGUUGUCCCUCGUGGUGUGACACGGCGCCUCCGGCGAGAGGGAACCUCCUGCUCGCCUUCAGCUCGUUUAAUUUUCAUAUAGCAGGUCAUGCAAAAGGCAAGCUGCUUUGUUUCAAAAGGCACGGGUUUGAAGCAUGUGCAAUCACGUCUACUUAAGAGCUAGGCUUUGUUGAGGAUAUAUAGGUUUGUGCGUGCAUGCACAUGUGUGCAUACUACGAAGGCAUUGGUAUGUUGCCUCCGGAGGCACGGGUUUGAAGCAUGUGAAGUCACGUGUGCGUAGGAGCUAGCAGCGGUUGAGGCGCUAUUAGUAUGUGUGUGUGUGGAUAUUGCCCGGAGGCAUGGUGACCCAGGUUUUGGUGGCACAAGGCCGUGUCGCCUCUGGAGGCACGGGAGGGUGGUCUCCAGAGUCACGCGUAAGGGUAUGUGUGUGUGUGUGGAUAUUGCCCGGAGGCAUGGUGACCCUGGCUUUGGUGGCACAAGGCCAUGUCGCCUCUGGAGGCACGGGAGGGUGGUCUCCAGAGUCAUGCGUAAGGGUACGUGUUUGUGUGGAUAUUGCCCGGAGGCAUGGUGACCCAGGCUUUGGUGGCACAAGGCCAUGUCGCCUCUGGAGGCACGGGAGGGUGGUCUCCAGAGUCACGCGUAAGGGUUCGUUUUGGGAGUCACUGCUGUCGUACAAAUAAGAAGAGGCAUUGUUGUUUAUAGUUUACUGGCAUUCUCUGAUGAUGUAAGAGGCACUGUUGUCGAAAUAAUUCUUUUUUCAACAUGAACACAUAAUUUCUAACUACAUUACAUAGAAACAUGAGUUAUUGAUAAACUGUUUUAGUCUUCAUUUUUGCUGAAGAUCUUACUAAUCUCGUCACCCAUUUCACUAGCUUUGACUUGAUUCAUCUCGCUACUUAAGAGAAUGUACAUUGCCUCUGCCCUCCAGUCUUCGACCUCAUCCUGUGAAAUUUUGCCGAGAAGAGAAGUAUAUUAUUAGAGUUUGUGCAUAUAAGUUGUUUAUAAGUAAAUAUAUAUAAACUUACUGUGAAAUCUUCCAGGUCUUCGACAAACUUUUCACCAUUGUAGAGGAAUGCAAGCUUUAAAACAGCAAAUGUUGAUUCUCCCUUCUCUACCACUGGAACAUCUUGCACGGUAUGAAUCUACCAUCUUGUACCCUUGGCAUUCAUUGUUCGUCCUAGUAUGAUGUUGAAGACUUCUUUAAACCUAGGUACCUGGGAAUAUUACAUUUUGUAAUUAAUUGUUUUAAUAUUGCAACUUGUAAAACUGAAAAAAUUGUUAUGUAUAAAUGCUUACGAUUGCCGACUUAUGAACAUGAUAUUCCUGAAACUGUCUUUCUCUUUUUUUUUUAGCAUCUUCAUGUUCCUGAAGAACUCGACAUGCUUCUUUUGGAUCCAAUUUAUCCUUGUCUAUCUUUUCUUUCUCAAAUUCCUCUGAAGUCGUUUCUCGAGGAUCAAUAAUGUGAACUUUGUGUUUGUAUUUAUCCAACACAUAUAGUACAUAGCGGUCAUGCUUCUCCAUUGGAAUGAAUAUCUGCGUACAAAAUACUUGUUGCUUAGAUGACAGUUUAAUAUAAAGUAAUUUAAUAGAACGCAUAUUUUGUGAUUUUGUCAUGGAGGAAAAGGUUGUUACCAUGUUUGCUGUUGAGAGCUUUUUCCGUUGAUUUUCCUUGAGAUACAUGGGAACCAGCUGAUUCUUUGUUUUUUGCAAUUCAUUUUUAAAUUUUGUAAUACUAGUUUUGUGUUCCUUUAAAUCCAAUAUAUGCUGCAAACAAUAAUUACGAUGAAAAAAACUGUUAGAAAAAAGAGCUGUGUAACAAUAUAAAAAGAGUAGGUGUUGCAAUAUAGACAAUAUUUUGCUUCUUAAAAGUUUACCUCUGCAAUAUAGACAAUAUAAAAAGAGUAUGUACUCUGUCGCUCUCUUUUGAAUCUUGUCUGCUUUUCCAGAUUUCUGCUAUGUCAUCGAGCACCCUCUUUUCCAUAUGAUGUGGUAUGUUCGUCUGUGCUGGUCUUGGACCAAAAACUGCCUUCAGUUGGGCUCCAGUAAGUUGCGUGCUUUCACUAUCCUACCGGAUGCGCCUAAAUAUAGUUUUGCUGCGACAGGCAGAUAAAAUAAUUUUGGAGGUCAUGGUCAGUGAGAAACAGAUUUUUACAUUAUUUUUGGCCUCUGUCCAACUAUUUUGAAGUGCAAUAGAAAACAGCUCACUUUUUGUAUUCCUCCUGCCAGCUGUCGCUCAUGACUAGAUGGAAGAGGUCGGGCGCCUCCUUUGUGUGUUGGAAGCAAUGAGAAUGUUUUGGGUAUGGACUGGUGCUUCGUCUUUUUUUCCUUUUUGUUUCAUCUGUUUCUGUCAGCGGAAGCAGAUAUGUAAUAUGUAAGCUCUUGUUAUACGAAAGACAUUGGUGAACCGUGGGAUGGGUAGGUUAUUACAAAAAAAGAUAAGUAUAGAUGAUUUUCUUACCUUUGUUGGUGGAAAAGAACUUUGAAGUUUCUGGUUCGAAUUCUUUGAUUCUUCCAGGUAGAUCCUCGCACUUUACUUGGUUUGUUUCACCAAAUAUGGCUGUAAAUAGAAACUCUGGUUUCCACUCGGCAUCUACGUUGCUUUGCCGCAUGGAGGUCAUUGGAUAUUCUUUUAUUUUUCUUUCAUGAGAUAAUUGAAGUAUUCAAGUAGUGCUGCUUGUAAAAAUUAAAAUUGUUGCUCUUGUACUAUUCACUUACAUCGAAAUCCUCAUCAUCUUUUAUGAGAUCAAUGCCAUUCCAGUAUUUUGCAAAUUGAACCAUGAAGUGUCCGCAUUGGGUACCCAGCUGUUUUGGCACGCAAACUCUGUUAGGUGUUUCUGCUAUCCUCGACCAGUUCGGUUCGCUGUUGGCUCGUAGCUCCGCUUCGCCGUAAUGCUUCUUCAUGAGUGCUUUAAUUAUUUACGGCACACAUUCACUAGAAGAAUCUGUUCGACGCAGGAAGCACGGUGGACUCGGUAGGAAAGAGAGGCACGCACGUGAUGCCCACGAAGGCAUGGGCUAGCACUCUCUGCAGCCACGGUUAUGUACGUUUGUGACUCUCUGUGUUUCAGUCAUUAGGGUCACAGGCACGGGCGUCAAAUCCACAAAGGCAUCAUUUGGUAUUAUAUAGAGUCAUGUUCUGUUGUGUUUGUGUUCCUAAUGAUUCAGACGACUCGUUCAGACGGAGAGGCACGGAUGAGAAGCCCAUGGAGGCAUACUUUAGUAUUAGGCAGGGUCACAAUCAUGCGUUUAUUGCACAUGGUCGAUUGUAUUACAUAGAGUCAUGCUCGCCAGUGAGACUCGACCAGACGAAGAUGCACGGGCGUCUAGCCCACGGAACUGAACCUUUGUCUUACGCACACCCACGGGCGUUUACUCUGUGAGGCACGGAAUUGCCUAUAUGAGAGACGCUGAUUUUAAAGCUGAUUUCCUUGUAUUUAAAAGCACAUACGUGAAGUGCAUAUAGACAUGGUUCAGUACCGAGUUGCGUCACGCUUCUUUCUUGAUAAAGGCGUCGACGUUCGUGGCUAUGUGUGUUUCAGUGUCAAGGGUCACAAGCAUGGGCAUACAGCCCUCAAAGGCAUGGCGUGCUAUUAUAUAGAGUCACACAGAAAGAUUUUCUGAUUGUGUUCCGAAUGAGUCGGUGGACUCGGUCAAAAGGAGAGGCACGGACGUCCAGCCCACGGAGGCAUGGUUUGUUCCUACCCGGAUUCACGUUUGUGCGUUUAUUACGGAAACCUAAUAGAAUCGGGCGACUGUCCUUGUUACAAUUGUUUUCGUUGUAAGAUUUUUAACUCAAAUGCACGAAAGGCGACUUUAUAUGUUUAGUAGCGUCAUGAUCCUUUACGCACGAAGACGACUUUUUGUGUGUCAGUGUUUCAGGUCACAGGCACAGUUGUCAAACUCACAAACGCAUGACGUGUAAUUAUCCAGAGUCACCUUGGUGUCUCUUUGUGUUCCAAAUGCAUCCGUUGACUAUAUUACCAGGACAGGCACUGUCGGGAUGCCGAUGGAGGCAUGCUUGUGUUUUACGCGGAGCCACGUUCGUGCGUUGAUUGCGGAAACCCAGCGUUCUGACGGGCGUCUCCACGUAUUCGGGUGUGAACGCCACGUGGCGCCGCUACGGAAACCCAAGGGUCUGACGGACGUCUCCUCCGGUGAUGCCGAUCUGGUUCGUCGCCCGAGGCCAGGCUCCGGCUAUUUAAGGCGGACGGAUGGCAUCUCGAAACCCUAUCCACACCCUCUUUCUUGGUCUGUCCAGAUCCACGCCACAUAAAGCGGCGCUCGCAGGCCGCGCGAUCCCAGCAAUGGAGACGGAGAUGGAGGUCAACUCCGGUGCCCCGAGCACCAAGAGGGCGAGGCUCGCGCCACCCGCGACGCCUUCCUCUGGUGGUUUGGCGGUAGCGACUGGAAGCGGCGAGGGUGCGCCUACUGGACGAGGAUCAAGAAAAGCAGUCUGGUCCGGACCGCAUCAGCGACCUCCCGGACGGUGUCCUCGGUGAGAUCAUAUCCCGUCUGUCCACUAAGGAAGGCGUUCGCACUCAAAUCCUCACACGUCGGUGGCGCCCUGUUUGGCGCGCCGCUCCUCUGAAUCUGGACUGCUGUGAGAUCCCUGUCCCACGUCUUUUUAACCCUCUAGAUCAAGCACAUUUCGAGUUGGUCACCGCGAACUCCGCCACACCGGACGAACUCGUCCGUGAAGAUAAUUCCUAUGAUGAUUCAUACCUUCCAGAGGCCAUCCUCUCCGGGCGUCAGAGCGCAGUUCGCCGCCUCUGCAUUCCGGCGUCCUACCUGCACUGCAGGCACUCCACAGUCGACGACUGGCUUCGAUCCCCAAGACUGAAAAAUCUCCAGGUGCUCGAGUUUUACUACCUGUUCCCACUAUGCUUGAGACAACAUGACAUAGGGCCAUUCUCAUGCCCUUCGCUCAUGCCAUCACCACCAGAAUUAAACCCUCAGAUUUCCUCCUCUCUCCAAACCAUCGCCUUUACUCUUUGCAAGUUACUAGACAACUAUGUAUGGGUGCUUAAACUACCACUGCUCAGGAAAUUCUCGGUCGUAGAUGUUGAUGUAUCAGACGUCUCAUUACAAAGCAUCAUCAGCUCUACUUCUCCUACACUCGAGUCUCUGCUGCUUGUUUGGAUAGUAAGGCACCAUCGCAUCAGAAUAAACUCACCUAACCUUAUAAGCGUCGGCAUUUCUGGUUACUAUGGGAAAAUUGUUAUAGAAGAUGCCUCGUCACUUCAAUGGUUGCUUUGUGAUGGUGAUUGCAAGAAGUUGCGGAUAGUUAUCACCUCUGCACCUAAACUGCAGGUCAUGGGCAAAUUAUCUAAUAUUUUCUGUGAAUCCGGCAUCACAAAUGACCGUAUAAUUAUUCAGGUGCCGACUUUCAACAAUACUUUCACCUCCAUUCAUUGGUACAAACAAGUUCCAUGCAAUUCAACCUUUACUCUACUAAUAUUAUGUUUUAUUCUACAUGAAGUGUUUGCCGACGGUCAGCACAUCCACAGCGGUUCAUUCUAUCAAGACGUUGUCUAUCAACAUGGAUUAUGACCUGCACACAGUCUUUUCCUUGGUGGAACACUUCCGAAGCUUGGAGAACUUGUAUAUCGAGGUGAUGCUUCUCACACAAAUUGUAAAACACAUACCAUGCAUGGUGUAGAACUCCAUUCAACAAAAAAAAGUCACUUACAUUUGUAUGUAAUGGACAAAGGUGUAUAUAGUCAUGGACCAGUAUUAGGACAAAACUAAAAAAGAGCCUUUAUCACAACAGAGGUUAUAUAAUUAUUCCUUCACUUGCUCUCCCAGCAGAAUCACUCUUUUUGGAGCUUAACCAUUUUAAAUCUUCAUGUUUAUUCAGGAAAUAGCCUCUAAUGAAGAAAGUCUUGCGAACGACUGUUCUUGCAAGCACCAUCAUGACGUUCGUUUGAAGUCACUGACGCUGGAAAUCUAUGUUCAAUGCGAGAAAAGCAUUCGAUUUGUGACAUUCUUUAUUCUCAACGCAGCACAGCUGCAGACUAUGAGGAUCAAGUUUCUUCUUCAGGAAGACUUCACGGAAGAAUUCUACAAACAGCAACAAGACGUGCUUCAGUGUGACAAAAAGGCUUCUAAACAUGCUUGCCUUAGGUUGUCGCCAAGUUGCAACCAUGGGAACUUGGAUCUAAGGCACACAUGCGUUGAGCACCUGGAUUUAAGGGAUCCAUUCACUUGUAGGUGCUGAAAAUAGUGCUGGAGUGAGAUGUUGCCGCCACUUUCCGGUUUGGAAUUUAUGUAGGUGUGGUGAAACAACGCCUAUACCUUUUUGCUCAAUCUGUUACCUUGCCAACAGCGAACUCAGUAUUUCGGUCUAUGGCUAAACGGUCUUUUGCUCAUGCCAUACAUUUCAUUAGCUAAACGGGCUUCAAGUCUCUGCAUCCACGGCUAUGUACAUUUGUGACUUUCUGUGUUUCAGUGAUAAGGGUCACAGGCACGCGCGUCAAAUCCGCAAAGGCAUCGUGUGGUAAUAUAUAGAGUCAUGUUCGCUUGUGCUUGUGUUUGUGUUCCGAAUGAUUCAGUGAACCACGGUUUGUCAGCAAACACACAGACGAUCAUGCCUUCGUAGAAAAGUGUUUCGAGACGCACUGUUCUACCUGUCACACAGGCACGACCAUGGCAAACGCACGGUUUGCCACGAACCACACAAUGGCCGUGAAGUGAUACGACGCGCACUGUUCUAUAUGCCACACAGGCAUGCCCGUGAUUCCACGUGCUUCAGUAGCACGUAAAAUCGUAAUUCUUUCACAGGAAACGCCGUGAACCUACUGCCAGGCACUAUAUCUAUUUGUGAAACAGAAACGCAAACACAACCGUGACCCAUUGUGUUUGAAAUCUUUGCAUCACAGAAGCACCGCGUGAAGGCACAUGAAGUACGGUUGGACACGCAUUGCAAGCACGGUUAUGCACAUGAGGUACAGUUAGGCACAGUGUAGGGACAUAAUUGCAGAUGUCACCGCUGUUGCGCGUUUUUUAAAAGCACGGGCUUGCACUCUCUGUGUUUCAGUGUUUCAGUCAUUAGGGUCACAGCCACGGGCGUCAAAUCCACAAAGGCAUCGUGUGGUAUUAAAUAGAGUCAUGUUCACUUGUGUUUGUGUUCCGAAUGAUUCAGGCGACUCGUUCAGACGGAGAGGCACGGACGAGCAGCCCAUGGAGUCAUAGGUUAGUAUUAUGCAGAGUCACGUUCAUUCGUUUAUUGUGCAAACCGUACAUUUCAUUAGCUAAACGGGCUUGAAGUCUCUGCAGCCACGGUUAUGUGCGUUUGUGACUUUCUGUAUUUCAGUGAUAAGGGUCGUAGACACGGGCGUCAAAUCCACAAAGGCAUCAUGUGGUAUUAUAUAGUCAUGUUCCCUUGUGUCUGUUUUCCGAAUGAUUCCGUCGAUUCGUUUAGACGGAGAGGCACGGACGAGAAGCCCAUGGAGGCAUACUUGAGUAUUAGGCAGAGUCAUGUUCGUGCAUUUACUGCAAAAACAUAACAGAAUUGGAUUCGGAUGUGAACCCUCACUGUUUACUUUGUGAGGCAAUGAAUGACCGAUUCGAGAGACACAGUCCUUAAAAGCACGGGCAAGAACUCUCUACAACCACGGUUCUGUACCAAAGAGCCACUGUCAAACGCAUGGAAGUCAUGCAACGAGGGCCACACUUUUAGUAGUAGAAAAAGCACUUUAUCAACUGGCGUUGCUCCUUUGCUACGCGCACAGUAGGGUGGCUGUGGAAGGCACGUUAUUCAAGCAGAGAACGAACAUCACGAUGCCAGGACAAGGUCAAAAGCAUGGUUGUCAGUCUGCAGUGUCACGGCUAGAAUCCUCGAGACACAUUUCGGUGUGGCCUGUUGAGUAGAAACUCGGUUGUGCGGUCACCGGAGGCACUACGUAACGUCCCGCAAAACAGGUUUGGUUGACCGUUGUGGUGGAUGUCUAUGCUUUCAGCUCUUUUCAUCUCUCCUGUGUCGCAGCAGAGACGCAUGGUUGUAUUGUUACACCAUCCAACUUCAUAAAGAAAGGGCUGCAAACAUUUACAAACAAACCUAUCGCCCUUAUAAUAUUUUCCCAGCUGAGUAAUAAAAAUACCUAAACAAGCAAAAUCUGUUCUGCUUACAUUUGCUUUGUUUCUACAACUGCACCAAAUAAACUUACAAGCCGUUUUUUAUAACCACAGUACGAGGACCAGAAACAGUGCAUCGGCUCAAAUGCAGCUCCAUCAGUGCAAGGCUCAACUGUAGCUCCUCAGUGUGUAUGGCAGGUACAUCCGAGAAGCACCGCUCUACCUGCAACACAGGCACGGUUGUGCAUGCAUUGUGUGCAUGACAGGUACAUAUAUAAGACAGGCACCAUCGUACAUACAACACAGCACGGUUACACAUACAGCACGCAUCUCUUCACUGAAAAAUUAAAUCUACUUUAUGUCUCUUAACCUUGGUGCCACAACAUUUUAUGGUCCUUCGGCCCGUACAAAGCCGCAAAACCACACAUUUCCUUCAUGACUGCACACAACACAAAAACAGACAAGCCUACACACGGUGCAAAGUCUACAACGGUUGUCUGAUAAAGUUUACAUAAAACCCAAGCUCAAAAGAACGCAACAACAAAUAACUCCAUACACCUGGACAACUAACACAAGGCCUGAUUUCAGCAUCCACAUGUGAACGGAACCGUCAAAUCCAGGUACACAACACUCCUCUUCCUUAAAAGCGGACGCGCGUGGCUGCAACUUGACGAUAAUCUAAGACGUGCACGUUUAGAAGCCCUUCUAUGCCACUCCAGAACCCUUUGUUGCUUUUCGUAAAAUACUCCCGUGAACUCUGAGGGAGGGGAGGUAAACUUAAUGGUGAUGGUCUCCAGAUCCUUUGCACUAAGAACAAAGAACGUCGCAAAUUCAGUGUAACUCCCGGAGCGAACAUAAUCUUCCAGCGAUACUGUCCUCAGAUAAACGUCGUGAUGUUUGAGAAACUGCCGGUGCUUAAGACGCCAUUUGUUUGUUUCACCUCGGCAAAUCAACGAUCCCUAAAAUAUAAAUGAUAGGUUCAAAAUACUUAGCGUCUAUAAAAAGAGAUACAGACCAUAAAAAACGAAAUGAAACAAUCAGUUCUACAACCUCCGUAACUAGAAGUUAGACAUAGACUUGUCUAUAUAUGGAUGUAUCCAACAAUAAAUCAUGUGUAGAUAUGGGUGCAUCAAUUCCAGUCAAAAUUAAGACAAGAAUUUUGAAAUGGAACGAGCACUACAGUAUGCACAUUUCUGAAGAUCAUCACCUCGACAAACAAGUUCUCCAGUUUUGGAAAGCACUGCAGCAAUUGAACGACAGUGUCCACCUUAUAAUACAUGUAGAUAAGCAAGGUCUUGACAGAUUGACACAUUGUUGUUAGACUGACUGCCUUCAAACCCUUGAUGAAAAUUAACAGAAGAUGGAUCACAAAACUAAUAGCAUAAAGGUUGGAUGAAAUAAAACUUGUUUCCUCACAAAUAAAGUUAAGCUGGAAGUAUCGUAAAAACUCAAUACCUCAAGACACGUCAGACGACACGGAUAUGGUUCAGACGCAGAUACAUCGGUUACCUCCAAGUCCUGACUCUGCAUGAAGAAUAGAGCAUAGACCAUCAAAUUAAUAGAACAAACAUCGGAACAAGUACAACUCUGUUCCAGUAUGAACGAAAGUCAGUACCUCAAGACACGUCGAGGGAGACACAAACACGAAUUCACCCAACAUCUCCAGUUUAGGUGCAGAGACAACGGUUAUCGAACAGUCGUCAACCAGACAAUCAACAAUCAACCGUCGAACUGAAGGGGCAUCCUCAAUAAUUAGUUCUUCGUGUGGACAACAAAUGCCAAGGCUUACAAGGUUAGACAAGUUUAUUGUGACGCGACGACCUCCUCUAUUGCAAACAAGCAGGAGAGACUCAAGUGCAGGGCAACUAGAGUGGAUUAUGCUUUGCAGCGAGGCGUCUGAUAUAUCAACCUCCACGAGUGAGAGUCUUUUCACCAGUGGUAGCUUAAGUGUCCCUACGUAAUUGUCUGAUAUUUUGCAAAGAGCAAAGCCAAGGGUGUGGAGAGAGGAGGAAAACCGAAACACGGACUCCGGUGCCGAGGGCGUAGUUGAAGUGCAUAGAUCUAAUAGAGUUACCUCUUGCGUCAGAAGUUCUGGGAAGAGGUAGUAGAACUCAAGAACCUGGAUAUUGUUCAACUUCCAAGAUCAGAGCCAGGCAUCAACGGUGGAGGGCCUGCACUGUAGGUAGCACGCCGGAAUAGAGAUGCGGCUAACCGAGCCAGCAUGGCCGGACAGAAUGAAUUCCGGAAGACUAACAACAGGAUUUCAACAGAGCCGCGUUCCGGAAUAGCAUUUGCGAACGCGCCCCUUGGUGAAGGCGGACAGAUGAGAUAUGGUCUCGAUAUAAACUUUUUCUCCAUCGUUAAAAAGACGAGAGACAGAGAUCUCGCGGCAGUCGAGAUUCAAAGGAGCGAUGGGCCACAAAGGAUGCGAGCGACAUGCGAGGAUUCUAGUACGGAUACCAUCCUUGAUGGGAAGACGAGAGAUGAUCUCACCUAGGACGCCGUCGGCGAGAUCGCUGAUGUGGUCCGCACAACAUCCCUUUUCUUCCUCCUCAGAUCGAGAGAGAGCAUGGUCGCCGCUUCCAUCCCCUCCGACGACCAGCACACCUCCAGAAGGCGGCAUCGCCGGUGGCGUCACUCUCGACCUCUUGAUGCUACGAGCAGCGCUUUCCAUCUCCACCUCCGUUGCUCGGGUGGCGCCGCCCACGACCAGUGCUCACUGAGGUGGAUCUGGAGAAAUGGGUUGCAGCAUGUCAAUCCAUGAAACGACUUAAAUACCCACGACGGGGAGCGGAGGGGUCCAGAUUAAUUACUUCUUCUUUUUUUCUUUUUGACAGGAGGGCCCGGGUUAAGUACUACUCGUAGCAAGUCAAUGGUAGAUGGGUGCUUGAAACAUUAAAUAGAACCACGACUUUCAAGGUACGAAAUGCACUGUUGCACACGCAGACCAGGCACGGGCGCGCCCCUGAGUGCUUUAGUUAUUUACGGCACUGAGGCACGGACUCGGUAGGAAAGAGAGGCACGCACGUGACACCCACGAACGCAUGGGCUAGCACUCUCUACAGCCACGGUUAUGUACGUUUGUGACUCUCUGUGUUUCAGUCAUUAGGGUCACAGGCACAGGCGUCAAAUCCACAAAGGCAUCGUGUGGUAUUAUAUAGAGUCAUGUUCGCUUGUGUUUGUGUUCCGAAUGAUUCAGACGACUCGUUCAGACGGAGAGGCACGGACGAGAAGCCCAUGGACGCAUACUUUAGUAUUAGGCAGGGUCACAAUCAUGCUUUAUUGCGCAUGGUCGAUGGUAUUACAUAGAGUCAUGCUCGCCUGUGAGACUCGACCAGACGGAGAUGCACGGCCGUCUAGCCCACGGAACUGAACCUUUGUCUUACGCACAGCCACGGGCGUUUACUAUGUGAGGCACGGAAUUGUCUAUAUGAGAGAAGCUGAUUUUAAAAGCUCAUUUCCUUGUAUUUAAAAGCAUAGACGUGAAGUCCAUACAGACACGGUUCAGUACCGAGUUGCGUCAUGCUUCUUUCUUGAUAAAGACGUCGACGUUCGUGGCUAUCUGUGUUUCAGUAUCAAGGGUCACAAGCACGGGCAUACAGCCCUCAAAGGUUUUCUAAUUACAUAGAGUCACGCACAGAGGUUUUCUAAUUGUAUUCAGAAUGAGUCGGUGGAGAGGCAUGGUUUAUUCUUACCCGGAGUCACGAUUGUGCGAUUAUUACGAAAACCUAAUAGAAUCGGGCGACUGUCCGUAUUACAAUUGUUUUCGUUGUGAGAUUUUAACUCAAAUGCACGAACCGCCAAGUGUGUCAGUGUUUCAGGUCAGAGGGCACCUUCGUGUCUCUUUGUGCUCCAAAUGCAUCCGUUGAUCUAUCACCAGGAGUGGCACGGUCAAGAUGCUCAGGGAGGCAUGCUUGUGUUUUACGUGGAGUCACGUUCGUGCAUUAAUUGUGGAAACCCAAUGUUUCGACAGGUGUCUCCUCGCAUCCGGGUGUGAACGCCACGUGGCACCGCUCCAGAAACCCAAGGGUCCGACGGGCGUCUCCUCUGGUGACGCCGCUCUGGCUCGUAGACCGAGGCCAGGCUCCGGCUAUUUAAGCAGGACGGGGUCUCGAAACCCUAGCCACACCCUCUUCCCCCCUCUGCCUAUCGCCAGGCUAUCCAUUCCUCUUGCUGCUCUCCAUCCCGACCCUCUCCGCCAUGGCUGCGCAGGAGGACACUACUGCAGAACCCCGUGCCCAGACACUGGAGGGGAUCAAGGAUGGCGAGGGUUCCUCAUCUGUAAGUUCACUCUGCUUCCGCUUCUUUCCUUUUUUCUUUCUUUCGGCUACUUGAUUUAGUUGUGAAACGUGAAUAAGCCAGACGGAAUCUCGAAACCCUAGCCACAUCCCCUUCAUCCUUUUAUCCACCUCCAGGCCAUCCACUCCUCUUGCUGUUCUCUAUCCUGACACUCUCCGCCAUGGCUGUGCAGGAUGACACUACUCCAGAGAGCCGUGUCCUGACGCAGGAGGAAAUCUCGUCUGGCCAGGCUUCCUCAUCUGUAAGUUCACUCUGCUUCUGUUUCAUUCAUUUUUUCUUUCUUUCGGCUACCCGGAUUAGUUGUGAAACAUGGAUCAUUGUGGUGAACUUCAUCCUAAGUUGAUGAUAGUGCGUCCUGCCAUCAAUCUGACACCUUCUCUUUUGUCCAGGUGAAGAACCGGUGGGAGGCUACGGAAGCUCACCUCUUGAAGAUCGUGGAGAUAUCCACGAGGUUGUAUGAUCUUCUGGAUGAGAAGACGAAGGCGAAGCUCAAACUUGAGUACGACAAGCUCACGCUGGAGACAUACGUUAUGAUAAAAGAGGUCAAGGAACUUCGCGCCCAGCGACCCUGAUCGCUAUAUCUGAAGCAAUUAAGCAGUGGACUAAAAAGUUUCUUAUUUUGUCUUGCGUCACCUCGUAGUCAGUAACUUUGAUAAAAAACGUGUUUUGGUUUCCUGGGUCAAGUUUAUGGGUAUAGAUGUGAACAUUAAUGUAAUGGCCAAUUCGAGAGGUGCUGUUUUGAAAAGCAUGGGCGUGAAGUCUCUGCAGCCAAGGUUGUUUGUACCAACUAGAGUCAUGUCUUGUGCACACAUGAAGGUGUGGACAUUCCUGCCUUUCUUUGUUUAAGUGUUUCGGGUCACAGGCACGAGCAUGAAGCGCUCAAAGGCAUGGUCGGUGGUAUUACAUAGUCACGCUAGCCUGUGACUCUAUCAGACGGAGACGCACGGGCGUUUAGCCCAUAGAGGCACGCAAUGGCCUAUGUGAGGGAUGCUGUAUUUAAAAUCUUAUUUCCUUGUAUUUAAAAGCACGGACGUGAACUCCCUAUGGACACGGUUCCCUAUUGAGUUGUGUCACACAUCUUUCUUGAUGUUACGUAUAUUAUUUCGAUAUAAAAGGCGUGGACGUUCGUGGCUAUCUAUAUUUCAUUGUUUCACAAUGAAGCACGGGCACACUUUUAAACAAAGCACAAGCACGUCUCGAUUUGCAGAAAAAACACUGUCGUGGUUCUACAGGACGCUAUGUUCUAGGCUGUGUGCAGCAUGUUUCCACCCAAACGUUCACCACAGGGUAACAGACAUACACAGAGGAAGUGCCGUGCAGUGAUAACAAACGCACAGUCUUACAGAUACAAGAGGCACGAGGAGGCAUAUUAAUUAACAUCAUCAGAAAUGAAUCAGAUUAUACAUGCGCACGCAUAUAGAGAGAUGCAUAAAAAGUGGUAUUAACUAAUAAUAGAACUUAACAACAGGCAUACAACAUUAGACUCAAACUUAUAGUAGAACACACACAGUAACUAGAAGUCCUGAUCAUGACAGAUCGACUGGGUCACUGAAAACUCAAAAGUAGUAACAAGUCAAUGCUAGGUGGCUGCUUGAAGCAUCAAAUAGAGCCACGGCUUUGAUGGUACGAGAUGCACUGUUGUACUUGCAGACCAGGCACGGGCGUGCCCCUCCAUGAUUUAAUUAUUUACCGCACACAUUCACAAAGCGUGCCUGUCUUUGUGAAUCUGUUCGACGCAGGAAGCACGGUUGUACAGUCAUCUUCCCUCUGCAAGCGGCAAAAUUUUCCACGGGCACGUUGACAAUUAAGUCACUAGAAGAUUCAAGGCCCUGCCUCUGCUUUGCAGAUGAUUCUGCUAAAACGCGGACAAAACCAAGUAAGUGAAGUGAUGGCAGAAGCACGACUUUUCAAGAACGAGACACACUGUUCUACAUGCCACACAGGCACGACCGUGAUUCCACGUGCUUUAGUAGCAUGUAAAGACGUGAUUCUCUCACAGCAAACGCCAUGAACCUACUGCCAGGCCCUAUAUCCAUUUGUGAAACAGAAAAACAAACACAACCGUGACCCGUUCUGUUUGAAAUCUUUGCAUGACAGAAGCACAGCGUGAAGGCACAUGAGGCACGAUUGGACACGCAUCGCAAGCACGGUUAUUUAAAUUACUUACAGACAUGCAUUCAUAACAGAAGAACAUGUGUAAGAACAGGCGAGGCACCAUUACCACGAAAGCCAUAGUUAUGCAGCCCCAGAAGCACGACCCAGAUUCUGUGCUUAAAAAUGUUUUCGUUCCAUAACGGCGGGCGUGACCAUGCAACCAUGAGAGUCACGGUUGAACACUCACCGGUGGCAUGGCCGUGUCUUCCUGUGGCCUUAGGUUAUUUUUAUCUCUCUGUCACGCAGCAGAGAAGCAUGCUUGUAUGCUUACAACAUCCACGUUCAGAAACCGACGCGGCUGCGGAAAAUAACAAGGAAACCUAUGCCUUUGAUAUUUUUCUCCGCUGAGUAAAAAAUACAUAAAGAAGCAAAAGGCGUUCUUAUUUAAAUUUGUUUUGUUUCUGCAGCAAAUUAACUUACAAGCCGUUCUUAUACCCACAACACAAGAAAAUAAACAAUCGACACCCGCCUGCCCUCCCCACCAAUUGCUUGCUAUUUCAUCGCUCCACGUGCGGCCUUGUUUUUGAAUGUUCAGCGAUCCAUUCUUCCUUCUCGACCCUUGUGCAACCCCACCUUUCUGCGUAGCUAUUCAACCUAUUUACCUGUAAAAUUAAUAUUCAUACAUAAAAACAAAGCGAAAGAUUGCGGUCGCCACUAUUUUUUUGCUUACGUCCUGUUUAAGCUGCAUUAUUACCUUUUAAUUUUUCUAUUCGUACUGUUCUACGGUACCAAAAAGUUUCCACUCAGACCUUUCCUUUCUGAAAAUGGACUGUGCAGAUUCCGUGCCUUGUCCCGGGCUUCCCUGCACGCAUUCUGUGUGCCUGGCUUGUGUGAUGUUCGAUUCUGGCAUAGAUGCAAGACUUUGGUAAAUGCUCCCUGCUGUCAGUGGGGUCGUUGGAGUUGCUGGCGUAUGACGUCUUCCUCCUGGGCUUGGAGUGCAUUGUCCUGAGCCGUUUGAUGUCCUCGAUGGUGUUGUUGGUGUUGUCGGCCAUUUCAUUGACCUUGCCCUCUUCUCCUCCUGCGAUUUCCUCUUCUCCUCUUCAAUCCUCAUCCUCUCUUGGACUUCUGGGUUAUCCAGGCAGUUUGUUUUCCUAUGACCCUUUACUCUACAACAGCCGCACUUGGAUGCAGCUUUGUUGCCUUUUCCUUUCUUCUCAGAACCAGCUUUGAUUUGAUCUCCUUUUUUCGUGCCCUUUGAGCCACUCAUGGGAGGGUUCUUGAGAGUUUUGGCAAGAAUGCAUGUGUCUGGUUCCUCGGCAAGUGCCGCCAUGACUUUUAUUUUCAUAUCUACCAUACACUCACGAAGCACACUGUAUGCCUUCUCUUUUCUGCAAGCAUUUGAACGGAUAUCCGACAACUCAGCGUAAGCGAGGCCGGAUCUCAUAGUUUCAUCGUCUUGUGCGGUCAUGCUAUCACCUUGACUUGUAGACAGAACUUUCAGACUCUCUGAUAGAUUCCUGGUCCAUCUGGGGAUGACAAAGGAUUUUGGAAGUUGAUUGAUCAUGCCUGUUUGGUCCAUCACCUUAAGCACAUGGCAGCACUGAAUGCCAUCCCUACUCAUUUUCUUGCAGCUGCAACUGUAUAUUUCUUUUUGCUCAUCCACAUCUACCCUGAACUCAGACCUGUCAAAUUCCUCGCCCGGAUAUGGUUUCCACACUUUUUCUCCAGGCUCAGUAAUCUUUUAAAAAAAAUACUGCCUCCCCUUUGUCAGGUCAGAGCACUUGAAGUAAGUCCGGUUCCAUAGCUCCAUCUGGAAUUUCCUAAAAAUUUCAUUUGUGUAUACUUGACUUGCUUGUCUUUCAAUCGGAAAACCCGUCUCUAGUGAUGGUGCCUUCUCUUCUGUUCGGUGUCUUUUCUUGUCAAGAGUGGCGAGGCAAUUUUGCUGAAUCAUGUGAUACGCAUCAACAAACCUUUUUAUAGUGUCCUUGUGGUCGACGUAAUUCUUCCACAUUGAAUUCGUGCUCUCACUGCGAGUGGUUGUUGACGAGAAAGGAUAGAAGCAGUCCGUGAAGUAGGCCGGCACGCAAAAAAUUCGGAGUUCCCAUAGCAUGUUCAGGUGUUUGUUGCCUUCCACCUUGUGCAUAGAAAUGGCUUCUUUCCAGGCACGAUCAAACUCGUCUUGAUCUAGUGAGUUUUUGACGAUUCGAAAUAAAUCAUCAGACAUCCCUGGGUGUUGCGCAAACACUGCUGCAUUAUUUUCCUUCUGGUUCUUCCUAAUAUGCCACCAGCAGAACUUGUGCCUCGUUCUCGGAAGAGCUUCCUCUAUUGCAGUCUUCAUCGCCUGGUCCUGGUCUGUUAUUAUGUAUUUCGGCUCUUUACCUCCCAUUGCCUCGACAAACGUGCUUAGGAGCCACUUGAAUGACCCUAUUUUCUCAUCCUUCAAAAGACCUACUCCAAACAAGACGGUCGACCCAUGGUUGUCGACACCUAUAAUUGGUGCAAAUGGCAAGCCAUAUAUAUUCGUAGAGAAUGUCGUGUCAAAAGACACGAAAUCUCCAUAUAGAUCAUAAUUCAUCUUACACAAGGAGUCUGUCCAGAACAGGCUGCGCACUACAUUGUUCUCUGUCUCUUCCACAUGGUGGAAUCCCGGCCUCCGCCUCUGCAUAUCGGCAAACAGUUUCAUGGUGUCUGCGAUAUCAGUGCCGCGCUCUGCAGCCCUAUCCCGGCAUGCAAUGUUGCUUAUGUCAAUCGUGUCGAACAUAAUUUCUCGCCUCGGUUUCCCCAUGGCAGUAAAAAUCCGCAUAACCUUCCUUGGUUCUAACCUCGCCUUCUGCAGCACUUGUAUAAAGAAUUUCUCCUGAGGUGUAAUCUUCUUAUAGCAUCUCAUGAACUUCAGCAUCCAAUCAGAUGGGUGAAGCUGGUGGUUGUGCUCUAGACGCACGUUCUUCAGAUACCAUUUCCUCCUAUCUGUAUCCCUCUUACCUGUUAUUUGGAAUGGGCAGCUUGUCCGGAUCAAGCAGUUGCUCCUUCUCUCCUUAACAUGUCUCUCAGUUGUUUUAUUCUGCCCUUCCUUGGUGCACUGAAACACCUGCUUGUCAAGCUGCUGAUCAUAUGUCGAUCUUCUGCUCGUUGAUCGCUUGGCAGCAAAGCCAGCCUUUCUAGCAUAUCUGUAGAAAAAGAAAAUGCCCUCAUCCAAAGAUCCGAAUACCAUACCACCUUCUAGUUCGACCGCUUCGGUGACCUCCUGAAUCGUUGGGUAUAUGCCUUCUUUAAACAUGUCGUCCAUUUCUUUCUCUACAAUGGUCGGCGGCGCCAUUAUGAUUCUGUCUACCGUGUCUUCAUUCGUCUGAUCGCAUUCACUUCUGACGACAUCAGUUUCAUCGCCAACCACAGGUCCACUUACAGCAGAGCUGCUGCUGCUCUGUUGUUUCACACGCAGCAGCGUCGUUUCUGCAUGGCACGGUCAAAUCCAUAAAUGAGUCUGCCUCUCCACUGUUGCAUUGUGCAAUGCUGCUACCUGUUUCUCCGGCACUCGUGCAACCAAGGGAUUGUGCUGCUUCUACCAUGCAAUCCGUGCUAGCGCUGUACGAUACUUGCUGCUGUGAACGUUGCGUUUCCUUCGAAAUGGAUGGAGAACUAUGAUAUUUCUUUGCCUCAUCUGUUAUCCCCUCCGCCAAAUCCUGAACACAUGGCACGAAACAGAAUUAGAUGUCCAGAGCAGCAUAUGCAUUUUUUUAAUUUCUAAACAAAAGAUUUAUAUGACUCAUCAGGGCUCAUCUGGUAUACCAAAACCAGACCCGUGCCUCUUCACCGAGUAUAAGCGGUACACCAGAUGCACUGUUCACAUUACACCCAGCAGCACGAAUGUGACCAUGCUACACACACAUCUGCACAAAGAGGCACAUAUGUGCUUCUGUUUACACCAUAACCGGAGAGGCACAACAACAUCGUAUACAAAAGAACAACUGCAGAUACAGCCAUCCUCCUGUUUUGCACUUUACCCUGUUCUUCCAUAAAACUGUUUGUGUGUUGAAUUGAAAAAGCAUAGUUCCGACGUCACCUUUUUUUUCUCAUGCCUCUCUUGUCCAGCAAAACUUGGCGACAACCUCCGUGCAUUGGUGAUUUCGCUGACGAUUCUGAAUGCCAUCGGAGAUCCUUUGGAAGGACCCCUCGUGUUGAACGCCACAGGUGAUCCUUUCAAAGGACCUUGCCUUAUGUUUUCAUCGAUCCGUGGACUACCACGAUACUUGCUUCCUUGUUCGUACACCUGCGUGUGGAAGAUACUACAAUUUAAAUAUAGCAGACGAAAACAAAGAAAAAAUUGCUCACAAAAAAAUAUACAUUUGCUUUAAAUGUUGUUGGACGUUCGUAUAUGCUGUCACCUGUAUUGCUGUAUGGUAGAGUUUAUUGGUCCUAUGUUGGAUUUUGUCGUUGGGCUCUUCUUGCUUGUGCAAACCGUACCGAAUCCUUGAACACCAAUGCUUUUGUUGCCAAUGAUCCUUCUGCUUGCAUCAAAGGAAAUUCUGUUACCCUGUACCUCUUCAUUAUGACCGCCUACAAACGCUGGGCCGUCACAACACCCACUCUGCGCCUUUGUGGGCAUCUGUGUCUUCAAACCAAAAAAUAAUUAGAGGCAUGUGCGAGUAAAACUUCCACGUACGUUAAAACCAGCGUUUCAAGUUUUCGCCGUUACCUGCACAAUCUGCUUAGUUGAGUCUCUGCUGCUUAGAAUGCUCCUCUUCGCAGGUGUCUGUUGCACACCAUGCUCCUGGUUGGGACGUUUGCCAAGAACAUGUAUCUCACUCUUGACUCCAAUUAUUCCAGCCCGCAUGGCAUGUGCGUGUUUGGCAGCAUCUGCAUCCUUGAUCUUCUUCUCGUUUUCUAGUAAUUUUUUUCUUCCACCUUUCUAUACUCAACUGCAGAGUAGAUGCACAGGAUAAAUAGAUAUUACAUCAUUCAUCCAGGAUAUAUAAAUCAUUUUUGUUGUUGUUGACAGCAAACGUCCCAGAAAUAAAAGACCAAACACUAAUGUUCAACUGCCUUACUAUUACCUGCCUCCCAUAAUCCUUGCUGAUGUCGUUCAAAGACCGACCGUCCCUGUUGUCCUGACUAGAUGACGCACUCCUGAACAUCUGCCCGAAAAAGAGACGAAAUAAAUAUAAAGGUUAUAAACCUGCAGUAUCAGUGUUGAAACGUUUCGAAGUCGAUCUCAAUCUUUCUUACUAACCUUUUACACUUACAACGCAACAGAGAUAUAUUUUUAGUUCUAUAUAAGUGACAUAUAUAAAUAUACACAUAUAUUAAUUUUUAAUUAAACUACAACCUCAACCAAAGUGAGAUCCUCUGAUGCUAAUUUGCUUGUGCAACACUUAACACAAAGAUAACCAUGAAACCUAACAAAAGUCACUUGACCGUCGACGACACUGACAAGUGGGUUCUCAGUUACUAAUUCCUCUAAGUCUCUCACUAACUUGUGGGGUCGGCCUUAUAUGAGUCCUACGAGGAGUACCUCCAUCUGGGGUGAGAAAAUGUGGUAGGUGGACUUCAAACUCAUACUGACAUGCGGGCUCUCAAAUAGUUCCUCCAAGUAUUUGACUAACUUGUGGGGCCGUCCACAGAUGAGUUCCAGAUCUCUCUCCAUCUAGCAUCGGUGGCGACAGGCGAGGCAUAUUCUGGCUCUCCAAAGGAAAGCCAAUCCUGAUCCCUCCGCAGAGUUCGCUCGUCACCGAAAAAUUAUCGGUCUCCUUCAUCUCACUCGCCAUGGAUCUCCUGUUCAGGUAAUCCAUUGCAUCCUCACCAUGAUUAUGCCACCGAUUCAACGUUUGAACAAAAUAAAUUACUGGUGCUAGCAAUUCCGCGGGCUGCGUACACACCGCAUGUGCGCAACACAGCAGGUGGGGCGCGACUUGAAUAUCGGUUCCGGAUCCAAUUAUCUUCAGCUGGUCCGUGCUCAAACUGUUGCGCCGUCUUAACAGCAGAAGGGUUAUGGAUUUAAAAUUAGGACUCAGCUGACCUCACUUUAAUCAUGCCAACUGCAUGCUUGCGCCGUGGUUUUGCUAAGUUGAGUUAUAUCUCUAGCCAUGCAAAACUUAAGCACUCUCGUGACCACAGAUUAUAUUAGUUGUAGAGCUCAAUGAAACUGCAGUCAAAAUUCACUAUCCUGAUCCCUAACAUGAGGACACAGGUAAAAUUAUUUUUAUAGAUCCGAAUCUAUAGCUGAGAUCCAAAGGACUUACGUCCGUUUUUGCACAGCAGUUACUAACUCAGAGUUAGAAUCCGUCUUAGCUAACCACCCUAUUGAUGAUGGUCUCACAUGGACUGCUAACAACUGUCUUACAUAGCUGACCUAGUAAUGAUGACGUCUCAUGACCUCUUAUGUAGAGUUCGAUGAGAUGGACUCCACCCCACAGCUGUCGGAGACUCAGUCUCAGUCUGUCGAUGACAUGGAGAUUGUCACCCAAGAUUUCAUGGUUCAUGACCAACUAGAGACAGAGAGACUAAGGAUCGAGUUAAAACGUGCAGCACACAAAAAGCUUGUUGAGGAGUACAAGACAAAGAAGCAGCUUGCUGCCUCGAAGUAGGUGUUUUUUAUCAUGCAUGUCGCAUGUGUCGUUGAAAUUUCUUUGGAAAUCAAUGCCUCUCAUUCUAGCUGCAUUUUUAAUCACGGCUUAAAUAUUUGUCUCUGUUUUGCUGACUCGGCGUUUAUAUGUAAGCUUCUGCCAGAAAAGCAUGUGGUUCAACAAUACAUUUGCUAAAGGUCAUUUCUUAUCUUUGUCCACAGAGCUGUUGCAAUGGGUGAAUACGAAGAAGAGUUCAGCACAAAACUUAGCUUCCAGAAAUUCAUUACUGUCUGUGAAAAGCUAACAGAACCACAACAGUAGCUUGUGAGAGAUAUUGGUUUUGGAUACCUUCUAGAUCUGUGCUGUCGCGAGCUUCCAAGGUGUUUCGUUCACUGGCUUGUUCGCUAUUUUGAUUGCCCUUCCAGGUGUUUCAUACUGCCUAGUGGAUACAGAUUCCUUAUCAACUCAUACACCGUGCACCGGAUCUUAGGAAUUCCACUGGGCGGGCAGAUUAUCCCUAGAAAAUGCUCAGAAGCUUUCAAAUGUCAGGUUAAGUCUGAAACUCGGUGUGCUGGGCACGCUCCAAACAUCAGAGAGUUAACUGAUCUCAUAACCCCAGAGCUGACAGGAGAAGUGUUUCAACGGGUUUUCGUUAUGUUUGGAACAGCAGUAUUUCUAUGCCCAACGACAUAUGAUUGCGUUAGCCCCGACUACUUAGCCGCUCUAGAAGGACCAGCAAGUAACAUAUCAUCAUAUGAUUGGUCCAAUGCUGUCACAGAGAAACUGGUGACAUCGCUCCAGACCUUCAAGGACAAAGGAUUCGCACGCGCCCUAUGUGGCUGCCUCCUGAUUCCAGUGGUUCGUUCACUAACUUGUACACUUCUUUAUACCCACAAGCAGCUACAAGAACAAGAUCAAUUUUUACCUCUUCCCCACUUGCAGAUAACGUAUUUUGAGUACCUGGAUACGAAGAUUAUGGACCGGGAACCUGACACUCAUGCAAGACUUGUCAUGUGGGACACAGAGGCCAUUAAGAAUUGUUCUAACAUAGACAGCCUGUCAACAGAGGACAAAUUUUUUGGGAAACACACGGUGAGUCAACUUUUCAUCAUUUUCCUUUGGCGAAGUUUUCGACUCAACAUAAUGACUUCGCUGCCAUGUAUUAAUUUGACUUGACUGUAAUUGUUUCCUUCCACAUGGCAGCUGACAGACAUUAGGCGCAUGCCUUUCCAACCACCGCCUGGCUUUUAGGCGCCAUUUUUCCAAAUGAGUCCCAGACUAGAAGCCUACAUAGAAGAAUUUGUGCCUCAAGAAAAACUUUGUUCCGUAAGUGAUUUCCAGCUUCUGCACCUGAUUUUAUGUUUGAAAUGAUGUUCCCUAAGUUCUUACGAAACAGAUACAUGUCCUAGUGUGUUCAUCCAGACAGUUUCGUAUAGUACUUUAGCUGUGCUUUUGUGUUAAAAUUAGAAGUGCUUCAUAUAGGACGUUAGCUGUCCUUUCAUGGUCAUCCAGACAGUCUCCUAUAGUACCUUAGCUGUGCUUUUGUGUUAAAACCAGAAGUGCUUCCUAUAGGACGUUAGCUGUGCUUUUGUGUUAAAACCAUAAGUGCUUCCUAUAGUACGUUAGCUGUGCUUUUGUGUUAAAACUAGAAGUGCUUCCUAUAGGACGUUAUCUGUGCUUUUGUGUUAAAACUAGAAGUGCUUCCUACAAGACGUUAGCUGUGCCUUUGUGUUAAAUAUAGAAGUGCUUCGAAUAGGACGUUAGCUAUGCUUUUGUGUUAAACAUAGAAGUGCUUCGUAUAGUACGUUAGAUGUGCUUUUGUGUUAAAUAUAAAAGUGCUUCCUAUAGUACGUUAACUGUGCCUUUGUGUUAAAUAUACAAGUGCCUCCUAUAGUAUGUUAGAUGUGCUUUUGUGUUAAAACUAGAAGUGCUUCAUAUAAUACGUUAGCUGUGCCUUUGCGUUAAAACUAACAGUGCUUCCUAUAGCACGUUAGGUGUGCCUUUGCGUUAAAUAUAGAAGUGCUUCCUAUAGUACGUUAGCUGUGCUUUUGUGUUAAAUAUAGCACUGCUUCCCUGCGGUGGUAGAUCAACCAUGCUUCGUAAGGUACGUCGGGUGUGCUCUUUCAAGGAAUGUGUUCACCACGAUUCAUGGACUUUGUUACCCGCGCUUCCCGCAGCACAUCAUGUGUCCUUCUGCGCACAUUAUUCCAUGCCCUUUCUGCAAUUAUUGACAGAACAUACAGUAGUUCACAAGAUAUUUUUCAUUUUCGGUAUUAAUAACUUCUUUUCAUUCUUGGUAUUAAUAAUUUCUGAUGGUUUUUGUUUCAAUUCCAGGCCAAGGCGAAAAUUGCCAAAGUUAUCAAUGAAAUGUACACAGAACUUUUCUCGCGGUUUCAACCACUUCUCGAGCAGAAAUUGGAGAAGCUCCUUUCACUUGGUAGGGAUCUUAGUGCAAAAGAAACCAAGACCAGAGACCGGGGCAUUUAUUGUAACUUGCAACAGGACAACUCAAAUGAAAAAGAAACUUUUUCAUCACUCCCUUCAACAUAUUCUACGCUUCCAAGUUCUAGCACAACAAGCAGUCAAAGUUCUUCCAGCAGUGGCUCGACCAGUGUCCUUCACGCCACAUCAUACUCCCUGGAAAAUUUAAAGGGUUGAUGCGAUACCCCUGACCCAGAAUCCCAGAAUCCGUACGACAAAGAACAGUCCCAAAUUCAUCUAUCUUCACGCCUAAAAUCAUCAACCCAGAUUAAGUUGCUACUGGAGGUGAACAUGAUCGACCACAACAAAGAGGACAUUGAUGAACAAGCCAAGAUUCAUUUGGACAAAGUGCAUAACCAUCUGCACAACUGCCUUGAUGGCUUGCCGGUUCAUGAGCCCUUUGUGUCAGCAACUGAGAUGCUAGAGAGCGGGGCAAUUAUAAUGACAGGUGAAAAUUCGUCUGAGUGUUCUGUAUCGAUUGAAACCCAAAAUUCUGCUGGAGGGUCUGCAGACCACAACUCUCUGACAAGCCCACUGGAAAAACUCUUGGAGGAAACAACAAAACCUACUGCAACAGAAACAUCAGCCUCGCACUCUGCGGUUGACAAACAAUUACUGACUGAUCCAAUCUCAACAGAUACACUUGGAGCACCUGUUUAUCACAUUGGGAAAACGUCAGCAGCUACUGCAUGGUCCAACGGUUCUGACAGCGCUCACAACAACUCUUCAACCAACACAAAGAGCCUCACUGUAUCCCAACCUGCACAAAAAUCAAACAAUGUCACUGGACAACGUUCUUCUUCGCUGCCGGAAGAUAAGGUCCAUCUUGUUUCAACUUUGAGUGACGAGAAGAACAUUGCUGAAACAGAACGCACAAGAGCUACUUCCUCCUUUGCUCCUACAGUAGAAGUCCCCAGUGAUUCUGCCAGCGGUUCUGGCUCAGUACUGGACACGGGAAAAGCAAUUCCAUCCACUAGUGAUGAUCCACUGGUUGCUGCAGCAUCUGUCAAUGCAGAAGAUAAUAACAUUGCAGAAGAACAUGAACAAUGUACGAAGCAACCACCUAUUGAUCCCACAGACAGCGUCCCUAUUACCACAAGCGCACAUCCGCCAGAACUGGAACCACAAAUGGCAGCUCACAAGCGGUCCUUACAGCAGUCAGAAGAUCCUGGUAACAAGAGUACAGCGCCUCCUAAGAAAAGAGUUAGGAUACUGGAGACUCAGCAUAAUUCAACAGAAACUGCAAACAACCAUUCUCUACAUGCUGACAACCGUAGAGGCCUCCUUGAUUGUGGAUUCAUUGAUGAUGAUCAAGUAUGGUCUGGCCCAUCUAUCUAUGAACAACUUGACAGAGUCAUUGAACAAAAAAAGAAACAACCCUUUCAUAACCAAGUAGCAUCACAACAAUGCCAACCUGAUACUGUCUCACACUUGGCCAAUAAUUCAAGCUCGUCAGCUAGAUCUUCCCUUUCUAACUAUCCAGAGCCACCUAUACCCAGCAGAUCAGGAUCAAUGUCAGGCGGUAGCCACCUCACACAGGCCUUUGAUACGUCAUACUCUACAGGUUUAACUCAAACUGUCUUGUCCCAAAGUUUACCAGCAACUGCUUUGUCCCAACACUACAACCAACAAGCUCCUAGUAUCAAAAACCACUUCUACCGACAUCCUGGUGCUCAGAAUAACGGCGGUUCAAACAACAGCCAGCGCUCACCAUAUGCGAUGAACAACCAAAGUCACAAGCAGUACCAGCAACAAACCACUGUCCGUGAUGCCCACUACCCCCAACACAAUGAUGCUCAGAAUAACAACACUACACGGUGCCAACAACGCCAGCCUCAAGAGCAGAACAAUGAGCAACCACACAGAGGCGAGUCUAAUGGGCAAAGUUACAGUGCCUUGCACCAACAGUUCAACAACAUGCAGUAUUCCGGCCAUCCUCUCCAGCAUUUUCCAACAGAUAUUCCUUCAAGCUCAACCGAUGAUCCAACUGUCAGAACAUUAGAACUGCGCAUGCAGCACCAACCACAAUGCCUGUUCCAAAGAAACAACAAUUAUAAUGAGGGUCGUCUGCAACUUAGUAAUGGUCAAUUGAACUCCGCAGGUCAUGUCUUCCAGCCUCAUCAACAUCAUUCUGAGCUAGAACAAACUCGAUUCACUGACCAAGGGAAUGACCAUCAAGAUCACUGCCAACUUUUAUAAAUAAGAGACUCUACAAUGGAGGAGAAAGAAGUGUAUGAAACAAUCGUCGACAAUACGCCAGGUGUCAAGCAAAAUGAUAGGUAAUGAAUUCGUUGUUCCUGUUACAGUAAAGUUUUGGUCCCUUCGUUUACUAAUGCAAUAUAUUCUGCCUGAAGCUAUCAUAUUCAAAUGUUUCGGCUCGAUUCUUGUACUAUUGUAAUUGAAUACUAAUCAUUUCCUCUUAUGUUAAAAAAGAAAAUCUUAUGAUUUAAAAUUCAUUUGUUUUUUUUUUGACAGCAAGAGGAUAUUCUUCGUCGAUCGACGUUGGGCCGAUCAUCAAACUUUAGGUUUGUCAAUGAAGGUAUACAAAUAUAUCAACUAAUUCGUGGUCGAUGCUUACUCAGCGUUGCUUAUGAAAGAACAAUUCUACGCAACGCCAACAUUUGUGCACAAGCAUAUAAUGUACAUUGACGCUUCUGUAAGUUCUUGCUUCUCAUAAAUAAUAAUAACAAACCACAUUUACUACUACUACCACACUGAGUGACACAGCUUCAAUUUUCUGCAGGAUAAAUUUAAAGUUCUAGGAGCAAGCACAGAACUACUCAAGGAACACAUUGUGGAAAAAACUAUUGGGUACAGGCUGCCCAACAAAUGUAACAUUGUGAGUUCACCCUACUCACUCUAUCUGCUCAGUGUUCGUCUUUGAUUGUACAAGUUUUUCUUGUUACAAUGAUAUUAUUCCAUGUUAAUUGUUUUAGAUCUUAAUACCUGUGAGAAAGGAUCCACAUUUUAUCUACCUCAUCAUCGCGAAUCUUGCAAUGCGUCGCUUCGAAAUUCUGUGUCCUUAUAUCAAUUGCGACGGUAUAAAGGAACACUCAGACAUUGUCAUCGAAAACUUCAAGAGAGCUUACCAUUCUGCUUACAACAACUAUCCUCACACCAUGGCCUCCUUUCAUGUCAAACCUGUGCAGAGUGUAUGUAACUCAGACAGAGAGUAAGUUUCUUUUAACUGUAGCUCUGCCUCAUUUAAACCAUGCAUCUUUUUGUUCCACUACACAUCCCAUAUCUACUGUUCACCUUCUAUUCACAGACAUUAAUGCUCUCAAUUUUCAGGGAUGACAGUGCUAUUUACACCAUGCAUUUGAUGCCGCUCAUUAAUUUGAAUAAUAAUUCAUUUUUUAUCAAUAAUGUAAGUUCACUCUCAUUGACAACACAUCAACAUACGUUCAUCCAAGCCAGCUGAACAUUAAGUUUUACAAUAAAUUUUAUUAGUUUGCACAGUUAUGUGUUUGCAGAUCCAUGUGAAACCGAUGAGAGAACAACUAACUUUCAAAAUGAUAACAUCCAACUACAACACAUGCCAUGUAUUUGAGGCACUGAGCAUCGUCCUCGACAAACACAAUAUCCGGCGCGAAAGAAGAAGAGUUGGAAGAAGAUGACUACUGCUUAACUGUGCCUUAAUUUAGCUGGAGCCAUCCGAACAUUGUUUCAGCCAUAUCGACUCAUAUGUAAUCACAACAAUGUUUCAGCUAUUUUUGUGUCCGUCCAAGAUAUCUGCUAUGGAUCCCGUUAAACACAGCUGUGUGUUCAAAAUGGUCAAGUCUUAAAUUCCUGAACAGCAAACACUUACAAAUAAGAAUCGUAUUUUUUCAAAAAGUUCUAAACAUGAUAUUCAAGACAUCACUUCCUUGCACUAGAACACCACUCACUUCGAGUAGACAUAAUAAAAGAAACAAUUGGAACACAGAGGAAAAACACUAUCGAUUCGUAAGCAUCUGACGAAGGAGCUAAAUGACUCACCUCCAGUAAUCCGGGUCACAGAGGCACUGUCGUGCCUCUUAUCCACGUAGAACGUGCCUCUCUUACCACGGACAACUAAGCUGACACACACAAGUGCGCCACCAGUUAACACAGGACCGUCCCUUCUCGAUAGCUGGUCCCUCUCCAAGCCAAAUGAGUCAUGGAAGCAUGACCGUGGCUCAAGUUAAUGAAGGAAGAACCACCUGUGUGAUAGACAACUAAACUGAAAAAAUACCAAAACAGAAGAAUGACCGUGACUUCAACUAUAAAAGGUCCGUGACCUCACAAGUUUCAACGACGAGUCUCUCUCAGCAAAUAAGUGAAAGCAAACGUUUCGAAAGAAAGGCACGCCCGUGCCUUUGAAUAACAUCAUAGACGUGCCUCUCCGAGCGAACGUGUAAGAGAAAGCAUUUGCGAACAACAGACAGAACUCUGACUCAACAUAACAUAGGACAUGCCUCCACUAACUAGACAGACGUGACUUCACUAGCAGACUAACUAGAAAUAUUACAGAACAUACAACCAUGACAGUAACUCAUACUAACAUAACGCAGUCCCUCUCCGAAUUUAAUACCCAAAGGAAGGAUAACGCCUCUACCAAACAUACGACAAUGCAUCCAAUGCCUUCACGGCCAUGCCUUUCAAAAUCAAAGUACCACCACAUUAAUUGAAACAUAGAAACGCAACCGUCGCUAACACAAUACUCCCACAGCAAGUAUCACACUGGAUUACCGACCCUAAAACAGACAACAUAUAUUGAAACAGACAACACAGUGAGAAAAUCUGAAGAAUCUUAAACACACUCAAGCUCUGCAUAAAAACAUUUCAAACACACAACCACAAUCGUAUAUUCAAUAUAAAAACAACCGUGCCAAACAUAGUACAAACACAAAGCGAAAAAUCAUAGAGGAAAAUAUUCUUGAAGGCACCCAAUCAAGAAAACCACAAUGGAACGAAAAUAAACUUAAAUUUCCAAACUAGUCAACUCCAUCCGGUUCAAAAUAAAACCACCACAAUUACAAAUUCAUCAGUCCAUGUAAUAUUACCCCAUAAAAUAACUAUCAAAUAACUAAUUCAUCACACAAUCCAUCUUGCCAGCACUUCCACCUGGACUACUCCUCAGAAACUUCCUCGCCAUCUGAGAUCAGGAAGACAACGACGAUGCAGGAUGUCCCUCAUCGACAGAGACCGGCGGUAUAGCUCAUAGCUCACAUACCCUUCCUAAAGGAAAAGCAAAUGAAAACAUGAAUAUACAAAAAAAUAAGUACUGUUCUACCAACAAAGGCAGAAACUAACGAAAAUGAAAUCUUCACUUACAGUAGCUCCAUAUUUCAGGUGAUCAAAUUAAAGUAAGUGGCUUCCAAUCCCAGUAGUGACGAAGAAGUUCUGGAAAAGAUGACUCCAGCUUCGAAUAAGAUUCGUCAAUGAUGGCUCCUGCUAAGUCCUCCACGAGUCCCUUUCUUCGCCGCCUUUGAGCAUAAACUUCUCUUGGAUGUCGAUGUGGUACCCUUCUGGAAUUCUGAUGAAAUCUUGAAAAAGAGCAUCUCUAAUAUUCCUGACGCCCAUACUAGAGAAAGUUAUACCUCUAUUCUCAAGGAAAUCCUUCAGGGCAGGACACUCCGUCCUGGCCCUUCAGAAGUGAUAGACCAAAACAAGAUUCCGCAUAGCCAGUUGCAUGACGGCGACUUUUCUACGCCCGUAACAAUCCUUUCGCGUGAACUCGAUGCCAAGACCAAUAAACUUGUGCUUCUCCUCGCACAACUAGUUCUCGUACAAGGCAAUGAUCUCCUCCACCUUGCCAGGCUCGUUGGUGUACCACACGUCGAGCUUCGUGUUACCAUCGGCAACUAUAGGAUGGUACUCGGUGGUGUUCAAAAAGUCAUCCAUGGCAGCGAGUAGCAAGGUGCCAAUGGAGAUUCCGGAGACCCAUGCGACAAGGUUUGGGAGUGGUGAGGAGGGUGGGAACUGACUGAUGUUCUAUGGCUACAAUACGACGUGAAGACCUCACAAACACGGCCAGUAUUUAACCUUGGCGAGGGACAUUUGAGUUACAAUGCGCAUUAACGUGUGAACUAGGAACAGCGAAUAGACGGUUGUGCUUCCGAAGCUCAUGAAACCAUGCACUUCGUAAAGUCACGGCUGUGCACAAAUAUUUGAUGCCGUGGAGAAAUCGAGGAGCCUCUAACUUUAUUUUACGGUAACUGACACACGGAAUAGUCACAUCAAACAGCCGGCACAUCGGUCAUCAAUUCCUCCUUUGAACAAAGACCACCGACGAAAGAAUCCAAUGAAGCAAACGAACAGCCAGCCGUACACCUUAGAUCCGAAGGCCAAAACUCAUCUGUGCCUCAUCUAGUUAGAUUCACAACAUCUGUCCCUCUAUAGUCAAGGCUGGUUUCACGUGAGGCCCGGGUAUGCAGGCACAAGACGCACAUACAUGUCUAUCCCACAGGCACGGGUAUGCAUGCACACGACGCACAUACGUGCCUAUUCCACAGGCACGGGUAUCACCACAGGCACAUAGAGAUACAGGCAGCAACUCGCCGGAAACACGUGAAUGCAGGCAACGAAGGCACGAAAACGUAGCCUCUACAGGCACGUGCUUCGGCUUGGCAAGGCACGAAUACGGCCUUGCAAUUGACGUUCUCGAGCCAUGGCUACACACCCUCUGCGUACAGACACAGAAUUGCAGCUUCUCCGACGCACAAGCACGGUUUUCGAAUUGGCAUUCUCGAGGCACAGGUACAAAUCCUCUGGAUGCAAAAAAGAGAGGUGGCAGAGGCAUCGGUAAGAACACUCUGUUCGAGAGGCGCAGUUGCAAACUCUCAAGAGGGACAGCCAUGUGACACCGUAGACACAUAGAGUCGUGACGUGUAUCACGUCAGAUACAUCAAAUACAAGCAGCGAAUCAACGGGAGAAGUGAAAGAGCCACAGUUUUAAAGUGUCCAGAGGCACGGGCGUGUAGAAGCACAGGCACGACAAGUCACAACCACCGCAUCCCCUCACGGACGGGCGUCUGGCACCACAGGCACCUAGAGUCACAGCCAGCGUGUCUCCUGAGACAAGCGAAUGCAGGUACAGGACGCACAGAACUGAAGCGUAUACAGGCACGGAAUUGCGGCUUUUGGCGCACAUGUACGGCUUUGAAAUUGGCAUUCUCGAGGCACGGGUACAAACCACCUGGACGCAUAAAAGAGUGGUGGCAGAGGCACGGUUGAGUAGUCUGAAGAGAAACUGCCGUGUGACACCACCACAUAGAGACAUCGCGUGUGUCACGUGAGGUACAUGAAUAGCGGAAAAGAAGCCAUGACAGUGAAGCCUCCACAGACACGGAUGCCGAGCUUCUAGAGGCACGGUCCCGAAGAACACAAAGACAGGAAACUGAAAGUGUUGCCUCGUACGUUACCAGACGUGCCUCUCUUGUGCGAAUGUGUAAAACACAACAGUACAAACACAAACAAACGGCAGUGAAUAUAAGCCAAACAAAAAACACGCUUCUCCCAAACAAUACAUAUGCGUCCCCUCACAGACGGGCGUCUGGCACCAGAGGCACGUAGAGUCACAGCCAGCAUGACGCCUGAGACAAGCAAAUGCACGUACAGGAGACACGGAAUUAAAGCGUAUAUAGGCACGGAAAUGCGGCUUCUCGUAGUUCUCGAGGCACGGGUACAAACCACCUGGAUGCACAAAAUAGUGGUGGCAAAGGCACGGUUGUGUAGUGUCAAGAGGAACUGCCGUGUGAAACCAGCACGUACAAACAUGGUGUGUGUCACGUGAGGUACAUGCAUAGACAGAAAGAAGCCACGGAAGUGAAGCCUGAACAGACACGGAUGUCCGGAUUCUCAAGGCACGGUCCUAAAGCACACAAAGACAGGAAACUAAAAUGUUGCCUCGUACGUUAGCAGACGUGCCUCUCUUGCGCGAACGUGUAAAAGACAACAAUACAAACACAAACAAGCGGCACUGAAUAUAAGCCAAAACAAAGCGCGCUUCUCCCAAGCGAUACAUAUGCGCCACUUCAACAGGUUAUCUAAAAGUACAUGAACUCGCGCAAACGUCAACAAUGAACUUGUAUCAUGAAAAAACAUAAGAAAUUAUAUUCACAUAACAUGAGACGGUACUCCAUAGGUUUGAACUAAAAGUACUCAUUAAUUAUACAAAAAAAAAUGAAAGUCUUCCAGGAGUCCAUUCUGCUCAGACCACCAUGACCAUUCUACUCAGUUGGAGUUCUGCUCAGAAGCAUCAACGACGUGUGCGGUCGGGAAGACAACGAGGAUGCAUCAUGUCCCUCAUAGACAGAACUCGGCGGUGGAGCUCGUAGCUGACAUACCCAUCCGAAAACAAAAAGCGGAUGAGAAUGAAGAUAUACGUAAAGGGGAAAAAGUACUAUUGUUGCAAUAAAACAAAAAUAUAAAGACAGAAAAUCAUAAAAAACGAAUUUUUCACUUACAAUUGCCGCAUAUUUCAGGUGUUCAAGGGAAAGCGGCUUCCAUUUCCAGUAGUCAUGCAGACCUUGUGGAAAAGACAACUUCAUACUCAAGUAAGAUUUGUUUAUGACGGCUCCUGCCAAAUCUGCCAUGGAAUCCCUUAGAUUGCCUCCUUUGAUCAUGAGCUCCUCUUGAAGGUCGAUGUGACACUCUCUUGGGAUUUUGAGGUAACUGUUUGCAAGAAGAUCCCUAUCGUUCCUGACGUCGACACUAGCGAAAAUUAUACCUUUGUUCUGAAGGAAAUCCUUCAGAGCAGCGCACUCCGUCCUGGCCUUGCACAAGUGAUAGACAAGAACAUGCUUGCGCAUCGCCAGUUGCAUAACGGCGACUUUUCUACUACGAUCAAAAUAAUCCUCUCGUGUGUACUCCAGAUCAAGACCAACAAACUUGUACCUGUCCUCACACAGCCAUUCCUCAUAGAGAGUAAGAAUCUCCUCCACCUUAUAGGGCUCGUUGGUGUAUAACACCUCGAGCUUGGUAUUACCAUCGGCAUCUAUAAAGAGACGCUCAGUAGUGUUCCUGAAGUCGUCCAUGGAAGCGAGGGUGAGACGACAAUGGAGUUUGGCUGUGCUUCUCGUACGAGGCGAGGAUGACGGGAGCUAACUGCACUUCUCUGCAGAGAAUAAGAAGCGAUAAACUCCCGCAAUAGACCACUACUUAACCUUGGGGAGAGACGACUCGGUUACCAUGUGCCCAUUAAAUUGCAUCGGGAAUGGUGUGAAUGGACGCUUUUGCUUCUGCAGCUUAUGAAACCAUGCACUUCAAAAGUCACGGCUGCCACGUUGUAAUCGAGGAGCCUCUAGAUUAACUCUAGAACGGUAUCUGGCACAAUGAAUACUAACAAUAAAUAGUCAUCCCAUCGGUCACCAGCACAUCUUUUGACCGAGAGAACAAUGAGAGGAAGCAAACAAGAUGACCCCGUCGUACAAAUACUACACGGGGACUGAACAAAAAUAGAAGCACGGUUCGGCCAGCACAAAAGCCACACGCGUGCCUCCACUUUGCUUAAAGACAAACCUCGGUAAGUCAACGGACCUGCAUCUCUAUGUCUGCAUACCACCGAAAACAUUGCCAAAACAAAAGCACGUCCAUGCUUCUCACAUAGAAAUAACUGUGCGCUAUCAUACAUAUUCCCGCCUGAACCCAACGUACAUAAAAACAGUGGCUCCCUGGUUCAACGACUGCUUGAAAAAAAUUGCAAUAACAGAGUCACGAACCGUGACUCCAUUCCAGAUACAAAAGUGCCUCUCAUUAGGAACCAUCAUGCCUCUCCUCAAUUUUCCUCCCCCGACGUAUCGACCAUGCCUCUCCUGCUACAAUGACCGUGCAUCUAAUAACAUCAUCACCGUUCCUCUCCUAAAGACACACCCAACCAUAUCUGAUUAAACAUGUGAUUAAAAAAUUAAAACACAGAAGCACGAGUAUGCUUUUCAGUAUGUAUAACCGUGCCUCACAAAAAGUAUGUGAGGCAGGAUAGGCACGUAAAAGACUCCACUGGGAGGCAGCACAGCUGGACAACUAUAAUGGGAGGCAGUUGGACGAGUCAAACAUCUCAUGUCGCCACAACACCUCGGAAUGCACGCACACCAUUCGCAGAAUAAAAAAUAAAACAAGAAGCACUCAUUAUUACUCUUGCUCUCUUCCGUCUCCUUUAUAUUUCAAUAAGCUCCGACUCCCUCAGCCACAUCACAACUCAUUUGCCUUCUCCAUCACCUGCUUCUAGGGUUCGUGCUUCUUCUCCAUCGCCCGCUUCUAGGGUUCGUGCUUCUAACCCGCACACAAUCGAUUAAUUUCUAAGCCAUGCUUCUGUCGUAGAUUGAUGGCCGUGGGUGCUUGCCCUAAGCUUCCCAUCACAACCCAUCUGCCUUACCCGUCCGCCUACUUCUAGGGUUCGUGCUUCUUCCCCGCACAUAGUCUCAUUUCAAACAAGUUAUUGUAGAGUUUUUAUUGGGUCUCUUGAUUAACUUCUAAGCCGUGCUUCUCUCGUAGAUUUGCUAGCCGUGUGUGCUUGCCCUAAGCUUCCCCUACCCCAAUCUCCGUUCGUCAACCCUCGUUCUUCUUCUCUCCCAGGUAAAAAGCAUAUGCGUAAGCAGCAUGCUCCGAUCCGUAUUUACGUUUGACGUUUAGGUUUUUCAUUUGAUAGUUAUUGAAGCAUCAGAUCCGGUACAACGACUUCAUUCUCUAAAGGAAUAUAAAAACCAUUUGAAAAUCUAAACAAGUGUUAUAAACUCUGUCAUACUGCUUUUCUGGAAGGAGUAGAUGAGAAGAUUUCUGGUAAAUUUGUAGUUGUUGCCUGCCUUCAAUAUGACUAACAUAGUUGAAGCUAGUCGUUGUCUACCUUCGACGUUGAAGCUUGUUUUCAAAUUGUUAUGAUAUUCUUGUUUUCUUAACAUAGUUGUUCUGAAUUAUGUAGGUAUGAUUUGCCGUACCUGCCGCCAACCAGGUGGCCCUUGCGAACCACACCCUGAAGUUCUCCAGGAGUUUGAGAUUAUUCUUGAUGAAAAUUGCUGGAGCCGCAUGGUUAGUAAGCAUCACUAACAUAUUAGUUGCUUACAACACAGUAGAAAUCGUCACUGUCACUCAUACCCCCUUGCACCUACACUAGGUUCCCCUGCUGCCACUUCUUCGCACCUGCCUUGUGUUUUCAUUUUCCAUUAGUUUGCCUGCCUAUGCCCUGAUUAAUAUAGUCCAUUAGUUUUGCCUGCCUAUGCCUUGAUUACUAUAAUGCAUCUUCAGUUCUAAUUAAACUUAGUCAACAUAUGCCAAAAAUCUGUAUCCAUUAAUUAAUAAUACAACUAUGUUGUUAUCUGUAAUUCUUAUCAAAAAUUCAUAUCCAAUUUAAGAAAACUUUUAACAUUAAUAGUACGCGAGUUCAAAUUUAUACUUACAGGUUGUUAUUUGCACUAUUUUUUCUAGUAUGUACCUUGUAAUAUCAGAGCUUUUCUCGCUGAAUACAUUGAAGAGAGGAAGAAAGAAGCAAGAAAAUUGCGUAAACAGCAGGUAGGGCCAGCCUUUCUUACACAUGAAGGAAGGUCUUACAAUGCUUUGUUUAAGCAUAGGGCGAACUACACAAAGUUCUGCGGGCUGAGUGGAACAUCUUUGCGGCUGAUUAUGAACUUCGUGCUGGAGACCGCAUAGAAUUUGAACUACCAGGCGAGGGUCUCAAUCUCGAAUUACAAACAUAUCGGGAUGACAAAAGGCUGCUUCCAUUACCCCACGUUGGUAGGUAUUUUAUAUUAGAAACUUAUCUUCUUUCACUGUAAUUUUAUAUGCAUGAAUCAAACUGAAUAAUAUUAACCCUGUGUUGGAUAUAACUUUAUCUAAUUAACUUUAAAAUCUUUUUCUUUUUCUAGCUCUCGACGAUCUUUCUUCUGACGAUUUCGACCAUGUUCACUGCUGUGUCUACUCUAAGGAUAUUGAGCUUACCUAUGAUGAGACACGAUUCUUUCUACAACACCUUUUCGGAGAUACUUUCAUCCGUUGCCGUCCAUUUGUCCACGUAUUGACUCCCACUAACACCAAAGACUGCGUCAUGGUUGGUUACAACUGUCCUUGUUAAAAUACCAAACGUAUUUUGCUCAUAUGUAAAAUUAUAAAGAACCUAUUUAUUCAAACCUAAAACAACAAAACUUUUGUUGUUCUCUUAAUAUGUUGUUUUAUCUGUUUACACACAAACCUGAACAUGCCAGGAAUUAUAUUACUUUCAAUAUGGAAUUUCUUAAUGUUUGUGCACUCACCAUAUUCAGCCAUUCUUUUAUUGUCCAAGUGACAAAUCAACGAUUUUAAUUUCUAUUUAAUUUCGAUUUCUUCUAGAAAAUUCCGAGGAGCAUUGUCUCGACACUGAAGAGAUGGGUGGACAUGCCAACCAAUGGCAGGGUGACCCUUGAAGCUCCUGAUGAACCUACCCAUGUCAUCACUCCUUCGUCGUACUACAUCUCCAAAAAUGACGGCAGGAUGGUAAUAGAAAAGUCUUCUUUCAGAGACUUCAUAUCAGCUGCAUCCUUUGUUGAAAAGAACGUUGUUCUAAUCACUUUCAAAGAGCGCCAUGACCGUACUGUGUCCAUCAUCAUUCAGCGCAUUCUGUAGAUUCCGUCGGAACCAGCACCUAAAAUGGAAGCAAGCAGUGUAUCUCCUAGGAUGUCAGCGCUCAUUUCAUGAUGAUGCCUCCAGCAGCAAAACACUGGUUACUAUAAGUUUGCUAGUUAGGAUGGUAGAGUAAUGUAACUAUUAUGGACCAUGUGCUUGCUUGAACUAUCAGAAUGAUCUUUUGCAACUUAUGUAGCUCUUACGGACACUCAACUUGUUGUUUCAACCAUCGGAAUGAUCCUUUGCAACAAAUACUAUUUGAACUAUCGGAAUGAUUCAUGCGAAAAAAUCAUAAUUCAAAAAACGAAAAAACUGAAAGAAUCAUUUUCAAAAAUCAAACGAAACAAGAAUCAGUUUUUGAUUCAAAACCUAUAGCAAUACCAUGUUAUCAAACUUAUUCAAACCAUCUAGUGAAACAUAUCUCAAUUCAAAACUAAACAGGACUCCGUUUUCAAGUCCAAACUAUAUUUACUUCAACUUUUCCUAAACACACACUUGUGCACCGAAUAAUAUAACAACAGUGCCUCCCGAACCAAGGAAGAUUGUUAAUUGAAAAAAAUGUUUUCACAACAAAGGCACGACCAUGCAUCUGCUGAGUGUUCUACCGUUUACAGGACUACUUUCACAGCCAAAGAUGGAAUACGCACGCAGCACCCAACGAAUAAAAAAAAUUCAACGAACAAGAUAAGUGAAAAUCUUAAAAAACCCAGAUAAAACAAAUCCAUGUUUCCGAAAAUCUACGCCUGGAACCACCGGGUGACUAGCAACUGCUCUUUGGCGGUUUCCUUUUUUGCACGACAAAACAUCCCUUUCCCUUUUCUGACUCCAUUUGCAUCCUCAUCCUCGAAAGUUUCUCGCCGGCCGCAGUUCACCACCGCACACCUCCUGCCAUGGACGAUGGGAAACUAACAACACUCACCGAACACAUCUCCACUAAGGAUAAUUUUGACCGCUGUCCAGUGAUCUACUCCUAGAUCACUAUUGAACUCCCUUGCCAAACUCAGUGGUAGGGUAUACAAUAGAUCUGGUACACAGCAUGACAUACUUUGUAGAACCUAUGGCAUAGGGAAUGACUUUCCUUCUCUUUCUAUCUUCUGCUGUGGUCGGGCUUUGAGUCUUACUCAAUUUCACACCUUGUAACACAGGCAAGAACUCUUUCUUUGACUGUUCCAUUCUGAACUACUUCAAAAUCUUGUUAAGGUAUGUACUCAUUGAAAAAACUUAUCAAGCGUCUUGAUCUAUCUCUGUAGAUCUUGAUGCUCAAUUUGUAAGCAUCUUCACCGAGGUCUUUCUUUGAAAAACUCCUUUCAAACACUUCUUUAUGCUUUGCAGAAUAAUUCUACAUUAUUUCCGAUCAACAAUAUGUCAUUCACAUAUACUUAUCAGAAAUGUUGUAGUGCUCCCACUCACUUUCUUGUAAAUACAGGCUUCACCGCAGGUCUGUAUAAAACUAUAUCCUUUGAUCAACUUAUCAAAGCGUAUAUUCCAACUCCGAGAUGCUUGCACCAGUCCAUAGAUGGAUCGCUGGAGCUUGCAUAUUCUGUUAGCACCUAUAGGAUUGACAAAACCUUCUGGUUGCAUCAUAUACAACUCUUCUUUAAUAAAUCCAUUAAGGAAUGCAGUUUUGUUUAUCCAUUUUCCAGAUUUCAUAAAAUGCGGUAAUUGCUAAUAUGAUUCGGACAGACUUAAGCAUAGAUACGAGUGAGAAACUCUCAUCAUAGUCAACACCUUGAACUUGUCGAAAACCUUUUUGCGACAAUUCUAGCUUUGUAGAUAGUAACACUACUAUCAACAUCCGUCUUCCUCUUGAAGAUCCAUUUAAUCUCAAUGGCUCGCCGAUCAUUGGGCAAGUCAAUCAAAGUCCAUACUUUGUUCUCAUACAUGGAUCUCAUCUCAGAUUUCAUGGCCUCAAGCCAUUUCGCGGAAUCUAGGCUCAUCAUCGCUUCCUCAUAGUUCGUAGGUUCGUCAUGGUCAAGUAACAUGACCUCCAGAACAGGAUUACCGUACCACUCUGGUGUGGAUCUCACUCUGGUUUACCUACGAGGUUCGGUAGUAACUUGAUCUGAAGUUACAUGAUCAUCAUCAUUAGCUUCCUCACUAAUUGGUGUAGGAGUCACAGGAACAAAUUUUUGUGAUGAACUACUUUCCAAUAAAGGAGCAGGUACAGUUACCUGAUCAAGUUCUACUUUCCUCCCACUCACUUCUUUCAAGAGAAACUCCUUCUCUAGAAAGGAUCCAUUCUCAGCAAUGAAUAUCUUGCCUUCUGAUCUGUGAUAGAAGGUGUACCCAAUUGUCUCCUUUGGGUAUCCUAUGAAGACACAUUUCUCCGAUUUGGGUUUGAGCUUAUCAGGAUGAAACUUUUUCUUAUAAGCAUCGCAACCCCAAACUUUAAGAAACGACAACUUUGGUUUCUUGCCAAACCACAGUUCAUAAGGUGUCGUCUCAAACGGACUUAGAUGGUGCCCUUUUUUUUACGUGAAUGCGGCUGUCUCUAAUGCAUAACCCCAAAACUAUAGUGGUAAAUCCGUAAGAAACAUCAUAGAUUGCACUAUAUCCAAUAAAGUACGGUUAUGACGUUCGGACACACCAUUAUGCUGUGGUGUUCCAGGUGGCACGAAUUUGUGAAACUAUUCCACAUUGUUUUAAUUGAAGACCAAACUCGUAACUCAAAUAUUUGUCUCCGCGAUCAAAUCAUAGAAACCUUAUUUUCUUGUCACGAUGAUUUUCCACUUCACUCUGAAAUUCUUUGAACUUUUCAAAUGUUUGAGACCUAUGUUUCAUCAAGUAGAUAUACCCAUAUCUGCUCAAAUCAUCUGUUUAGGUCAGAAAAUAACGAUACCUGCCGCGAGCCUCAACACUCAUCAGAUCGCAUACAUCAGUAUGUAUUAUUUCUAAUAAGUCAGUUGCUCGCUCCAUUGUUCCGGAGAACGGAGUCUUAGUCAUCUUGCCCAUGAGGCAUGGUUCACAAGUAUCAAGUGAUUCAUAAUCAAGUGAUUCCAAAAGUCCAUCAGUAUGGAGUUUCUUCAUGCGCUUUACACCAAUAUGACCUAAACGACAGUGCCACAAAUAAGUUGCACUAUCAUUAUUAACUUUGCAUCUUUUGGCUUCAAUAUUAUGAAAAUGUGUAUCACCACGAUCGAGAACCAACAAACCAUUUUCAUUGGGUGUAUGACCAUAGAAGGUUUUAUUCAUGUAAACAGAACAACAAUUAUUCUCUAACUUACAUGAAUAACCGUAUUGCAAUAAACAUGAUCCAAUCAUAUUCAUGCUCAACGCAAACACUAAAUAACAUUUAUUUUAGGUUCAACACUAAUUCCGAAAGUAUAGGGAGUGUGCGAUGAUGAUCGUAUCAAUCUUGGAACCACUUCCAAUACACAUCGUCACUUCACCCUUAACUAGUCUCUGUUCAUUCUGCAACUCCCGUUUCGAGUUACUACUCUUAGCAACUGAACCAAUAUCAAAUACUGAGGGGUUGCUAUAAACACUAGUAAAGUACACAUCAAUAACAUGUAUAUCAAAUAUAGCUUUGUUCACUUUGCCAUCCUUCUUAUCCACCAAAUACUUGGGGCAGUUCCGCUUCCAGUGACCAGUCCCUUUGAAGUAGAAGCACUUAGUCUCAGGCUUAGGUCCAGACUUGGGCUUCUUCACUUGAGCAGCAACUCGCUUGCCGUUCUACUUGAAGUUCCCCUUCUUCCCUUUGCCCUUUUCUUGAAACUAGUGGUCUUGUCAACCAUCAACACUUGAUGUUUUUCUUGAUGUCUACCUUCGUCGAUUUCAGCAUCACGAAGAGCUUGGGAAUCGUUUCCGUUAUCCCUUGCAUAUUAUAGUUCAUCACGAAGUUCUAGUAACUUGGUGAUAGUGACCAGAGAACUCUGCCAAUCACUGUCUUAUCUGGAAGAUUAACUCCCACUUGAUUCAAGUGAUUGUAGUACCCAGACAAUCUGAGCACAUGCUCACUGCUUGAGCUAUUCUCCUCCAUCUUUUAGCUAUAGAACUUGUUGGAGACUUCAUAUCUCUCAACUCGGGUAUUUGCUUGAAAUAUUAAAUUCAACUCCUGGACCAUCUGAUAUGGUCCAUGACGUUCAAAGCAUCUUUGAAGUCCUGAUACUAAGCCGUUAAGCAUGGUGCACUAAACUAUCAAGUAGUCAUCAUACCGAGCUUUUGUCAAAACGUUCAUAACGUCUGCAUCUGCUCCUACGUCUUAUGCCUUGACGGGGAACACGUUUGAACCUUUUAUACGCCGACACACCAUCCACCAAGCUGUAAUGGAGUUGUUUCCCUCAUAAUUUAGAUUUUGACAUGGCAAAAGGGAAUGAUCGUGACAAGAUCUAACUAUUGACUCAAAAAAUGCUAGACACACGGACUAAACAAUUGGAACUUUACGAAAGCUGACUUGUCCAGUUUUAAUUGGGCUAAAUAACCUACUCCUAAUUAACCGCCCCCUUCCCCUAUGAAUUUAACUGGUGGGCUGGGGCACCCAGCCUGUAAACCCUAUGUAAAUUGCCAAUUGUUGUAGCAAAGCUCCUAUUGACUGGGUUUGGUUCGGAUUCAGGUUCCAAACUGAAUUUGGGGCAAAACUCAUAUUGUGAAGGAAGUUGUAUUCCUUACAUACAACCUAUGCAACAUUAUUUUAUAAAGGCCAAGUUACUUUUAUGGUGAAUUUAGAGGAUCUCUUGCCCUUUCCCCAGACUUUAGCUCCUCAAAUUUGAGGGUCAAACCUUCUAUGAUACUUUCCCUCAAAAAAGAAAAAACCUUCUAUGAUACCAAUUGUUUCAUCGUCAAAUCGGUACUUUAACAUCCAUCUUAUGAAGGCCAAAAUCCCUCUAUUGUAGCAUGCUCAUCAACAAGUUUUGUAUGAACAUUAUCAGCGUAGCUUUGAGGGCACAUCAUAGAGCUCAUUAUUUUUCCCAAUAUUCUUAGUGGAAAUUUUACCAUCUCGGUCAUCUUCAUGGAACCUUCUUAGCUUGAUGACCUUGGAUGAAGGCGACGCUUUUUUUUCCAGUUUAUCUUCCGGGCUCCGAUCCUACUUGAGUUCGUCCGUCUGUAUGUAGUUGACAGAGCUUCGGCGUAGAUUCAUGUCGUCUCCUUGGGGCCAUAAGGUUGGGGUCUCUUGUCGUGUGGUGAAAUUUUUUGCCGGUUGCUUCAGAUAUAUGCAAGGGUUUAACGGCGACGACUGCGGCUUUAGGACGCUGGUCCUUAGGGGCAUGUGCACGAAAACUUCCCGGCUGGCAUCGACAAGGUCAAGCCGGCUCCUAUAGGAGAGUGCGUUGGCAACUCGUUCUGGCGACAGUAGUGGUUUAUCGGUGGUCUCAGUGUAAACUUUAUUAUGUUUGAGAUGCUUUAUAUGAACUUUUACUUUUUUUUUUGAAAAAAAGGUGUAUGAAUUAAGCACGACUUUGUUUAUAUUGACUUUGUUCACCCUGCUCCUUCCUGCCCUCCUCGCCCGGCCGUGUCUCCGAAUUCCCCGUGUGGAUUCGGCGAAGCCGCGGGGAGAUCCCGAGCGCGGCUGUACGGACCGUGAGCACCCUCCGGCGAUCCCCCCACCCCGUCCGCGGCAGCGGCCCCCGCCGUUCCUGAGAGCCGGGAGGAGCCCCUUCCGGUUCUUGACCCAUCUGCGGCAGGUCGGAUGCGGGGUGGCCAAGAGGAGGAGGAAGGAGAUUCAGAAGCUGAAGCAGCAGCGGCGGCCUGCGGCGAGCCUCCCCGCCGACCUUCUCGCGAAGAUGGUCCUGCCGCGGGUGCCGUACAGAUCGCUCUGCCGCUUCAGGUGCGUGUCGAGGUCAUGGCGCGCGCUCUGCUCCGACCGCCGCGUCCUCCGCAGGUCGCCGCAGACCCUCUCCGGCUUCUUCUGCCACUCCCGCGACGCGCGCCGCCGCGGCUCCGUCUGCCACAGCCGCGACGGCCAUCUCCUCGGCUUUCGCAAUCUGUCCGGGAGAGGCCGGCCCCUCAUCUACCCAUGUCUGCCCUUUCUGCGCCAGCGCGGCUAUAGAAGCGUCACGCUCAUCCACUGCUGCAACGGCAUCCUACUCUGCUCCGCCCACCGGGAGAGGCCGCCGUCUCCGGCGGAGUACAUUGUGUGCAACCCUGCGACUGAGGAGAUCUGGGCGGUGCUGCCCGUGCCCGCCUCACACGGCGACCAACGGGAUAGCAACAUCUGUCUCUGUUUCGAUCCUGCAAUAGUUCCAUCCUACUUUGCGGUGUUUGUGAAACCAUCGGAGAGCGGCGGAGUCGAGGUUUACUCGUCAGAAACUGGACGCUGGGCAUCCCUGCUGAGCGAGUGUGGUCACCUUGGUUUUGCCGGUGACGAUUUAGGGUAUGUCUUCUUCAAUGGCACUUUGCAUUUGAGUGCCUACUACUCUUCUUUGAUCGUCACGCUGGACACCAAGCGACAGACAUGGGGGGAAAUCCCAAUGCCGGAGGACAAUAAACCAGCUGCCAUAGGGCUGUCUCAGGGGCGCUUACACCUUGUAUGCAUAGACUAUGACAAUGAUUGGCAACUAUCUGUUUGGGUUCUCGAGGAAUAUGCCAGUGGUCAGUGGACCUUGAAGCACACCGCGGACUUUCCGGGUCUGCUAGGAACGCCUCGUCGCAUACCCACCGAGAUCUACCAGUCGGUUGCAAUCCAUCCGGAAUGUAAUCUGGUUUUCUUUACCGGUGGGGAGGAGAGGUCAUGGUCGCUCAUGUCGUACGACAUGGAUACCCGGAAAGUGCAGCAUAUCAGCAGUCUUGAAAGUCGCCGUUAUCUCCCGUGUCUGCCUUACGUCCCCUGCUUCGUGAAAUGGUCCCCGGAUGGUCACUAAAUCAGGCGACCAGACCCACUUUUGAGGCGGUGGCCUGGACAAGUUGUGUGCCUAGGUCAAUUUGCUUAUCUGUUGGUGUUCAGGUGCAUGUCGUUGAUUAACCGUGGAGAUUUUGUGAGGUAGCUACUGUCUAGUUAUUUGGACAGACCUACACAGUAAACUUAUUUGCUCUCAUUUACUGAUAGUUGUCCACACUUGUUAACUGGAUGUGAUAGAACACAUUAUCUCUGUUUGAAAUCAUUUGCAUUUUCAAAUCUUUCCGUGCAUCCAUCUAUCUAUUCAAAAGUUUUAACUCAGAAAACAGGGUACUCCAAGGAUGCGAUUAUCGCCUGCAUUAUGUAUGCAGACAUGGCGGACCUGCACAUAUCGGUGCUUUGUAGCUGCUAUAUACAAAGAUUGAUGGUGUGAAGGUGUUUGUUGAAAUGUCUUUGGGAGUUGUGUGAGGUGAACCAGUUCAGCAGCAGGUAUGCAUACUUCUCCUGAAUUGUCAUCUCACUAGAUCACUUUGAAAAGUCAAAUGACAUUGCCCACACAAGUUCCCUUUGUACCAGGCUACCAGGCAUAGCAAGUAGCAACGGUUGUGGAUUUCAAAUGUUCAAGUUUCCUUUUUCCAGCCAUAACAGUUGUGGUAGAUUUGAAAAAAAAAAAUCAAUGUUGUUUCGAAGACUAAAGCUAUCUGUCUCAGUGCAUUCACAGCUGCUUUGCACAUAGGGAUAUACCAUUAUUUGCAACCAAAAUGUUCAGUAUGAAGUUUUAAUACUCUGCCCAUAACUAAAAAAACCUACUCCCUCCGUAAAGAAAUGUAAGAGCGUUUAGAUUACUAGAGUAGUGAUCUAAACACUCUUAUAUUUAUUUACAGAGGGAGUAUGUUAUACCUGAGUUCUUUGAUUGCAUCAUUUUGAUAGUAUUUGAUGAACUUCACAAGGUGAACAAAUGCUAGGUGUAUCAUGUAUGCUUACACAGGUGACAUGACAAUGGGUUAAAGAAAUGAUGCUGGACCAUCCAUCACUUAUAGAAACAUGAGGACAAAGCUAUAAAUUCUUAUAGAAAUGAUUAGCUGGUGAAGGUUUCCCCGCUAUGUACAAGUCCAUGUGCAUUUUAAACAGUCCAUCUUGGGAUUGCAAGCCGGCGUUUUAUUCUAUCACUACUAAGGUGCUAAUCUGUUGUAUAUAUUGGUCUUUAUGAGACAGGCAGAGCUCUGUUCAUCGUUCAUUGGGGUAUGAGUAGACAUCUAAAACAUAUAUAUUUAUAAAUAUGGAAUUGUUCGUGCUGCGAAUUAUUUUCUGGAGUGAUAACAACCUUCAUACAAUGAUGCCUUAUCACCCUGAAGAGAGUGAACAUCGUCUAUCGAAUAUACACCUUCGGCUCGCUCCAGUGCUUGUAGUCGUCGCUAGAUGGUCAACGGACCUGGAUGUAUUUUUUACUUCUGAUGAUCUUUGUACUACUUUGACAGUUGAUAAAUAGAUUGGAAGUUUUCUCGCACACACACAACUAUGUUCCAGUUUUCCUUGUAAGGGCAAACUAUGGCACUUGUAAACACAGAGGUAAAUCCGUGACCCUUCAGACAUUGGUGUCAAUUGUCACCUAUGUUGAUCAGCGGAUCAAGAGCCUUGAUCAGAUUGAUAUACUGCAGGACAUAUAUGUAGCAAAAGUAUAUUUGUCCUCACCGGUCCAUGCUGCUUUACUGCCUCGGAAUGAGGUACCUUGCUACAUUUUUAGGCACAAUUCUGCCAUGGAUCCUGUUUAUGUGCAGAGACCAGAGAUAACGUACACCACGAUAUGUCGUUCCCUCGAUAUGCCGGGUUUCCUGAACUCAUGCUUGGGUGGAAGUAAUGUUGGAUAAGUAGUGGCAUGAGGGAGCACAUGAUGAUAGCUAAACAUAAUAGAAGGGGAAUCAGGAAUGGAGGCAGUUUUUAUUGCUCGGGAAGAAAAACUGAAUAUGUUGCAACAGAGAAAGUCGUCCCAUAUAUUAUUCGGGAAAUGUAGAUGGAUGCGAAGAUGGAUAAGCCGGUAAAAGAGGAACAUACAAGACACUAAUGUUAUGCAGAAUCUUUCAAGCAGUUACCAAACUGUAAUAUGGUUGUGAUACCAAUAUUUAAAACCUUCGGGUUUCCAGUGUGUGUAUUCGAAUAAACAGAGGUAGUUCUACCAUGGAUCUUGCUACAUUUUUAGGCACAAUUCUACCAUGGAUCCUGUUUAUGUGCAGAGACCAGAGAUAACGUACGCCACGAUAUGUCGUUCCCUCGAUAUGCCGGGUUUCCUGAACUCAUGCCAUACCUGGAACAGAGUGAUGAGGCAGCAGAGCAUAACAGAGUGAGUGGAGGCAACCACCUCGAUCGACGUGGUAUAUAUCCAAGGAGCAAGCGAUGGACAUGUUGUGAACUUGCUGACCGACCUGAGGGUGAAAGCAUAAUGCCAGCUGAGGGACGCGAUCGACCACCGGCCGAGUCGACCACCAACCGAGUAACUGGCCAAUGACGUGGAUCAAAUCGACGGUCGACGCAUGCAUGCAUGCAGUGCAUGGCGUGAUGAGCCGACGGAGUUUUAAUUCGGCAUCUGCAAAUUCGGCGCGCCAAAUCAGCCGGUCUCUCCUUGUCUCGCUUCACUGCGCCGAUCGACGGCCGACCACCACCACCAUUGGAGCAUUCAACCAGAUCGUCCAUCGAGCUGUGCCGCUGCCGACCAAUGCGGAGCGGAGGCCUAUAUAAGCCAUGCGUCGCCUCUUCCAUCCAUCCAUCCAUCGAGCUGCCACUUGACGCCAGCAGGCAGCUGAGUUCAGAGAGGAGACUCGAACAUGGCAGCUCCGACAGCAUUCUUCCUCGGCGUUUGCGCGGUGCUGCUGGCGGCCGCCGUCGCCAACGCCGACGCGGCUUCCGUGGUGGUCGGCCUGGCCAAGUGCGCCGGCUGCACCAGGAAGGACAUGAAGGCCGAGGAAACGUUCAAGCGUCUCCGCGUGGCGAUCAAGUGCAGGAACGUUGAGGGCGAGUACGAGAGCAAGGCGGUGGGCGGCCUCGACCGCACCGGCGCCUUCAGCGUGCCCCUGGCCACCGACCUCCACGGCGCCGACUGCGUCGCGCAGCUUCACAGCGCCGCCUCCAACGCGCCGUGCCCCGGCCAGGAGCCGUCCAAGAUCGUGCCACUGUCCGAGGGCGCCACCACCUUCGGCGUCGUCGCCGGCGCCAAGACCACCACCACGCCGUCGGUGGCGUCCCCGGAGUGUGCGUCGGCCUUCUGCCCCUCGACCACGCCCUGGAAGAAGCCCCGCGGCGGCGGCCACCACAAGAAGAAGCACAACCCGCACAAGCCGGAGACCAAGGCCCUGCCGUAAACAGAACUCCAUCCGACUCCAUUGAAAUCCCCAUGAUUUCGUUAUGUCACCGUGUGCUAUUUACGAUUUCAGUGUCUGCAGAACUCACCGUGUGUUAUGAGAAGGACAGACGGAUCUGCGUGUGUCACGGUGUAUCCUUCUUACCAGUGUUUGUAAUAUCAGUGUGAUUUUUCUACGGGAAACAAGAAGUUAUCGUAAUAAAUCAAGUAAUAUAUCCGGUUUUGAUGGUUCAGGGUUGAAACUUAGCCGGUUUAGAGUCUAGGGUUGAAUCUUAUAGAUAAACCAAAGAGAUCAGAGCUAUAAUAUGGUACUUACAGGGCUUCCAAACGCGGCCAGCAAGUCAUGAACAUGACAAACAAACGAUUAAGAUUACAACGGGGGAACACAAAGUCAUUACUACUGUUGGCGCAGCCCUUGCUAGCUCUCUCUCACAGCUGGACGGAGGUAGAAGAAAGAAGAACGAGAAGGACACAGCAGGAUUUUGCCCGGCGCACGAACGCCGCCGGCCGCACGAACGGCCACUUAGUUUCUUUCCUGAGCACGAACUCAGCUGCAAAACCACCUGCCGAUACACAGGGGCUAGCGAGCCUUUAUACGUGCGCUCGUACGCACGCCACGCCGCUCCAUACGGCGCUCCCAGUCGCCCACAUCCCGCGUCCCACGCCAUACCUGGCCUGCGCUCCCGUCGCGCCCGUACGCGGACGACGCGGCCACCAACAGCUCUGGACGCGUUCUCCUCCGGCUCCAUCGGCAACAAGCUCACACACGCGCACGUACACGUGCUGCUACACACACUCGCAGCUACGGCCCUGACUAUGCCCGGCUCGUCUGGCACCCGCACGCACGCGCGCCUGACUCGCCCUGGCCGAGCCACGGUUUAUUUGUCUAACAACUACAAGUCAUGAACAUGACAAACAAACGACAUCAUACCUGGAGCAACAUUAUCCAAAAAGCACCCCCAGUAAUGAACUCCAUAUAAGAUGAGAAGAUAGCAUAGUGCACAAUGAACAAGAACCACGUAGUGAGCAACCAGCAGGGUCACACAUUCAAAUUUAAGGAGAGAUUAGGUGUGUGCUGCUGAAUGCAUCCUGAACUCUGACGGAUCAAGGUAUGACAUAUCAGUUCAAGAAACCUCAACAUAUGAGUUCAGGCCUACCAAGUGCAUCACUGUAGCUACAGAGAAUUUCUGCAUGGCGACAUAUCGUGUGUGUAUUCGAAUUGUGCCUAAAAAUGAAUUGUGCCUACGGUCUGUUUGCAAAUUUUUAGAAUCCCUCAAAUUCUAAAAGGAAAAAAAGUUAUGCUCAAAUUUUAGUUUUUUUUGAAUUUUUGUUAAAUCUGGUCAAACUACUUAUUCAAGAAGUAUUAGUGUUACUAAAUAAUUACUCAAGAAUAUUAGUGUUACUAAACAAUUAUUUCAGUUUUUUUGAAUUUUGGUCAAAUCUGGUCAAACUGUGGUCAAACUGUGGUCAAACAAUGGUCAAACUAAUUAUUCAAGAAAUAUUAGUGUUACUAAAUAAUUAUUUCAGUUUUUUUGAAUUUUGGUCAAAUCUGGUCAAACUGUGGUCAAACUAUGGUCAAACUACUUAUUCAAGAAAUAUUAGUGUUACUAAAUAAUUAUUGUUUUUUAGAACAAUAGUUCCAAACUCAAACAGUGAAAUGUGUGACUUCAUGCUCAAGCUAAAUUCCUAAGGGUUAAUAGGAUUGACAUCUUACUAUUGUCAGGAAAACAACAAGUGCAGACUUGGAAACGAGGGAGAAUAGAACUCGGAAGUUAAGCGUGCUCAGGCUGGAGUAGUGAGAGGAUGGGUGACCGUCCAGGAAGUUAGAUGAUUUGGAAUGAUGAGGGGUGAUUAAAGAUUAGAGGUUAAAUUGAGCAGUGAUGAGGGGUGAUUAGAGAUUAGAUGUUAAAAUAAUUCAGAAAUUUGAAAACUAAAAAAAUUCAAAAAAAAAUUAAUUUUUUUUUUCAAAAAAAAAUCUUAAAAUUUCCUUUAGUACCGGUUGGUAUUACCAACCGGGACUAAAGGUGGACCUCCAGGCAGCGGCCACGUGGAGGGCCUUUAGUCCCGGUUCGUGUAAGAACCGGGACUAAAGGGGGAGGCUUUAGUAACGACCCUUUAGUCCCGGUUGUAGAACCGGGACUAAAGGCCCUUAUGAACCAGGACUAAAGGCCCUUUUUCUACUAGUGUGCCCAAGCCGCAGCCCCACCCCGACUACCACCCCGUCCCUCCCACGCCUACAUACGGUGGCGGCGGCAGCGGCGGCGGAUACCACGGUCACCACUGACUCCGAUCUGCAACCAUCCGGCCCAGCACUGAAAUCUCAUCACCGAGGGCAUGAUCAGUGUCAGUGAGUGACCGAUGGUACUAUUUAUCAUCAGUUGCAUGUGUGGCCGCGUGGGUAUUCUUUGGUGGUCUUCUGCCAUUCGCUGCCCCAUUUUAGUAUCUGCACGGCAGAGUUGAGAGUUCAAAAUAACAUUUGUGAGGAACGUGUAUUGCUUUUUUAAGAUUUGUAUAAUUUCAGCGUGUGUUUUGUAUAAGAAGUUACUGUGAAUCAAGUAAUUUAAUGAAGUCGUUGGUGUGGAUCUGUGGAUGGAUGAUUGGGUAUGACGAUGACAAUGUUUUUGCCAUGCAUUGCGUAGUUUUCUGAGUCGAUUUUCAGAUCUGUGGAGUGGAAUCCAGGCAAGUGUGCAAAUGGAUUUGUGAUGGACAACUCAUGGCAUUCAAAAACAAAAUGGUAGCUACCUGGGAUCAUGCAUUCGUACUACUGGUCUAGGCUUGUGAGUGGAUUAAUUUGGAAGCGGCACUGUGGGUACGAGAGCUAUGGCCUGGUCCAGCUCAAGUACACAGGAGGGCAUACCUUGCCCAAACCGGUGAAGACCAAACAAUCAGUACCACUUGGACAGAAGGGGCGCGGCUGCUGCGAUAUGCAGAUCGGAGCAAGGCGUCUACAUUGGUGCAUUGGCCAUUGUGGCGGAGGGUAUUAACGAACCUGCCGAGAGGGCCUAGGUUUGGCGAAGGAUCUUUUCUCUCGAAAAUUGUACUUCCUUCAUUNNNNNNNNNNNNNNNNNNNNNNNNNNNNNNNNNNNNNNNNNNNNNNNNNNNNNNNNNNNNNNNNNNNNNNNNNNNNNNNNNNNNNNNNNNNNNNNNNNNNNNNNNNNNNNNNNNNNNNNNNNNNNNNNNNNNNNNNNNNNNNNNNNNNNNNNNNNNNNNNNNNNNNNNNNNNNNNNNNNNNNNNNNNNNNNNNNNNNNNNNNNNNNNNNNNNNNNNNNNNNNNNNNNNNNNNNNNNNNNNNNNNNNNNNNNNNNNNNNNNNNNNNNNNNNNNNNNNNNNNNNNNNNNNNNNNNNNNNNNNNNNNNNNNNNNNNNNNNNNNNNNNNNNNNNNNNNNNNNNNNNNNNNNNNNNNNNNNNNNNNNNNNNNNNNNNNNNNNNNNNNNNNNNNNNNNNNNNNNNNNNNNNNNNNNNNNNNNNNNNNNNNNNNNNNNNNNNNNNNNNNNNNNNNNNNNNNNNNNNNNNNNNNNNNNNNNNNNNNNNNNNNNNNNNNNNNNNNNNNNNNNNNNNNNNNNNNNNNNNNNNNNNNNNNNNNNNNNNNNNNNNNNNNNNNNNNNNNNNNNNNNNNNNNNNNNNNNNNNNNNNNNNNNNNNNNNNNNNNNNNNNNNNNNNNNNNNNNNNNNNNNNNNNNNNNNNNNNNNNNNNNNNNNNNNNNNNNNNNNNNNNNNNNNNNNNNNNNNNCUGCCGGGAAGGGAAGGCCACGGGUGUGCAGGUACCUGGUCGAGGAGCUAGGGGUCGAUGUGGACGCCGUCGACGAUGGAGGUGCGUGCCUCUACCGUUUAAUUUGCCUCUAAACUGUAAAUGUGUCUGAACUGUACUCCUAUAUGGCUUGCGUUCAGAAUUGGGCUAUAGGAAACUGUAUGUUGACCAGCAAUUUACAACCGUCAUGCUAUUUUGUGAAUCAGAUGCAUAUAGACAAGUUUUAGUGUGUUUGUUCACUGAAAUAUCCAAAACAUCUUAUAUUUGUCAACUGACGGAGUAGAAAACAAAGUGUUAUGUUAUGACAUAUUUAUGUAUUAACUUUGUACAUUCUGACAUGCUCUGAGAGGAAACGUCUUCAUUCUGAUAGGCAACGCAAUCCAUCCAUCCUCUCUAAGCUCCUGCUGAACUAUGGAAAUUUUAGUUUCAGUACUAUAGUUAUGUAUGCUUGCUUGCUGAUGUAGUGUGUGUGUGUGUGUGUUUCAUGUGCUUGCUGCCACUGUGUGCUGCGCUGCGUCCCUCGCCUACUUCCGCCAGGCACCGGCACCCGGCGGUGCGCUCUCCGGGACUCUGCCACUUGAAGGGGCGAGGAGGAGCUACGGAUGCUAGCGAUUAACAACGUUGUGCAGAAGGCAAGCGCAGGUGAGGGGUCCCAUCCUCAUCCCCAUCCCAAUUUAUGUUUAUACUAUUAUAAAUUAGACUAUAUGAUAUGCAUUAGUUGCUUCCUUUUGUAGCUGACAUGCACAUACACCGUCUUAGUAUUACAAUCCAUUCUGAUAAUUAACCUUUUUUAGUGAUCCAGUUCAAAUUUUAAUACUAAGUACGAACUUAUAUUCAUAAUAUGUGGACUGAAGGACAUACCAUUGAUACAAUCCGACUGUACUCAAAAUCGGCAGUGCAUUGUUAUGAUUUUGUAAUUACCCCGAAGCAAAAAUAUUUUACUGUACAAAAAUAACAAACAAACAAAUGAAUAAUAAAGAUUCUAUUUUUGCGACGUGCUACUGUAUAUGUUCUCUUUUCACAAAUGGUGCUUUCAUUUGGUCACUUAUUAUACAUUUUUCUUUCCAACAAAGGGAGUAUUGUACUGCAAUCUCAAACAAUUUCUGCUCUCAUUGGGAGUAUAUAAUUCUCUUGUCAUUGCAUUUUGCAAGUGUUGGGUGUAAUAAAUGAAUCGGUUGUUCACCAUAUCAAAUUUUAAGAUGAAAGUGUGUUUCUUUGUGACCUUCUUACAUCAAAGACCACAUGGAGUUUGAAGUCGAUUUCAAAUGAAUGUACAUCUACCGAAUUUUGCUCCACAAAGAAAUGAGAUGAAAUCACUUUAAUUGGAAUGCGACGAAAACAUACUCUACCNNNNNNNNNNNNNNNNNNNNNNNNNNNNNNNNNNNNNNNNNNNNNNNNNNNNNNNNNNNNNNNNNNNNNNNNNNNNNNNNNNNNNNNNNNNNNNNNNNNNNNNNNNNNNNNNNNNNNNNNNNNNNNNNNNNNNNNNNNNNNNNNNNNNNNNNNNNNNNNNNNNNNNNNNNNNNNNNNNNNNNNNNNNNNNNNNNNNNNNNNNNNNNNNNNNNNNNNNNNNNNNNNNNNNNNNNNNNNNNNNNNNNNNNNNNNNNNNNNNNNNNNNNNNNNNNNNNNNNNNNNNNNNNNNNNNNNNNNNNNNNNNNNNNNNNNNNNNNNNNNNNNNNNNNNNNNNNNNNNNNNNNNNNNNNNNNNNNNNNNNNNNNNNNNNNNNNNNNNNNNNNNNNNNNNNNNNNNNNNNNNNNNNNNNNNNNNNNNNNNNNNNNNNNNNNNNNNNNNNNNNNNNNNNNNNNNNNNNNNNNNNNNNNNNNNNNNNNNNNNNNNNNNNNNNNNNNNNNNNNNNNNNNNNNNNNNNNNNNNNNNNNNNNNNNNNNNNNNNNNNNNNNNNNNNNNNNNNNNNNNNNNNNNNNNNNNNNNNNNNNNNNNNNNNNNNNNNNNNNNNNNNNNNNNNNNNNNNNNNNNNNNNNNNNNNNNNNNNNNNNNNNNNNNNNNNNNNNNNNNNNNNNNNNNNNNNNNNNNNNNNNNNNNNNNNNNNNNNNNNNNNNNNNNNNNNNNNNNNNNNNNNNNNNNNNNNNNNNNNNNNNNNNNNNNNNNNNNNNNNNNNNNNNNNNNNNNNNNNNNNNNNNNNNNNNNNNNNNNNNNNNNNNNNNNNNNNNNNNNNNNNNNNNNNNNNNNNNNNNNNNNNNNNNNNNNNNNNNNNNNNNNNNNNNNNNNNNNNNNNNNNNNNNNNNNNNNNNNNNNNNNNNNNNNNNNNNNNNNNNNNNNNNNNNNNNNNNNNNNNNNNNNNNNNNNNNNNNNNNNNNNNNNNNNNNNNNNNNNNNNNNNNNNNNNNNNNNNNNNNNNNNNNNNNNNNNNNNNNNNNNNNNNNNNNNNNNNNNNNNNNNNNNNNNNNNNNNNNNNNNNNNNNNNNNNNNNNNNNNNNNNNNNNNNNNNNNNNNNNNNNNNNNNNNNNNNNNNNNNNNNNNNNNNNNNNNNNNNNNNNNNNNNNNNNNNNNNNNNNNNNNNNNNNNNNNNNNNNNNNNNNNNNNNNNNNNNNNNNNNNNNNNNNNNNNNNNNNNNNNNNNNNNNNNNNNNNNNNNNNNNNNNNNNNNNNNNNNNNNNNNNNNNNNNNNNNNNNNNNNNNNNNNNNNNNNNNNNNNNNNNNNNNNNNNNNNNNNNNNNNNNNNNNNNNNNNNNNNNNNNNNNNNNNNNNNNNNNNNNNNNNNNNNNNNNNNNNNNNNNNNNNNNNNNNNNNNNNNNNNNNNNNNNNNNNNNNNNNNNNNNNNNNNNNNNNNNNNNNNNNNNNNNNNNNNNNNNNNNNNNNNNNNNNNNNNNNNNNNNNNNNNNNNNNNNNNNNNNNNNNNNNNNNNNNNNNNNNNNNNNNNNNNNNNNNNNNNNNNNNNNNNNNNNNNNNNNNNNNNNNNNNNNNNNNNNNNNNNNNNNNNNNNNNNNNNNNNNNNNNNNNNNNNNNNNNNNNNNNNNNNNNNNNNNNNNNNNNNNNNNNNNNNNNNNNNNNNNNNNNNNNNNNNNNNNGAGUCCCCGAUAUUGUCUGCCUAGGAACUAUUCUCCUUAAGCAACCUAGAAACUUAUUCUACUGAGAUAUUUUUCGUUGAUAUUGAAUUGUCGAAUCGGAAAUGUAGCAUGCAAAACUUUAAUGGUACUGCUGAGAUAUUUUUCGUUGACAUUGAACAAUCCAACUUCCUGUAACGCCUAUAUGAGGUAUUUCCUGAUUUUUACUUGCAUUUCUUGCGGUCCGGUAUGAAAUAUAGAGAGAAGAGAGGAUCUUCUAGUGAUUAUUCAAAAUUGUUCAAACUUUAGGUGUACAGGCUUGUGCUAAUUGAUUCUUCUAUUUAGCCUGAUAGCAUUUUUUUUGCAAGUGUAAAAUCUGGGGAGACGUGAGGAUGAUUUCUUGGCAGUGGUUGCUGUGAUAUUUUGCAAGAAAUAUUGAAGCGAAGAUGUAUCCGUUUUUGGUGUCAUAGGAGAACUUAAUUUGAAUGUCUGCUCUGCUAGGAAGUACUUAAUCCAUUCUUGUAAUUGUUGUUCUCCUGUACCAAUCUGUGGGUAUGGGCCUAAUUCAAUUGUUGGCUAAGCUAGGUUCUUCAUGGAUGCCAAGUUUAGUUGUUAAUUAACUAGGGACAUGGUAACCUUUGUUGCUGUUAAGUAGAAGUGCAGUCAUGUAGCUUUUAGUGCUGCUGGACAGGCUGGUCUGAACGUGCUAGAUAGAUUCAGUUAGAGGGGAUUCUUUUGGUAGUGCUUUUAGAAAAUGAACAUGUCUAUAUGUGUCCAAGCAAUUGAACUUGGGAGAGAGGUUAGUUCUGUAAAGAAUAUUCCUGUAGUUGCUUACACAUGAGGAUUGCAACUGCUUCUGUACCAUUGGAUAUCCCUUGCUGCACAUCACUGAAAUUGGUUCAGUUAAAACUGCACUAGCUGUCAGUUUGGGCAGCAAGCUUCUAGCUAAAAAAUGAGUUAGUUAUGCCUAAAAUUUCGAGUUGGCCCCUAUAUAUAAGUUGUAGAACAAGUUCCAAGGUUUCUCUAAAGUAAUUUUUGUGUCGUUUGGAUGCACGGUUUGAGAGCAACCACCAACUUAGUUUGUUUUCUACAAAGUUAUUUUCUUGGGUGCAGUAGUUUUCAUAUGGCAGAUUAGGCCCUGAUAGAGAUUGAAUUGAAAUGAAGCUAAAACAUGAAAGUUUUAGAGGUUGUUCUGUUGAUACUGAAACACAUGUCAUUUGUUGUAUUUCGUUUUGUAUAUUAAAUCCUAUGAAAACAAUAUAGAGGGUUCUAUACUAUGUUGGACAAAAUUUAAUGAUGCGCAUGGUUCGAUGGAUGAAGACUUACGUCAUCAAAUUGCUUCAACCUCGUGUGAAAUUUAAUGUGAUAAAGUAGAUAUGAGCUGGGGUCUUGUGCGUAAGAGUAUGUGCGACGAGUCCAUCGUUGUAUUGAUUGUGAUAUAUGCUUCAUUAAGCAUAAUAUUAAGUGUUAAAACUUCAAUUGUGUAUAUACUUAGUGAUGCAAUUUCAAGAAUUAAGUGUCCAGGCAUGUCAUCAUUGAAGUGCUGCUGGAUAUUAUGCUUAUUUGUAUUUACGGGCAUUAACAGAAUUACUAAGACUAUUUCAUUAUUUCCUUCGUAGAAGACUGGAUAGUGUCUACAACAAUUGCACAUCAAUGCGGCCCAAAAAUUAGUCAAUUCGAGGUGGAUUUCACUCGUUCUCAAGGAGCACACCAUUCAAAAAUCAAUGUUUUUCUAGGAUGUUAGGAAUUUCUCAUUGCACAAGGAAAUAUGUGAGGAGAAUCACUAUUUUGUACCAUACAUCUAGCAUUUUUAUAUUUUGGUAGAUUCUAUAUUGUUGGGUACAACCAUGGGUACAGCUUGCAGAGGUAAAAAUCCCAAGCACCCCUCAUGCAAAGAGAAGGGUAAUCUCCUUUUUUGCGUACUGUAUGCCUUCUCUACUUAUUUAUAUUGCAAUAAUAAUAUCCUACAAGUAUUCGGAAUAAGAGCAAUGUUUUUAUGAUUAUCUAGAAUUUUCAUUACUGAUGUUUGUUUAUUGGACUAUGUGUAUGUAUUCAGUCUUNNNNNNNNNNNNNNNNNNNNNNNNNNNNNNNNNNNNNNNNNNNNNNNNNNNNNNNNNNNNNNNNNNNNNNNNNNNNNNNNNNNNNNNNNNNNNNNNNNNNCUUGUGUCACUCGCAACUCACUAACUCAUCACAAAUUCUUCAUACGAGCAAAAUAACACUACUAGGGACAAAGCAGGGCUUCGAUUUUCUUGCACAACAGCUAACAGUUAGAGCUUUUAAUUCAUGUUUACCCAAUAAUUCUCCACAAUUCCUCACAUAGUUUCUAGUUCAACCAUUACUGGUAUGUAAAUAGACAAGAUUAGAUCGAUACUAAAAUUUGCAUUACGCUAUCGACGAAUGACGGCUCAAUUUUAUCUCCACAUAGAUGACACAAGAAUCUCAUUUGAGCAGUUGGUCACAAUGCAUACUAGCAUACUAAUGUUUCCAAUCGAACCGCAGCCAGAAACUUAGAACGACUUAUCCAACUUCUACCACCAAAUCAAAUUCAUAAUAUGAUGUUGCCUCCACGUUCCACGAUCCCGGUAGGUACAUCCAUGCACUUUCCACAUGCGAGAUGUGAUGAAGAUGUGAGAUGUGGCCAAAGAUUUGGGAUGUUGUAAACAUAUCUACGAGAUAUUUUUUUCUCUAUGUAUACCUAAUAGUUUACUAGAAGCCGCUAUCAGGAUAUUUCUGACUUUAAAAGACACACACACACACACAGAGAGAGAGAUACGUAUAUACUAUGGUCAUGUGAGUGUCACAAAUUAAUCCAUGAAACAUGCAAUUUUAUGUAGUCUAUUUUCUUAUGGUUAGAGGGGUUAAGUUUAAGUAUUAUUUUAUGGUGCAAUCUAUUGAAUAGAAAGAAACUAAUCAAAUUUAGCGUAGGGCGUGCAUAUAUUUUAAUGACACACAUUACAACCUAGCAGAAAAUACUAUUAUUUAUAUUGAGCAUAAUUAUCGUAAGUAAAUAUAAAAAAGAAGUAACCGCUCGCAGUUAAUAGUGAGUUUUAAACAUGUAUAAAAGUUUAAUAUAAAUAUUCAAUUUAAUUAGACUCGAUUUCUUGUCACCGCCCUAGAUUCAUGUUUGUAAUUAGUGGCAUUGCAUCCAUGCAUCAUGUCUAAUUUUAUCAGAAAUUUGAAUUGAGGGAAUUUUCAAAACCUCAGAAACAUUUUAGAAAUUAUCAACACUAAAAUCUUCUCAAAUAAGUCCAAGAAAAUGUUCCUGUUAUUUUAUGAAAAUAUUGGAAAGAGGUAAAAUUAAAACCAGUGUUUUUGGAUUGUCAGAAAUAUUUAUUUUGGGAAUUUGAGUUAAUCUAAUAAUUAUUUGCAUUAGACUUAUAUUUAUUAUAUAUUAAAUAUUGGUCCAAAAAAUUUGAAAGUUUGUAUGAGGCUCUGGACUAGUUCCCUAAGUCCAAAUAUUGAAUUUCAGAAGUUUAUAAAGUGAUUUGGUAGUUAAACCAAAUCAAACAAACAGAACAAAAUGGAAAACAAAAACAGAAAGGGAAGAACAGAGAGAGAGAGAGAGUUUACCUGGCAGCCCACUUACCCGGCCCAACUCCUCUAGCCGGCCCAGCCUACCUGGCUCUGCCAGUCGUCCUCUACCUCGUGCCAGAGGGCACGAGGGCGUGUGGCCGCCGCCCACGCGUACGCACCGCGCCACCUCCUGCUUGCCGCUUCGCUCUGGCCCUCUCUGGACGUCGACACGUAGCCCCCUGGUCCUCUCCCUCGCUCCCCUCGUCCUUCCCCUCCUCUGGAUCCCUCUCUCUCUCUCACCACCGAGCGGGGCUCAUCGCCACCGACGCCGUUCACCGUAGCCACCGCCUCCUCCUGAACCUCUCUCCGCGCCCAGAAGCUCCGCCACUUCGUCCUCGACCCCCUCGCUGAGCCACGCAACGCCGGACGCCCUGAAGCCUCGCCAACACCGUCGUUCCCCUCGUCGGUCGCCGCGGAUCCUCGCCGUUGAUUCAGGAGCUACAGGACCUCCCCGAGCACUCUGAGCUUCUCUACAAGUCCUCCGUGAGCCCCUCUUUCCCCUACCCUAACCUCGUUGCUUCGCUCGACCUCUAGCUAGCGCUGCCGCCAUGGCCGAGCUCCGCCGCCGCCUGCCUUGUCAUGCGCCACCAUUGCAGCCCGCGCCCGUCGUUGGAGAGCAUGGCAACGAGCUCGUCGUGCCUCCAGGAGGCCGGCUAUCCCUUUUGCUAGCUCGCCCGUGCCCCGUAGCACCGCUGCCCGCUUGCGCCCGAACUCCGGCCGCCGCCCAAGUGGUCGCCGCCGUCGACCCCGGCCUCCCUGCGCCUAGCUGCAUGCACCCCUGGAUGCGGGCGAGCGAGGGCUUCCUCAUGGUGCCCUGCUACCUCUUGAGCACUGCGUUGGUUUUCCCUAGAAAAGGAAAGGGUGAUGCAGCAAAGUGGCGUAAGUAUUUCCCUCAGUUUUUGAAAACCAAGGUAUCAAUCCAGUAGGAGGCUACACACGAGUCCCUCGCACCUACACAAACGAAUAAAUCCUCGCAACCAACAUGAUAAGGGGUUGUCAAUCCCUACACGGUCACUUACGAGAGUGAGAUCUGAUAGAUAUGAUAAGAUAAUAUUUUUGGUAUUUUUGUGAUAAAGAUGCAAAGUAAAGAAAGUAAAAUAAAAACGGCGCUAGAAAUAGCUAAGUGUUGGAAGAUUAAUAUGAUGGAAAAUAGACCCGGGGGCCAUAGGUUUCACUAGUGGCUUCUCUCGAGAGCAUAAGUAUUUACGGUGGGUGAACAAAUUACUGUUGAGCAAUUGACAGAAUUGAGCAUAGUUAUGAGAAUAUCUAGGCAUGAUCAUGUAUAUAGGCAUGACGUCCGAAACAAGUAGACCGACUCCUGCCUGCAUCUACUACUAUUACUCCACACAUCGACCGCUAUCCAGCAUGCGUCUAGAGUAUUAAGUUCAUAAGAACAGAGUAACGCUUUAAGCAAGAUGACAUGAUGUAGAGGGAUAAACUCAUGCAAUAUGAUAUAAACCCCAUCUUGUUAUCCUCGAUGGCAACAAUACAUUACGUGCCUUGCUGCCCCCACUGUCACUGGAAAAGGACACCGCAAGAUUGAACCCAAAGCUAAGCACUUCUCCCAUUGCAAGAAAGAUCAAUCUAGUAGGCCAACCCAAACUGAUAAUUCGAAGAGACUUGCAAAGAUAACCAAUCAUACAUAAAAGAAUUCAGAAGAUUCAAAUAUUGUUCAUAGAUAAGCUUGAUCAUAAACCCACAAUUCAUCGGUCUCCACAAACACAUCACAAAAGAAGAUUACAUCGAAUAGAUCUCCACAAGAGAGGGGGAGAACAUUGUAUUGAGAUCGAAAAAGAGAGAAGAAGCCAUCUAGCUAAUAACUAUGGACCCGAAGGUCUGAGGUAAACUACUCACACUUCAUCGGAGAGCCUAUGGUGUUGAUGUAGAAGCCCUCCGUCAUCGAUGCCCCCUCCGGCGGAGCUCCGAAACAGGCCCCAAGAUGGGAUCUCACGAAUACAGAAGGUUGCGGCGGUGAAAUUAGGUUUUUAGCUGCGUAUCUGAUCGUUUGGGGGUACGUAGCUAUAUAUAGGAGGAAGGAGUACGUCGGUGGAGCAACGUGGGGCCCACGAGGGUGGAGGGCGCGCCCAGGGGGUAGGAGCGCCCCCUACCUCGUGGCUUCCUGGUAGCUUUCUUGACGUAGGGUCCAAGUCAUCUGGAUCAUGUUUGUUCCGAAAAUCACGUUUCCGAAGGUUUCAUUCCGUUUGGACGCCGUUUGAUAUCCUGCGAAACUCUGAAAUAGGCAAAAACAGCAAUUCUGGGCUGGGCCUCCGGUUAAUAGGUUAGUCCCAAAAAUAAUAUAAAAGUGCAUAAUAAAGCCCAAUAAUGUCCAAAACAGAAGAUAAUAUAGCAUGGAGCAAUCAAAAAUUAUAGAUACGUUGGAGACGUAUCAAGCAUCCCCAAGCUUAAUUCCUGCUCGUCCUCGAGUAGGUAAAUGAUAAAAACAGAAUUUUUGAUGUGGAAUGCUACUUGGCAUAAUUUCAAUGUAAUUUUUAUUAAUUGUGGUAUGAAUAUUCAGAUCCGAAAGAUUCAAGAUAAAAGUUCAAUAUUGACAUAAAAAUAAUAAUACUUCAAGCAUACUAACUAAGCAAUUAUGUCCGCAGCAUCGCCGGAGUGCGCGUCCAUGACCCUGUGCGGGCCGAUCAAGAAGCACAUCAUCGAGCACUUCCACCACAAGAAGCCCGUGCCGCCUAAGCCGGAGCUCAAGCCCCAGCCCCACCCGGACUACGGCCCCGUGCCCAAGCCGGAGCCGAAGCCGCAGCCCCACCCGGACUACCACCCCCCUCCCACGCCCACCUACGGCGGCGGUGGCGGCGGCGGUGGAUACCACAGGCACCACUGAGUCAGGUCUACCCCCGUCCUGCCCAGCGAUGAAAUCUCAUCAUCAGCGGGUUGGUGAUCAGUGAGUGGUCGACGGUGCUAAUUAUGAUUGGUUUGCAUGCGUGAGUAUCGUUAGGUCUUCUGCCAUUCCCGCGAAGCCCCGUUUAUUAUCUGCACUGCAGAGUUGGGAGUUCAGAAUAACAGAUGUGCGUGUGUGUGUCGCUGUGUCAGGCAAGUGUGAGGGUGUGUUGGCGUGUUGCUUUAUCAAGAUUUUGUAAUUUCAGUGUGUGUUUUGUAUAAGAAGUUAUUAUGAAUCAAGUAAUUUAAACAAGUCGAUUUGUCAACCGAACAACUGCAGCUGUUCGAGACGAUUGGCAUGAUAAGGAUAGUGUGAUUUUACUUCAACUCAAUUUUCAGAUCCGUGAACUGAAACUGAAGUGAAAUUCAGGCGUGUGCAAUGCAUUCAUACUGCUGGUCAUAGUUUUUUCUCUUACGAUGAACAAGUCGAUUUAUGAACAUUUUUCCUAGAUAAGUGAGGCUUUUAAAAAAUGUUCAUCAUGUGUUCAAAACAAUGAUAACCGUAAAUUUAAAGCAAAAUUGUUCGCCGUGUAUCUUAAAAAUGUUCAUCAUGAAUUUAAAAGGUUUGCCACUAAUUUUAAAAAGUUCAUCAUGUAUUUAUAUCACUAAUUUAGUUAUCUAAACGCUCUUAUAUUAGUUUACAGAGGGAGUAUUUAAAAGUUGUCAUCACGUAAUUAAAAAAAGGUUAAUUGUGCAUUAAUGAAAAUUUUCACCAUGUUUCAGAAAUGUUCAUCAUGUAUUAAUAAACUUAACCUUGUAUUUUUAAAAGUAAAAAAAUGCUCAUUGUGUAUUUAAAACAUAUAAAGAUAUUUUUUUGUAAAUGAACUAAAAAUAUUCAUUCUGUAUUAAAAAAAUAUUCACCAUGAAUUGUUCAAAAAAAUCACCUUGUAUUAUUCAAAAACGCUCAGACACAAAGGACAAAUGCUCAUACACGGUGUGGGGAAAAGGAGAAAAUGCAUAGAGUAAAAGAACAACAAAAGAGGAAAAAUGGACAAUGAAAAAAAAAAGGAAAGAAUGAAGAAUCCAACUAAGAAAAAAAACAGUUCAGAAGCCAAACACAAAAACCAUGCAAAAAGACGCAGCAGGAACCAGCGAACGAAACAACACCCCUAGCUGGCCUGCCCAAGUCACCUUGCUUGUGACUGUCUUCGCAUCCAUUUGACGUGUGUGCGUAUUUGCCGGAGACCUCCUAUUCCCUGACCUACGCGGGGAAAAGUGAGGAAACAUGCACCUAAACCUGUGGGUAGCCCGACCCGAGCCUGGCCCGAAAAAUCCAGGCCACGCUGGGGCCUUGUUUUGCAGCCCAAUGUACAUUUCGCCUAGGCUCGGGCUUUUGUAACAAUACUGAGAAAUAGUAUUUGGUCGGGCUUUCAAUAUUCAGGUCGGGCUUACAACUAACAACAUUGAUAAACACCAUUCGAGCUAGACUUUCGGGCUUCGGGCCUAUAUUUGGCUGAGGCUCGAGCUUGAGAAAGUGUGUACUUUCGGGAUUUGGACCAGCUGGGGCUUGAAGUUUGGGUUUCUGGCUUUUUGAAGCCCAGCCCGCCAUAUAAUCAGGUUUAAGUGCACCCCCGCCCCCCACGCGUGCUUUUGGCCGGCCCAUAUGCGGGGUGAGCCGGGCUUAUUAUUAUUAUUUUUGCUUUUGUACUUUCGUUCUUUCUCAAUUGCAAGAAAUGUUCAUAAAAUAAGCAUAUGUUUGCACAUUUCUCAAAGUGCUUCAAAUUUUCAAAAUAUUAUAUGAUUUAAAUUCUUCAUAAAUUGAAAAUUUUCUUGAAUUUCAGAAAAUGUUCAUGAAUUGUAAAAUUGUUCCCCUAGUUCACAAAUUAUUCAUGUAUUUGAAAGUCCAUGGAUUCGAAAAUUGCUCGCGAAUUUGAGAAUGGAAUAAUAGAGUGAGUAUAGCAAUUGAUAUCUAUAGAUACUUUGCGAGGUUUAUAUCAUUAAAUUUAGAAAUGAUGUCAUUAUCACGACAUGUAUUGGAUGUCCUUUUUUCACUAGUUAAUAUCCAUAAAAUAUCAUGUUAGAUGACCGAUUUUUCAUAAUAUAACAUUUAUUGUGAAUCAAAAACCAGAAAGCAAGAAUCCUGCAAAGAAAAUGUAACACAUAAUCCUAGAGAGCGCCUUACACAUCUCAUUUCUAAGUGUGUUUACUUAUAAUUUGGUAAACAUAAGUCCAAGCAAAUCAAAGAAAAUCAAAGUACAGAGAAUACCUACAUACCAUGGCCCAUUGACCGGUCCACACAAUUGACUGCUUUAAUGUGACCCAUCAAAGACACUCAGAGCUUCAAAGGUGAACUGUUCUUUGAUCCAGGCUUUGGUUGGCACCGUAAAGAAUGCAAAAUAACAGCUCAAAUAUUUGUAUCAGCAAAAGAUCAAACAACUGAAAUAAGAAGCACAGAGCACAUGAGCAAGGAACAUAAAUGUUGUUAAUAAAACAAGAAAAAAACUAAGAUACACUUGUGUCACUCGCAACUCACUAACUCAUCACAAAUUCUUCAUACGAGCAAAAUAACACUACUAGGGACAAAGCAGGGCUUCGAUUUUCUUGCACAACAGCUAACAGUUAGAGUUUUUAAUUCAUGUUUACCCAAUAAUUCUCCACAAUUCCUCACAUAGUUUCUAGUUCAACCAUUACUGGUAUGUAAAUAGACAAGAUUAGAUCGAUACUAAAAUUUGCAUUACGCUAUCGACGAAUGACGGCUCAAUUUUAUCUCCACAUAGAUGACACAAGAAUCUCAUUUGAGCAGUUGGUCACAAUGCAUACUAGCAUACUAAUGUUUCCAAUCGAACCGCAGCCAGAAACUUAGAACGACUUAUCCAACUUCUACCACCAAAUCAAAUUCAUAAUAUGAUGUUGCCUCCACGUUCCACGAUCCCGGUAGGUACAUCCAUGCACUUUCCACAUGCGAGAUGCGAUGAAGAUGUGAGAUGUGGCCAAAGAUUUGGGAUGUUGUAAACAUAUCUACGAGAUAUUUUUUUCUCUAUGUAUACCUAAUAGUUUACUAGAAGCCGCUAUCAGGAUAUUUCUGACUUUAAAAGACACACACACACAGAGAGAGAGAGAUAUACGUAUAUACUAUGGUCAUGUGAGUGUCACAAAUUAAUCCAUGAAACAUGCAAUUUUAUGUAGUCUAUUUUCUUAUGGUUAGAGGGGUUAAGUUUAAGUAUUAUUUUAUGGUGCAAUCUAUUGAAUAGAAAGAAACUAAUCAAAUUUAGCGUAGGGCGUGCAUAUAUUUUAAUGACACACAUUACAACCUAGCAGAAAAUAAUAUUAUUUAUAUUGAGCAUAAUUAUCGUAAGUAAAUAUAAAAAAGAAGUAACCGCUCGCAGUUAAUAGUGAGUUUUAAACAUGUAUAAAAGUUUAAUAUAAAUAUUCAAUUUAAUUAGACUCGAUUUCUUGUCACCGCCCUAGAUUCAUGUUUGUAAUUAGUGGCAUUGCAUCCAUGCAUCAUGUCUAAUUUUAUCAGAAAUUUGAAUUGAGGGAAUUUUCAAAACCUCAGAAACAUUUUAGAAAUUAUCAACACUAAAAUCUUCUCAAAUAAGUCCAAGAAAAUGUUCCUGUUAUUUUAUGAAAAUAUUGGAAAGAGGUAAAAUUAAAACCAGUGUUUUUGGAUUGUCAGAAAUAUUUAUUUUGGGAAUUUGAGUUAAUCUAAUAAUUAUUUGCAUUAGACUUAUAUUUAUUAUAUAUUAAAUAUUGGUCCAAAAAAUUUGAAAGUUUGUAUGAGGCUCUGGACUAGUUCCCUAAGUCCACAUAUUGAAUUUCAGAAGUUUAUAAAGUGAUUUGGUAGUUAAACCAAAUCAAACAAACAGAACAAAAUGGAAAACAAAAACAGAAAGGGAAGAACAGAGAGAGAGAGAGAGAGUUUACCUGGCAGCCCACUUACCCGGCCCAACUCCUCUAGCCGGCCCAGCCUACCUGGCUCUGCCAGUCGUCCUCUACCUCGUGCCAGAGGGCACGAGGGCGUGUGGCCGCCGCCCACGCGUACGCACCGCGCCACCUCCUGCUUGCCGCUUCGCUCUGGCCCUCUCUGGACGUCGACACGUAGCCCCCUGGUCCUCUCCCUCGCUCCCCUCGUCCUUCCCCUCCUCUGGAUCCCUCUCUCUCUCUCACCACCGAGCGGGGCUCAUCGCCACCGACGCCGUUCACCGUAGCCACCGCCUCCUCCUGAACCUCUCUCCGCGCCCAGAAGCUCCGCCACUUCGUCCUCGACCCCCUCGCUGAGCCACGCAACGCCGGACGCCCUGAAGCCUCGCCAACACCGUCGUUCCCCUCGUCGGUCACCGCGGAUCCUCGCCGUUGAUUCAGGAGCUACAGGACCUCCCCGAGCACUCUGAGCUUCUCUACAAGUCCUCCGUGAGCCCCUCUUUCCCCUACCCUAACCUCGUUGCUUCGCUCGACCUCUAGCUAGCGCUGCCGCCAUGGCCGAGCUCCGCCGCCGCCUGCCUUGUCAUGCGCCACCAUUGCAGCCCGCGCCCGUCGUUGGAGAGCAUGGCAACGAGCUCGUCGUGCCUCCAGGAGGCCGGCUAUCCCUUUUGCUAGCUCGCCCGUGCCCCGUAGCACCGCUGCCCGCUUGCGCCCGAACUCCGGCCGCCGCCCAAGUGGUCGCCGCCGUCGACCCCGGCCUCCCUGCGCCUAGCUGCAUGCACCCCUGGAUGCGGGCGAGCGAGGGCUUCCUCAUGGUGCCCUGCUACCUCUUGAGCACUGCGUUGGUUUUCCCUAGAAAAGGAAAGGGUGAUGCAGCAAAGUGGCGUAAGUAUUUCCCUCAGUUUUUGAAAACCAAGGUAUCAAUCCAGUAGGAGGCUACACACGAGUCCCUCGCACCUACACAAACGAAUAAAUCCUCGCAACCAACAUGAUAAGGGGUUGUCAAUCCCUACACGGUCACUUACGAGAGUGAGAUCUGAUAGAUAUGAUAAGAUAAUAUUUUUGGUAUUUUUGUGAUAAAGAUGCAAAGUAAAGAAAGUAAAAUAAAAACGGCGCUAGAAAUAGCUAAGUGUUGGAAGAUUAAUAUGAUGGAAAAUAGACCCGGGGGCCAUAGGUUUCACUAGUGGCUUCUCUCGAGAGCAUAAGUAUUUACGGUGGGUGAACAAAUUACUGUUGAGCAAUUGACAGAAUUGAGCAUAGUUGUGAGAAUAUCUAGGCAUGAUCAUGUAUAUAGGCAUGACGUCCGAAACAAGUAGACCGACUCCUGCCUGCAUCUACUACUAUUACUCCACACAUCGACCGCUAUCCAGCAUGCGUCUAGAGUAUUAAGUUCAUAAGAACAGAGUAACGCUUUAAGCAAGAUGACAUGAUGUAGAGGGAUAAACUCAUGCAAUAUGAUAUAAACCCCAUCUUGUUAUCCUCGAUGGCAACAAUACAUUACGUGCCUUGCUGCCCCCACUGUCACUGGAAAAGGACACCGCAAGAUUGAACCCAAAGCUAAGCACUUCUCCCAUUGCAAGAAAGAUCAAUCUAGUAGGCCAACCCAAACUGAUAAUUCGAAGAGACUUGCAAAGAUAACCAAUCAUACAUAAAAGAAUUCAGAAGAUUCAAAUAUUGUUCAUAGAUAAGCUUGAUCAUAAACCCACAAUUCAUCGGUCUCCACAAACACAUCACAAAAGAAGAUUACAUCGAAUAGAUCUCCACAAGAGAGGGGGAGAACAUUGUAUUGAGAUCGAAAAAGAGAGAAGAAGCCAUCUAGCUAAUAACUAUGGACCCGAAGGUCUGAGGUAAACUACUCACACUUCAUCGGAGAGCCUAUGGUGUUGAUGUAGAAGCCCUCCGUCAUCGAUGCCCCCUCCGGCGGAGCUCCGAAACAGGCCCCAAGAUGGGAUCUCACGAAUACAGAAGGUUGCGGCGGUGAAAUUAGGUUUUUAGCUGCGUAUCUGAUCGUUUGGGGGUACGUAGCUAUAUAUAGGAGGAAGGAGUACGUCGGUGGAGCAACGUGGGGCCCACGAGGGUGGAGGGCGCGCCCAGGGGGUAGGAGCGCCCCCUACCUCGUGGCUUCCUGGUAGCUUUCUUGACGUAGGGUCCAAGUCAUCUGGAUCAUGUUUGUUCCGAAAAUCACGUUUCCGAAGGUUUCAUUCCGUUUGGACGCCGUUUGAUAUCCUGCGAAACUCUGAAAUAGGCAAAAACAGCAAUUCUGGGCUGGGCCUCCGGUUAAUAGGUUAGUCCCAAAAAUAAUAUAAAAGUGCAUAAUAAAGCCCAAUAAUGUCCAAAACAGAAGAUAAUAUAGCAUGGAGCAAUCAAAAAUUAUAGAUACGUUGGAGACGUAUCAAGCAUCCCCAAGCUUAAUUCCUGCUCGUCCUCGAGUAGGUAAAUGAUAAAAACAGAAUUUUUGAUGUGGAAUGCUACUUGGCAUAAUUUCAAUGUAAUUUUUAUUAAUUGUGGUAUGAAUAUUCAGAUCCGAAAGAUUCAAGAUAAAAGUUCAAUAUUGACAUAAAAAUAAUAAUACUUCAAGCAUACUAACUAAGCAAUUAUGUCCGCAGCAUCGCCGGAGUGCGCGUCCAUGACCCUGUGCGGGCCGAUCAAGAAGCACAUCAUUGAGCACUUCCACCACAAGAAGCCCGUGCCGCCUAAGCCGGAGCUCAAGCCCCAGCCCCACCCGGACUACGGGCCCGUGCCCAAGCCGGAGCCGAAGCCGCAGCCCCACCCGGACUACCACCCCCCUCCCACGCCCACCUACGGCGGCGGUGGCGGCGGCGGUGGAUACCACAGGCACCACUGAGUCAGGUCUACCCCCGUCCUGCCCAGCGAUGAAAUCUCAUCAUCAGCGGGUUGGUGAUCAGUGAGUGGUCGACGGUGCUAAUUAUGAUUGGUUUGCAUGCGUGAGUAUCGUUAGGUCUUCUGCCAUUCCCGCGAAGCCCCGUUUAUUAUCUGCACUGUAGAGUUGGGAGUUCAGAAUAACAGAUGUGCGUGUGUGUGUCGCUGUGUCAGGCAAGUGUGAGGGUGUGUUGGCGUGUUGCUUUAUCAAGAUUUUGUAAUUUCAGUGUGUGUUUUGUAUAAGAAGUUAUUAUGAAUCAAGUAAUUUAAACAAGUCGAUUUGUCAACCGAACAACUGCAGCUGUUCGAGACGAUUGGCAUGAUAAGGAUAGUGUGAUUUUACUUCAACUCAAUUUUCAGAUCCGUGAACUGAAACUGAAGUGAAAUUCAG